CUUGAUCUCCGGGUCCGGGUAGCGGAUGGUGCGGCCGUCGUGAGUGAUCACGUACGGAACACCGCCCUUGCCGAACUCGACCUUGCGGACCUGGGGGGAGAGGCAAGACACGAGCGCAGGGCAGGGGUAAAGUUCAGGGUGCUGGGUUUAACUGAGGCCGACAGCUGUGCAUUCGGGGAACGUCAGUCCAGUGUCAAGUCCUGCUGCAUGUCACCCCCUGGCCACUCCCCAGCUAACCCCUCCCUGCCCCGCCAUAUAGUGAUGGCUGCUCCCAUACGGUGCUGUGCUCUCCAGCGCUGGCUGACGCUGCUGGGUUGCUCACCCUGCACAGCUUGUAGGCAGCCUCCUCCUUGCUGAUGCGGUGCACGACGAAGCGGCCCUUGGUGUCCAGCACCAGGCGGAAGUUCUCGUCGGUCUUCUCCAUGCUGAUGACGUCCAUGAAGCCGGUGGGGUAGGUGUGGUCGGUGCGGACCUUGCCGUCCACCUUCACCAGGCGCUGCAUCAGGAUGGACUGCACCUCCUUGCCGGUCAGGGCAUACCUGCACGACACGCAUACCAAGUCGUUCAAGCCCCCUGCCGAGAUUUCCUUAUCCGCACAUCCCCAACCCCGCUGCAACCGGCUGGGGCUGGCUGAAAUGCGCUCGACUGUGUCGGUCCGGCGGCAAACAGCUCCAGCGUCCCGCCUUUUUUGGGAAUGCAUUAUGUUCUGAGUAGCGCUGCUGCGUAGCCAGCGAGCAUUCCUCUGCUUCCAACCCCGGCGCAGCAAUGGCGCCAGGCCAUCCAGUGCAGCCUCCCGCUGCCCCAACAGUCGCUAAGAAGCCGCUACCAGGCUGCUGCAUUUGCGGCUCCAAAGCUGCUGAUAUCGGUCCUCCACAGGCCCCGGCCGCCGCCCUCCCGCCGUCUGAGCCGCCGAGAGCGUCGCUGCUGCUGUCCUCCGAGCUCCGAUCGAUAUCAUAGCCAGUACAAAACAUCCAAAAGCAUCAGUAAUACAGCUUGAACACUCACUUGAGGCGGUUCCUCAGAAUGAGCAGCAGAGGCAGGCACUCGCGCUGCUUGUGGGGACCAGCGGACGGCUUGGGAGCCUGCACAAUCAAAUAAUGAAACUCAUGAGCGAUGAUGACCCGAAAGCAACCAAGAGCACGGAACGGCGAGGCAUGCCCUGCGACCGCCGCCCUGAGAGACCGAGCGCCCGAAUUCCUCCGCAGCCGCCAACAAGCCCUGCUCCAGCAUCCAUAAAAUAGACUUACGAAGAUGCCGCUCAGCUUGUCCAGCAUCCAGUGGUAGGGCGCAUUGAGGCGCUUGAGGUGCUUCUUAGGGCCGCGCACCAUCUUGAGUUGAGCCUCUAGGCAGCAACUCAAAGAAUGUUGGGAAGAGAAAGAGUUCUGCCCGCGUGUGCGACUUGGCAGGACCACCCCGCAUUCCAGUUUGCUCCAGGAGGGGCGCCAUGCAAACUCUCGCUGCAGGCGCGGGAAGCGCCUGUAAGCUUCAAAACCCUAUGUAAUGAAUUAGUAAGAAGCCAAGGCGCUGACUUCCCCAGGCGGAGGGCCGACUUGCCCUGCGGAGUGCGUGUCGUUCGGCGCGCCGUGGCAGGCUCCAGCGGAUUUUCCCGAGCACCUGGGCCAUCACCAACCGCAACACCAACACUGCGUCAUUUGCCCCAAGACACACAUGUCGCACACCCACCAGGCCCUUGGUCCACGCGUUUGCUUUUGUGCAACAGAGUUCGGAAACGUAUGUCGAUCUCGUCUGCCCCCUGUCCCAGGGGAUGCGCUCUCAUGGACACAACGAAGCGGUUACAAGAGGAGGCUGACUUCGCUAUGCUUUGUUACAUUCACUUCCCUUGUACCGGUACUCUGUGACACGCCGCCGCCGCGCUACUCUUCUGCUUCACCCCGUCCUCCCCAUGCGCCCCAGCCCCCUCUUGCCCUCCCCCUUUCCCCCCACCUGCUCCUUCAUCCCUUUCCUCCACUGCCUCGUCCAGCGCUACCAGCCCAGGUACUCGCACAUCGCUGACAGCGUCUCAUCGUCCUCCACCUCAAUGGCCAACAGACCCAGCCGCGGCUGGUACCCAGACAUUUGGAGCAGCUCCGGGCGCAUCGCGGCGGCGGAGCCACCGCCCGCGGCGCCACUGCCUGCCCGCGGCCGGGGCUUGCUGCCGCCUCCGCCGCCGCCGCCGGCCUUGGCGCCUGUCGCGGCCGCCGCCUCUCCACCUCCCGCUGCUCCUGUGAGCCCCGCCAGCUCCAGCUCCCAGUCAUCCGGCUCCUCCGCCGGCGCCGCCGGCGCCGCGGCGCCGCUUCCACUGCCACCUCCACCCCCACCACCGCCCACCUCCCCCGCCCCUCCUCCGUCCUUCCCUCCACCCUCCCCUUCACCCGCAACCCCGCCUCCCGGCCCCGCCCAGCCGCCUGCCGCGGCGCCUCUCCCAAACCCGCCGGGGUGCGGCACCGCCCCCGGCGCCGGCUCUGGGUCCUCGAACCCGCCCUCCAGCACCACGUUGGGGUCGUCCGCCGUGCGCAUGAACAGCGACAGCGCGUCCUCGCCGCCCGCCUCGCCCGCCUCAUCCCGAGUGCCGCGCAUCAGCCCGUGCACCCACUCGCCAGCCAUGCCCAACUGAACCGCCUCAUCGUAACCGCCGCCAACCGCCAUGCCCAGCAUGUUGCUGUUUUGGUGGUUUUGGUGGUUGGGGCCGCCGCUGCCGCCGGCGUAGCCGCCACCGGGCCCUCCGGCUCCGCCGGCGGCCGCUGCCGCUGCCGCGCCGGCUGCUGCUGCUGCGUGCAGGCGCGCGCGCUGGCUGUCCGCGACCGCUUGGGCACGCAGGACAUUCUGUUGUGAUAGGAAAGCACCAGGGAAGGAACGGACAAGGGGAAAGGGUUGACACAUGUACGAGUGCGUGUAUGUGGUGUGAUAGGUGAGCGAGGGGCAUUGGGUAAGACGCUUGGUUCCCGCCGAUGUGAAGUGCAGUGGGGGCAGCGCCGGUAGUAGUGGCGAGGCGCAGCUCUGGAAUGGGGAGAACAUCCCUCAGCCCAGCGCCCCACAGGUCUUGGUUUCACAGCCCUCCCCCCCACACACGCACCUGCAUGUGCGCCUGCUGCCUCAGCUCCAGCAGCGUCUCGGGCAGCGGGUCGUAGGCCACCACGGGGGCAGACAGCAGCGCCAGGCUGCCGGGCUGGUGCAGGAAGCCGCGCGGCUCGCGGAAGGCCUGUGUGGUGGCGGUGGUGGUGGGGGUGGCGGUGGUGGUGGUGGGGUUCGUCGUGGGCGGGCAGAGUGUGUUUGUACAUGCCGCCCGCCCUCAAAACCAAUCUCCUGGAAGAACUGCGUCAGCAGGUCCCUCUUGUAACCAAUGCAAUCUGCUCAUGUGCACCAUCCAACCAUGCAACCACACACAAACACACAGGAACACACGCGGUUCGCUCCUUGAUUAAAACACACAGACACAGCCGUGCGUCGCACCGCACUGCAUGCAUUGUCCUGCGUGUUCCCUUCCCUGGUGCCCUCUGACACUAACACACACAUCGCAUACACUGUCUUUGCGCUAUGUUUUCCUUGCGCUCUUAAACACAUGCACACACACACACACAUCGGUACCAGGCGGGUGGGCUUUCGUAUCGUUUUUUAACACGAUCGGUACCAGCACCACGCUAUGGUUCUCUUAAGCGCGUGCAACAGGCCCAGGACCCCGUCCGUGUGUUGUUUUUGAACACACACACAUACACAUAUAUAUACACACAUACACAUAUAUAUACACACACAUACACACGCACACGCACACGCCCACCUUCUGCACGAAGGGGUGCAGCUCGGCGAAGGAGUGGGCGCUGUUGCAGCGCUCGCCCGCGGUGCAGCGCACGUUGGCGAAGAUGCGGCCGCAGGUGUUGGUGAAGCGGCCGGUGCGGGGCCGCUGCGCCAGCCGCUUGUCCAGCAGCGCCUGUGAGGCAGGCAGGCAGGCAGGCAGGCGGCGGUAAUGAUGAAAGGGAUGCGCCGGUGCGGCGGCGUGGGUUUACUACUGCAAUCACAUGUAUCAAUUACAAACGGUACACAACAACACAACAACAUCCGCCCCAACCAUCUACGCCCCCACCAAAACACCCCCCCACUCCCCCCCGGGCUCGCCUUCUCCUCCAUGGCCACCUCCACCAGCUUGAGGAAGCGCCACAGGUGCACGUGGUAGGCGUACAUGGCGCGCGUCCACACCUGGGCAGGGCGGGGGAGGGGCAGGUGGGUGGGGGGGGGCGGAGGGUGGUGGUGGGAGGUGCAAAGGAGAGGAUAAACGCCUGAAGGGGAGACGGGCAAGGGUUGGGACCUUGUGUGCAUGUGCGCGUGUGUGUGCACACGCAUGUAACAGGGGUGCAUGCACGCGGAAGUGACUCGUCCGGCUGGUUGCAUCCAUUCCACUCCACUCCACCUGGCAGGCAGCCCCCGACACACACACGCGACGGCUGCGCCCGCCCCCUAACCCCUCAACCCCUCAACUUCUCACCCCCACCAACACCUCAACAAACAUACAUCGUUGGUGCGUUACAGAGAGCAAUGGAGACAACACUGGAGACAACGCCCCCGCCCUUACCCUCGUCCUGUCGCCCUUCUAACCCCCACCACACAGCCACACACACAGCCACACAGCCACACAGCCACAGCCACAGCAACAGCCACACACAGCCACACACACACACACACACACACACACACACACACACACACACACACACACACACACAUCAGUCCCCCACCUGCAUGGCCGGCGCGCUGUCCAGGUGGAAUCCGGGGAAGGGCACGAAGCGCGGCGCGGGGCCGCCGGCGCGCAUGCGGGUCAGGCACUCGUACCAGCGCGGCACCCACUGCGGCGGCAGGCGGCAGGCAGGCGGCGGAGGGCGGGGGCGUUGGAGGAACGGGGGCGGGGAGGGGGCUGGGGUGAGCGCCAGCAGGAGGAGCACAGGGACACGGCAUGUGGUGUUGCGGCCGAGCCUUGACAUCCGUGUGGGAGGGGUGCUGGGUGCUGUCCUUGCAGCACGACACCCGCCCGCCCUCAGCCCUUCCCCCAUGCCCUCGCCGCAAUUCUUUGGGCUCAGGCGCACACCCUGCUACGCCCACCGGCCCAGGGCAGGGCCUGCACAACGGUCAGGGAUGGACAUGCCUCUCCCUGUGUCCUGUGACACCCCCCCUUCACAUGCGCUGCGUCUUUACAAGGCGCAUGGUUGCUCUGAUGGUAAUGAUGAACACCAGCCACCCACCUGCCCGCCUCCCCCCCGCCCACUCGCGCUCCUUGGUAACGCCCACGCUCCCACCCGCCCCAUCUGCAUCCACGCCACGGUUCCUUGACUAUCGGGACCUAUUCCUUCGGGCUCAGGCACAUAACCCCACCCCCCACCUGCAUCCCCACCACCACCCCACCUGCAUCUGGUACGCCCUGACCGGGUCGAAGUUGGUGCACACCAGGUAAUAGCUGCCCACGUGCACGUGGCAGCUGCGCGGCUUGUAGGAGGCCACGUCGCCCGCAAACACCUGUCGCAGCAGGCCCAGCACGCCUGUGCGGCCCGGCGGGGUCGGUGGGUGCGCGGGGGGGCGGCGGGUGCGUGAGUGCGUCCGGAGUUGCGGUGGGGAGCGACGCGACAAGGCGAAACUCCCCCUGCUGCGGCCCCACCUCCGCCCCUCCUUAAUAAGUAGUCAUGAAUGUAACCCUCCCCCCCUGCUCCCCCCUGCCUCACCCACUGUGAACAUGUCUGGGAACAUGUUGAGCCGCAGCACCAGCAGCCCGCCGCGAGCCAGGUUGUUGGCCAUCACGACCAGCUGCGCCACCAGCAGCGCCUGGGGGGGGAUUACAUUCAUGAUAGUUAAGGAAGUGGUAGACGGUAGACCAUCUUGCGGAACAUCAGGCGGGUGGAGGGGGGGAGGAGGUGGAGGAGGGGGGUAGAGCAGGGGUUGGUGGAGGGGGGGAGGAGGGGGUAGAGCAGGGGGUGGUGGAGGGGAGAGGGGUGUUGUAGGGAUGAGGAGGAAGGUGGCGAGGGGGGUGCGGGUGCGCAGCGCGACGCGCUCCCCCCUGAAUGCCGUACAGCAGCACUGCGACCAUUGGGUAACCCCCCUUCUCCACCCACCCACUGCUGCGCCUCUGCUCCGCCCGCAGCUGCUGCGGCCCCCACCCCUAUAGAACCCCCAUCUCCCCCCAUCCCCAAACCGCUCCAGGACCCCCAUCUCCCCUCAACCCCCUCCAAAACGCCCGCCCCCGAAAAGCCUGCCUGCCUGCCUGCCCCCUUCCUCACCUUGUGCGCCGCCGCGUUGCUGCUGUAGACGUUGAAUGCGGGGUUGUCGGCGUCCGUGAGGCUGGUCUCCUUGUGGAUCCAGUCCUUGCCGCCCAGGAAGCUGCCGUCCAGGAUCACAAGCUGGCAGGCGUUGGAGGGCGGGUCGUGCAGGGCUGGGGGGAGGGAGGUGGGGAAGGUGGGGGAGGUGGGGGAGGGAGGUGGGGAAGGUGGGGGAGGUGGGGGAGGGAGGUGGUGGAGGGGAGGGGGAGGGUAGGAAGGCGGGGUACUUCAUUCUAGUCCCAAAAACAAUCCGUUGUCAACCCCGAGUAUGAGAAUUUGAGGCGUUCUCGCACAACGGGUUCUGGUCUCGGCAUACGUGGGGCUUGAUUGGGGAACCACCCCGCCCCAUGCAGCCCCUGCCCCCCGCCCCCUGCUCCGCCCUCCCCCACCUGCGUCCAGCCUCAGUGCGGGCUGCGGGCAUCCGGGGGUGCCGACGCCCAUGUCGCCCACCCGCACCGUGGCGGCGAUGGUGGUCACGUCCACAAAAUGCAGGUAGUAGUUGUCAGUCUGGAGGGGGACGAGGGUGGUGAGGGGUGAGGGGGCGAGGGGUGUGAGGUGAGGGUGCGGGGGGUGACGGAUGAAGGUGCGGGGGGUGAGGGGCAAACGAGGAGGAGGUGAGGGUUGUUUUUGACAGUUCCCAGUGAGACACAUGAAAUGCGGGUUACACGGGUUCGUGGCAAGGCCGCUGGAUGAUACUAAUACUCGGUGAGGUGGCGCGGCGUGGCGUGGAGUGGGCGCCAGGGGGCGUGUGCGUGAGCGAGACGUACGCCCGCCCGCCCGCCCGCGCCGCACGCCCCUCCCCCACCCCCCGCCCGGUCUCUCACCCGCUCGGGUAUGGCUGGCAGGUGUCCGCCGUACAUGGGCGGCAGACUCAGCCCGAUGCCCUUGCGAGGCGCCUUGCCAGCCUCCAGGCUGCGAGCGGGUGAGGGGGGCGGCGUCGUGGCGUGGAGUUCUGUUGCUGGCGGUGGCGAUAGCGGCAGUGAAGAUGACGGCCCACACACCCACAUACCUCCAAACACACCCCCACACCUCCACACAUCCCCCACACCUCUCUCCCCCACCUGUAGGUGCUGAAGCCGCCCGGGCAGCAGCACACGUCCAGGAACUGGAAGGGCUGGUCGGCGGGCCGGUCCGCCAGGAAGCGCCCGUUGUGCUCGUCGAUCUCAAACAUGAUGUAGCGCAUGCGCUGUGCGCGUGUUCAUGAGGUUGUGUGCAAUACCGAAGUGGAAGGUAAAUUCAAGGUGUGUGCGAUGUGAGGGAGCGUAAGACCGAUGAGAUGUGUGACUAUGCGGGUGAGCACAAAGCCUCAGGCACCGCGACAGGCCAGGCGGGUGUGGGCGGCAAGGGACAGCCCCCCCCCCCCACGCCCCCUGGCCUGGGCUGCGCAAUCAGUGCACACCAGCGCGUGUACCACGCAGCAAGCUCUACCCGCUUACCUGCAGCUACCCUGACUACCCACAAAAUCGCCACGCAAGUCACAACGGUUGUCUCUACCACACACACGUACACCCACACAAUAUCACGCACGCACGUACACACGCCCACGUAUCCCCGCACCUGGCACAUCUCGCCGCGCCCCUCCUGCCCAGCCGCCGUCCUGCGCCGUGUCGCGGCCACCGCCUGCCGCCGGCCCUCGCCCGUCACGCCGGGUGUGGUGUUGAGUAUCUCCGGCACCACCCCGCCGCCCAGCCCCACCGAGGCCCCCAUGGGCAUAGGCAUGGGUCCGCCGUAGCCGGCCGCAGGCACCGGCAUGGGCAUCGGCAUGGCACCGCCGAACAUUAUCUUCUACAACGGCCCCUUCUGAAUAAGUUCGUUGCGGAAGUGAGAAGCUACUGCUGCAGCCGCUGCUGCUUCUAGGAAGGCGAUGGCGCAAAGCACGUUCGCGCAGACCUGAGGCGCCUUCGGCCUGAUGUCGCCGUGUGGGGUACGUGCCGCCUAGCGGCACGCACCCGGCGCCUCCGUGCCCGUCCUGCACUGUCACCCUCGCCCCGACCCCAGAUGCUGCUGCUCCGUCUGUGUGUUUGUGUAUGUCGUGAUCCAGCCGUGCGAGACGUACGCCAGCCCAAGCGCCCGUCAGGCGCUCCCACCGCUGGCGGAGGAAUGCCAGCGCCGCUGGGGCCGCGUGUGGCGCGGGCUCAGGAAGCCGCGGCCCCGCAGGUCAAGCCACUGCAGCGAGGCAAAUAGCGUUGCAGGCAGCGGUGAGCGCUGGCGCGGCCUCGGUUUGCGUAGAUGUGGUGGGAGGGACGGGCCGGCCUCCAGGGCAGGGUUUCAGCGCAGGAGCUUGGCGCAAAGGAGCACCAUGUGCUGCCAGUCGAACGUCUACACCUAUCUGCAACAUUACUUUGUUGACACACCUGUAAUGUGCUCAGCGGGGGGCGAAAAUUGCGCCUGUCCCGCGAAUGCUGCGCUCGCCCGCCCUCCACGCCCCAACGGGGGUGCUCGUAGAGAUUUAUUACACUUAAUCAAGACAGCUGAGCAGCGAUAGAUAGGCAGGUGCACUUCGAUUGCUGUUUGCAAGUUGGCUCUGAGACUUUGGACUCAGGUCGCGAAGUAUUAGUUGCCAAAAGAAACAGAAGGCCAGAGACUGACGCCAAUAUGUUGCGUUUGCGCGGCGAUAAGCACAUACUGGCACGAGAACUGCGAUGCACCGCAUGCGUGCUGCGCGUCUGUGCCCCAGCCAGUGUUCCCUGCAGCCAGGGGUGCCAGCAGCCAGCUGCCCCGACCACCCGCUGCUCGUCGGCCCGGGCUGGGCAAGGGGUACCUGAGCACGGUGCUCACCUUCCUACUCUGACUCAGCCUUUCGAACUGUAGCUUUCCUUCAUUACAGGGGCAGGGGUGCCAUGCCUCGCUGCCACACACCCGCCAUGCUCGGCUCCCAACGCUGCUUUCAGGGCCCCACCAAGACGGCACUAUCCCAAGGUCGCCUUCCGCCAAGGCCCCAACCACCCCGGUAACGACAACCGCCGGCCCAGACUUGUCUCUGAAGGGGCAUUCCUGGCUAGACUCAAUGCGCCUGCUGAACACCAGGGGCACCCCUGCUUAAGACGUCUGGUACGCUUCCUGAUGUGUGACGAUGUGAGGCAUGGGGAUUGGAGUUCUCAGCGUUUGAAGUGCAUCCACAUAGGCGCCUAAAGACCUCCUGACCUACAAACCCACUCGAGUGUUGGCGAAGUCCGGGUGGGCUACUGCGCUGUGUGGCAGUGUGGGACAGGGGAGGGUGGGACGUGCAGGGCAUACUCGACCAGCGGUAGGGUGCAGCCACACAAGUUUCCAGAUGCAAGCCAAGUCCAGACCCCCACAUCCAGGUGCAGGCGCCCAUGCCCCAUGGGGCCGUCGGCGCCAUACCUGGUGCCUACAGGCGCAAGCCGCAGACCAGGUCAUCGACGUGCGUUGCGGAACUAGUGCGUAGGUCAUUACACGCGGCACGGUAUGGCUUGGGCCACACCAGCGGUGUUGCUGGCUGCCUGGCCUCCAUCCCAUCGAUCAUGCUGCAGUGCUCCGCGCAGCUCGGCAACCGUGCGACUGGGCGCCGGGCCAGAAACUCCUGAGUCCUGAGGAAGAGCGCGGGGGCCAGGGGGGGGGGGCGCCGUGGCGUGCCACCGGGAGGGGCCACGCCAUGCAAUCCCAGCGGAGCUGGAGCUUUACCGCGCCCCUGUUGCGCAGAUUACUUGUGCCAGCUCUCAAACGUAUAUCUAGCUGCUCACAGAGACUGCACCGAUACUUGCUUUAUCUGCGUUUGUUUGCCGCCUUUCCCAGCUCCAUAUUCACCGCUCGCCUUUCCUUGUACCUGAAGACCCUGGUUAUAUAAGAUGGGUAUGAAUAGCGACCUAGACAAGUGGAUAGAGAAGGUGAAGAAAUGCGAGCACCUGGCCGAGGAGGAGCUCAAGUCGCUUUGUGACUACGUGAAGGUAUGGGGAGGUAUGCGGCGCUUUGGACAGGCGAGGACGCUCAAGGAGCCCGGCUGGCUGGCGAUGCGCAGGAGAUCCUGGUGGAGGAGUCCAACGUGCAACCAGUCAACGCGCCGGUCACCGUCUGUGGUGACAUCCAUGGGCAGUUCCAUGACUUGCUUCGGUUGUUUGAGACGGGCGGUGAGGUGCCGAGCACCAACUACAUUUUCAUGGGCGACUUCGUGGACCGGGGAUACAACAGCUUGGAGGUCUUCACGAUGCUCAUGCUACUCAAGGUAAAUUGCAUGCAGCACUUACUAUCUCAGGUGGUGGAGAGCGCAAGGCUGCUGGUAGCGCUCACUUUGGCGGCCGGGUCGAUGCGCAGGCUCGCUACCCCGCGAACAUCACCCUGCUCAGAGGCAACCACGAGAGCCGGCAAAUCACCCAGGUGUACGGUUUCUACGAUGAAUGCCAGCGCAAAUAUGGCAACGCCAACGCGUGGCGAUACUGCACGGAGGUCUUUGACUUCCUCACGCUCUCGGCACUCAUCGACAGCAAGGUGCUGUGCGUGCACGGCGGCUUGUCCCCCGACAUUCGCACCCUAGACCAGAUUCGGACGAUUGACCGCGUGUGCGAGAUCCCGCACGAGGGGCCGUUUUGCGACCUCAUGUGGUCCGACCCAGAGGACAUCGAGACGUGGGCAAUCAGCCCCCGCGGCGCCGGUUGGCUGUUCGGCAGCAAGGUCACAGCAGAAUUCAACCAGAUCAACGGGUUAGAGCUUAUCUGCCGAGCCCACCAGCUGGUGCAGGAGGGGCUGAAGUACAUGUUCCCGGACCGGUCACUGGUCACGGUCUGGUCGGCUCCAAACUACUGCUACCGCUGCGGCAACGUGGCGUCGAUACUCAUAUUCGACGACAAGCUGAACCGGGACGUGCGGUGAGUAGUCCGGCGCACGGGCACUGCACGGCCAGGACAGGUUAUCAGGGGUUCUGCGCAGGGUCAGAAUGGGGCACAUGCAAGUGCGGGCGGCGUAAUGAUGCUGCGGAGCAGGGGUCGCCCUGCAAGCCCCCCACCCCGCGAGCAGUAUGAACAGAGCAAGAUGCAUCUGCAAUGGGCUGCGGAGUCUGUCGCCUGCGAUGCGAUGUGACACUGGCUGGACGUGUCCGCCCCGUGUGCCCUUCUGCCCGCCAACAGGUACUUCACGGAAACGCAGGAGAACAGCAACAUGAUGGCGCCGCGCGCCACGGCCAGGUGUGUGGAUGGGAAGGCCAGAACCGGGGAAGGGUGGUGGUGGUGGUGGAAAUGUAGUAUGCGAGGUAAAGGAGCAGGAGUUUUACAAGCUCGCACCCGGGCGGGGAGGGGGGCUGGCAAUUACUGGUGUUGCUUGCAGCCCACGCUUGCAGCCCUGUCUGUCGGGAUGCUGUGAGGACCCGCUGGCAGCCUGCGCGGCGGCUGCGGCGGCUGCCAGCGGGGCAGCCACGGCCCCCGCCGCUUGAUCCACUGCCAAGGCCCCCGCGAAGGCCGCAUUGGUAGCAGCCAGCAGGGGGCCCCUGAGCUCCGCCCACAGCACCUUUUACACUUCUUAGGGCAGGCCAUCGGGGCCGGGCGCCUUUCCAUUCUGGCACUGGCCGAGGGCAGCCCAUGGUUUGAUCACUCAGUACCUGAGUGUGACUCCUGGCGCACGUGCUUGUCAUGCUCGGUGUCCGCAGGUACUUCUGGUAAGGCGCCGCCGCAACACGGCUAUGGAGCAGGGUUCGGCGGACCCGUGCGGCCGCCGGCGCCGACCAGUGGCGCCAGCAGCGCAGCGCAGCAUAUUACUGCGAUCGCACUGGCUGCUGGCGGCUUCCUUGCUAGUAAGGGGCAGGCGGAUAGCCAAGCAGGCGGAGCCGGCUGGCUGCUGCACGGGCUAUUUGAGCGCACUCGGAGCUUUGUUAGCGAGGUGAUGGUUACGGCCCUCGUGGCUGCAUGCGUGGGGUAGUUAGGUUUGUGUGGUCGUUACUCUACAUACGGGGAAUGAAUAUCGGGUGAGGGGUAGAUGUAUUUAACUCUUGCAGACUGUGCAUAGGUAGGAAUUGCAUGCGGGGCGCGGCCGGUCAGCAGUGCUGCAAGCGUGGGGCAGGUGCGACGCAUUGUACGAGCAUUGGGUGGCCGUGCGCCGUGUGUGUUUUACCUGUCGAGUGGUUUUUGCUUCGAGACAUGUUUGGCUUGGUCUGAGUGCAUGCGGUAGCAACGAGUAAAGACCUCUUUUAUGUUUGCAAGGGCGUGCACGUGAGCCGCGUGUGUGCUCAAGAACAGCUGAGCGAACGUGACGGCGGAUGUCUGGUCCAGGAUGCGUGUCUGAAGAUACAACGCUCACUGUCGCCGCUCUGUGUAUGGUGGCUCCGAUGCUGCUUGUUUUGAAGCAAGUGACUCACUGGACACCGCUAUGUAGGUUUCGUGAUGGAACUGUUGAGCGAAACUUAGUGGGGCGUGCCCAUUCAUCAACAAAAGCCACGGGCAUGGUGCAUGGAGGCUGCGUGGUGGUGUGCGCACCCGCAUCCGAUUCCUUCGUCAACACCGGACAGUGGACGAGGCAAUGCAGUCUUGCCAUGUAAGAGCUAUGGUAUCGUCGCUAUAUGCUGACACUCACUGCCUUAUGUCAACGAUUUGUCCUGUGCCCCCUCCCUUCCCUCUCCCAUGUGGGCCUGAUGUACGGCGGCCUUGCCUCCGUGAUUGCUUGUGACAACCAGACAUUUCGGUGAUGUCGCCCCCAGUAUCUAGAACUACCCCAAAUAUCACACGCAAAUGGACUACUUGCAUAGCUGGUUGCCGCGCUAAUUUAUCUGUGUCACCCCGGCCAUGCUCCGGACGUGUCAACAUUGCCACACCCACCAUGCUUACUUUGUAUAUCACGUCGCAAGUGCGUAAUUGAUGAAUUGUGAGCUAAUUUUGAAGAGCCAAGGAAGCACGGGAGCACAGAAAUGGCGUUCAUCGCAAGACGUAAGCGGGAUGUCUCUUAAAUGCAUGCUCGCCAGCCAUGUUCUAAGUUGGUCAAACAUAACGUCUUCGGGCGCGGCAGCGGCCCGAGGCGCAUGGCUCGCAGCCGGCCACUGGACCCAGCCUCAACUCGCCUGCCUCACCCACCUUCUGCCUGCACCCCCUCAGGCCUGGUGUCCACGAACAAGCGGCGCUACCAGGAGGAUGGCUUCGACCUGGACCUCACAUACAUAACCCCGCGCAUCAUCGCUAUGGGCUUCCCUUGCGACGGCUUCUCAAGUAAGCCGCCCACCCGCAGCCUGGGCUGCGAACUCCCGAACCCACCCCCACGUCCGCCCCCAUACCACCUCGAACACGCGUCCAAACCCCCGCCCCCCGGUUCCGCCUGCCGACAGGCCUGUACCGCAACCCGGCCGUGCAGGUGGCGGCGCUGCUGGAGUCGCGGCACGGCGGUGGGCGCUACCGUGUGUACAACCUGUGUGUGGAGCGCGGGUACGGCGACCCGCAGCUGUUCGGAGGCCGCGUGGUGCGGCUGCCGCUGUAUGACGGACAGGUGGGCGCACGGUCAGGCAGAGGCGGCGGCGACGUCAGGGUGCGGCUGCAGGAUAGGUGAAGGCUGGGCGGGGACUGUGCCGUGCGAUGAGGCAUCGGGCGUGCGUCAGCCAAGCACAGGACGGGACAGGCGUGCGCCUGCCGGCGGCCUGCGCCGCGUUGCCACAAACCAGCUAUCAGGCCGCUUUGCCAGUAGAGUAGCGCCUGAUGAGCGCCCUAAGCCACUUCCCCUGGCCUUCUGGUGUCGUGCCCUGCCCCGGCCUGCCCCAGGCUCCGCCGCUGCCGCUGCUUGUGUCCAUGUGCCGCGACUGCCGCGACUGGCUGGGCGCCCACCCCGCACACGUGGUGGCGGUACACUGCAAGGCCGGCAAGGGGCGCACCGGCGCGGCCGUGUGCGCGCUGCUGCUGGCGCUGGUGAGGCACGGCCCUGGCCCCCAGGCCCAUUGGCUAUUGCAGGGGGCAUGUCGUAACUACGGAGGGAGUAGGCCUGAAGACAGCGGUUCCGUGUGGGUGCGUGUCACAUGACCUGACAUGCCAGGGCCCUGCGCCCCCUGUCAGGACCCGGCUUUGGGCCCGCACUCGCUGGACGCCACCCUGGCCUUGUGGGCGCAGCGGCGCACGCGCGACGGCAAGGGGCUCACCAUACCCAGCCAGCGCAGGUGGGAGGGAGGGGGGCGGAUGCUAUGUGCCCGGGCCCAGCUGUCAGGUCCCAUCAUAAUCCCAGAAAUCCCCCCCCCCCCCCAGUUACGAAAAUGCAAGACGAGCGCGCCAGAAGUAAACUUGAGGCUGGGUGGGGGGCGGGGCCAGGAGCACGGCAACCGUGGGGCCACAGACUGCAUGAUUUCUCAUAUAAUGCAUCGCCGUUGACCCGGGCGCGCGGCCAAGUCCACUGUUGACAGGGCGGCGGCCGCAAGUGAAGGUUGCUGGCCGCGCUGCCUGCGCUGCAGGUCUGUGGAGCAGUUCCACCGCCUGCUGCUGGCCGCCCUGGCCGCCAGCACCCCCUCAGCGGGGCCGCCCUCGCCCGCAGCCGCGCACACAGAGGCGGGGCACCCAGCCGCCGGGGCCGGCGCCAGCAGCCACGUGGGGUCAGCGGCCCUGCUCCCCGGCUCUUCUACUGCUGCACCUGCCGCUGCUGGCAGCAGCUUGACAGCAGCCGGUCUAGGCGCCACGGAUGCAGCAGCAGCUACUGCUGCUGCUACUGCUGCUGCUGCUGCUGCUGCUGCUGCUGCUGCCGCCACUACUGCGGCUGCAGCAUUGGAUGCGGUGGAGGUGCCGCAUGCGGGCGUGGUGCUGCGGCGGCUGGUGCUGCGGGGCCUGCCGGAGCCACUGCUGCAGCGCUGCACUGUGGCGGUGUGGUGGCGGCCCAGCGGCCACUACGAGGCGCGGCCGCUGUGCUGCGUGCACACCGGAGCACCUGCCGCAGCGGCAGGCGGCAAUGGAGGCGGAGGCCGGGGCGGCGGAAAGGACGGUGCAGGUAUGUGUGACCGGCUGCAUGUGGAAUGGAGUAGAGAGGCUGACCCGUUGAGCCCGAUGCCGGUAUGGUCUGUUGUCAUGGCUGCACCAGGAUCAGCGCGAACUGAGGCGCAUGCGACACUGUACUACUCGGUGCAGGGUGCUUGGGCGGCGGAGCAGGUGCAGGCCCGCCGGGCGAUGGCCAGUGCGGGAGCGGCACCGGUGGCGCAACCUGGGUUGUCAAACGCGGGGCGGCGGGUGGCGGCGCCGGCAGCGCUCCAAUUGGCAGCAGCCCUAUGAGCCACCCCAGCAGCAGUAGCAAUGCCAGCGCGCCGGAACUCAUCAUAGACCUUACGUCGGUGCCCAGCCCGCCGCCGCCACCAGCGCCCACGCCGCUGCCCUACUUCCAGCCGCCGGACCCUCCUCCCCACCCGCCACCGCCCUCACGGUCCAGUGCCUGGCCGCACGCCGCCGCACGCUACACCGGCGCCACUGGUGCGAGUGGCACUCACGGCCACAGCGGCGGCGCCCAGACUGGAGGCGGCAGUAGCAUGGCAGGUGGCAGCGGUGGCGGCGGCGGCGGCGGGCCCCUGCUGGCGGGCGACAUCAAGCUGCAGCUGUUCAAGGGCCACGUGGUGGACCCCGCGCCCGACAUCUUCAAGGGCCGUGUCAGCCAGUUCGGCGCCUGGCUGCACACCGCCUUCAUGCACGACCUCUCCCAGCAGCUGCAGCAGCAGCUGCCGCAGCGGCAGCAGCAGCCUGGGGAACUUGGAGGGCAGCAGCAGCAGCAGCAGGCUGCGCAAGUUGCUGGGGAGCAGCAACGUUGGGCGCAUGGGGCGCAGCAGACGGCAGCGGCAGCAGCAGCUGGGCCCGGUGGCGCCUGCACCUUGACGCUGACAGGGGCGCAGCUGGACAAACUGGCAAAGGCGCUGCGGAAGCGACGACCCGAGAUCUCUGUGGCGGUUGAGUAUGAGUUGCACUGAACAAUGGGGCGGGGGCAGGCGUGCAUGGGUGCUGGGUGGGUGCUGCUCAGCUGCUCGGGGCGGGAGUGGCCCAUUGACUGUGUGACCUGGCACCGUUUCAACUAUGGAGCCGGCGGCGUUUGGCGCGGACAGGCCUGUGACCGGACAUACUGAUUGGCAUACUUCAAUUCUUCAUGGAUCAAUGGGACCAGCAUAUUUGAGGUAGCGGGCGCUUAGCUGGCGGGUGGGUCCGGAACGGGUCGCGGAGGCGAAGCUGGAGGAGUUGUCGGACCUGCAGGUGGAGCAGUAGUGGGUGCAGCAAGACUUUGGGCGGUGCCUGUAGCCUAGAGUGAAGGGGAGCCACCACAGGUGACCGUGUGACCUGCGCAAGUUCGGACUGUGGAGCUGGCGGUGGGCAGGCGGGAGGCCGGGCGUACUGAUUGCCAAUCAUCUCUUCAUGGACGAGGUCAAUGUGACCACUAUUCUGAAUUUAGCGGGCAUUUAGCUAUAGGAUGGGUCUCCGGAAGGCAGGGGGUUGCCGGGGACUGCCGGGGUGAGAGCGUGUGAGACAGAUGAGCGCAUGCAUGUGAAGAGGCCCGCGCACCCCAAUUCGCUGGUGACUGGCGCUUUCUGUGUUGCUGCGGUUGCUGUAGGGUAGCCAACAGGUAGUGGAUCAGACGUGAACGUUCCUCGUGAACUCUCUGAAGCGCAAUUCCACUGCCGAUACCAGCGUUUCGCUCAAAUCACGCCGUGCUAUUGUCUUUGUGCACCCCAUAAUGAAGCUUACAAGUAGCAAAUCGGCGACCUCCUGUCGCAGCUCGCGGAGGAGCUCCGUGGCGGUUCAUGCUCGCUUUGGCCGCGACUCGGGCCUUAUCCUUGGACCGAAUGGACCUAACAACAAUCCUGGCAAUAACAACCAGAAGAUGAAGGAGCAGCGGCUAAUCCUGCCGGGGCAGCAGCAGCGUGGCGCACCUGGCGGAGGCCGCAUUGUGUUCCCGGAGAAGCAGGGCGGCAGCGGCAAGCCAGGAGGCGCAAGCAUGGACAACUUCCUGCCAGAUGACAGUACACUGGGUCUAGUAGGCGAGUCGCUUGUCGGUGGCCCCGCGACACUUAACAAGUAUCGCCCGCCCGCCGGUUUUAUGAACGAGAACCUCCCGGAGGACGCAUACAGUAGCAUGGACCCUCAGGAGAUGCUCAACAAACUGCGUGCGCGCGCUGGGCACUGGCACGAGCUUGCCAAGUUGAUGGCGCCGCUCAACUCAAGCGGCUACAGCUCGUCGGCCAUCGACGAGUUGACGGGUAUCACGCCGCUGGAGCAGAGCAAGUGGGUCGUGGCGGCGACCGUGUAUGAGUCCGUUAAGGCGUCGCCGGCGGUGUCCCCGGACACGCUGCGCCACUUCAACCAGGGCGGCGAGGAGCUGCUGCACCCCUUCCGCUUCCUGUCCGCCGAGCGCCGCGUGUCGGCCGCGCAGUACAUCGCGGAGCAGAACCUGGACCCGCCGGUGAGGGGCGAGAGGGGGAACGGAGGGCCCGCGUCGGGGGAAGGGGUAUCGAGGUGACGAACGUGCGUGACGAGCGAGGGCAGGGAGCGGAUGGGCGCACGGUGCGACCUGCACCGCGUGACCAGUGUGUAGUGGCUCUGGAUGAACUGCGUGGCGUCUCACAACGAGGGGGGUUGCUCAGGCAUUGGCAUUCUCGAGAGGCUCAGGCACCAGUAUCAGGCGUCUGUGUUGCAAGUUGGCGCAGCCACGCACCUGACAGGGGCGCGUUGACGGAGACGUACGCGCGCCCGCAAUGAACUCUGAGGCCUACAACCUACUGGUGCAGCACUGAUUUACGACUUAGCUUGGCCAGUCGCUAGCCCUCACACCUCGCACACCUGCCCCUUUGCACUGCUGCACACCCUUCCACCCACCCACACCUACACCCGCCCGCACCCCGCAUGUGCCCACGCAGAUGUGUGAGAUCCUGGCCCGCUCCAUGAAGGAGUACGAGCGCCGCCCCACCGAGCGCGUGGGCUUCACCGACCACCCCGCCGACUGCCUGGCGUUCAAGUACCUGCGCGACGUAAGCGGCUGCGGGGGAGGGAGGGUGGGGGCGGGGAUGGGGCAUGUUGGGGUGGCGGUGGCAGCGGCAGUGCUGAAGGUGGGCUGGGGGUGGACGGUGUGGGCUGGGGCGGGCGUGGGGCCGGCCGUACGGAGCAGGGGCGUGGUAGUGGGAGUAGGGUGGGGCAAGUUGGGGAGUUGCAAGAAUGCCUGCAGGGAUACGGCCAUAUGGGGCACCAGCGGUCUGCUGAGGAACACAGGGCAGACAGAUGGCACGACACAGCGCAGCACGUCAGCACAGCGUGCUCUCUCGCCGGGGCUUGUUGUCCCGUCCAAACCGCCGUCGGCGUGCGUUGCCGUCCCACCCACUUACUCGUACAGGCCAUCGAGUGCCGCAAGCGCGAGGAGGCGGUGCAGAAGGUGGAGCAGGGCCUAUCAGUGGCGCUGUCAGACGGAGCGCGGCAGCGGCUGGUGCGUGCGGGCGCGGGUGCGGGACGUGGGUGCGGGUGCGGGCAGGCAGGCGGGCAGGCAGGGGGGCAGUGUGGGCUGCUGCUGGGUGCGUGGGGGGACGGCAAGGGGUGCCGGUACGACCUCUCAAGCCUCCCUCAUGCACUUACCCCACUCCCACUGCCACACUCCCCCACACCCCCACCACCACCACGUGUGUGCAGUACGAGCUGCUGGCUGAGUCGCCCGAGGAGGCGGACACGGGGUCGGGCGUGUCGGCCAGCCUGGUGACGCUGCGGCUCAACCCCGAGGAGCUGGGCGUGCGGCCGGUGGCGGUGCUGGGAGAGCUGGGGCACGCUACGGUGAGGCAGCGCGUGUGUGUGUGCGUGUUGGCAGGCGUGUUAGUGCGGGGCCGGCAGGCGAAGUGGUGCAGCAUGAAACGCAGUUUGGGCGCAGCCAGGGAGGUGGGGCUUGAGCCUGGGCGGGGCGGGUGACCAAGGUGGUUAGCAAAGCAGGGCAGGGCGGGGCUCGGGAACCCCAGAAGACGGCAGCCUAGUAUGGCGGAUGAGGCGGAGGAGAGGCGCCGGGGAAUCAGGCGCACGUGGGAGCGAUGCCAUGGUGCGACCUGGGGCCUGGGGCACGGCACUGGGUGGCUGUGGGCUGGAGAGGCGACGUGAGGAGGCGCGGUGGGGGGGCGAGGAUGGGCGCGGCGCUCAGAAAUCACUCACGAGUCACGGUAUGCAGUGACCGGGAGCCGCCUGCCCAUGCCCGCUCGCAAUCAGCUGUGUGCCUGGUUUUUCCCAACGUAUCCUCAACCCGAACCCUUCCCCGCUGCCGGUUCCGCUCCCCGCUUCCCGCACGCCCGCCCCGUGCAGAUCGACGACCUGCAGGCCGCGCCUCGCGCCAGCCAGGGCGGCGCGUUCGGCAUGUUCACCAUUGAGCCCGCCGACGCCGACGCCAGCGCCGGCUCCUCAUCCGCCGCCUCCACCUCGGGCCGGCGGGCGUCCGCCGCCGCCAGCAGCUGGGUGGCGCUACCCAUGUGGCGCGCGCUGGCAAUGGCGCGGCAGCCGGUGGGGCUGAUGCUGAAGGACUGCGCCGCCGUGCAGGCGGUGCUCGCGGGCAGCAAGGCCAAGGUGCGGGCGCGUGGGGCGUGAAGCGCUUGGGGGGUGGGGCGCGGCGGGUGUGGGGCGCCUGGGGCACGGGGUGAGGGUGCGAUGAACAGGGCACGGCUGUUUGUUGCGCGGGAGACAUAAUAUUCAAUUCGCAGGCCGCACCGUGCCGCAUGAUGGCACGAACCAGCCCUGUUGUAUUUCGGCAACCGCUUGUCCUGAGCUUCUCCCUUUUGACUAGGCAUGUCGCAACCCCCUUCCACGCACGCACCCUGGCACAUACGCUCGCACACACGAACACCAUCCUGCGGCUUUCUUCUUUGUGCUUCACACACAUACACACACAUGCAUCCGCACACGCACACUCUCUGGGCGGGCUUCGUUGUGUUGGUUAUUUGAACACACGCACGCACACACGCCACCCCACGCAGACGGACGAGGACAAGAAGCGGCUGAGCGGCCCGGGCAUGAUUGUGGCGGACAAGGCGCCCGCCACGUGGCAGGAGGCGGGCCUGGACGAGAACGCCUGGUACCUGGCGCAGCCCGAGGGCGCCCGCGCCAUCCAGCUGGUGGACGGCCGGCGCGCCAAGGCGCAGGAGCUGGACAAGCGCGGCGCGCUGUGCGGCGUGGUGCUGUUCCUGGCGCGGCCGCCCGUCAAGGAGACGGAGGACCGCGGCCACAACCUGCUGCAGGUGUAGGGGGCUGCAGGUGUAGGGGGCGGUGGGUGCAGAUGGCGGUGGGUGCGGGUGGUUGGUGCAGGAGGUGGGUGCGGGUGGGUGGUGCAGGAGGUGGGUGCGGAGGUUGGCGGGGGCAGGUGUUGGGGAGCGGCAGCGGGCGGAGGCGUCUGAUGGAGCGGCAGCGGGCGGUGGCAGGUAGGUGCGCGCGCUUCUAGGCGUGUGACACAGAUACAACACAUGUUAUACACACACAUGGGCACCGCGGGCCACGUGUUGAUCCAUGCUUUGUGUUCAGAAGCAGAAGCAGGGCGGGGGCAGCAUCCGGCAGUGCAAGGCGCGCAGGUGUGGGCACGGGCGGCAGGCGAGCUCUGUCGCGUGAGCUGCAUUUUGGCAGGGCUAUUGCGGUUCCGUCAGCAUGGUUGUUGCAACUGUGUUUGUGUUGUGAUGGUGAUGAGGGCGGUGCCUCAAAGCACAUAGGCAUCUGGGGGAUAUAGUCGGAUGUGGUGGGGCCGCCCGCCAGGUGUUGGAUGCGCGUGUGCCUUCGUGUGCUGCCACAGCUUUGUCAAGUGGCGGCCGAGCCACCUUCUUCUGAAACCACAGAGCUGAUGAGAUUUCCAUGGCCGCGAUGCGCAGAUGGCUGUUAGGAAGCGCCGCACGCACCAAGCGCGCCGGGCCCAACCAGGGGCAGCAAGGAAGUCGGGGAGUCGGUAUGGACCGGUACCAACUUCGGAAAGGCUUUUCCCCUGGCUCCCGCCUCGACCGGCGGAUGAAGCCACAUGGCAUGAUGGCUUUCCUGUAUGUCCUUUGGGAAUGCUGCGAAGGUGCAGAGCGCACGAUGGCGCCAUCAACACGUGCAGUCGGGUGGCAGCACUUUAGGCCGGAGGUUUCGUUUUGAGUGUAUAUAUGUGAAAGGAAUAAAUGCAUGCGUGAAGCGAAUUGCUCUAGAGCUGUCCAGAAAACGCGGUCUGAUGCAAUGAGGAACCCCAACCCCUCUUCUUUUCUGCAGAGCGCCCAAUUUCCUUUAGUGUUGUUUACCACCACUCCCCACGCCUCAUAGUGGCGUGAUAGCAACCAUGAUGCUUAAACAGGGUGUGCAGCAGAGAAUCGCUGCGGGUGCCACUCAGAGCACCCGCAGCUGCGUUGUUGAGGCCCAUGCGCAAGCCUCCAGCCGUCAAGUGAUUACGCCUUUUGCUCCUCGCGCUAGUGGCAAGACCGCAUGCCUGGGCUUCGCUCGCAGCGCCGCAUCGGUCAGCGGCGGCAGGGCUCGCAGCCUGGUGGUUCGCGCCGCCGCGUCUGCUAGCCCUUUCCCCAAGAGGAACGCUCGUCUAGUGCUGGAGGAUGGCUCGGUCUGGCACGCGACUGCUUUCGGCGCGACCGGCACGGAGAUUGGCGAGGUGCGCACCAUCACUCCAAACCCUGGUUGAAGCAGCGAAGCGCGUCCGGUGCACAAUUGGUCUCGGUGAUUGCUGGUGUUGCAUGAUGAAUUGGAUUUUUGCGCCGGGAGCGCGGCCACUGGGGGAGCCGCCUUGUUGUAGGAGCACGUUGUCGCACCGACAUGCCAACCCUUGUUCGCGAACGGUGUGCUUUGACGCGCGCCGCAGGUCGUGUUCAACACCUCGCUCAGCGGCUACCAGGAGAUUAUGACGGACCCCUCUUAUAAGGGCCAGUUUGUCGCCUUCACGUGCCCGCACAUCGGCAACGUCGGGAUCAACCUAGGUCGGUUGAAGCGCACGUCGUCCAGAUACAUGGUUGUCGCAAGAUAGCUGUGCGUUUGAUGAAAUAUCAAUGGGCGCUGAGCUAGGAAUCGUCAGCCAACAAGAGUUGAGUCCGGAGGCAGCACAGCGCAGCCCUCACCCGGCACCCCUGGCCCCGCCGAAGCACCUGGCCAUCCACCGCACUGCCUGCCCCUCACCACAUACCUCCUCCUAACGCACUGCCUCACGCAUCCCCACCUCCUACCUCCCUCCCUCCCAAUAGAGGACAUGGAGUCCACCAAGUGCCACCUGGGUGCCAUCAUCGUGCGCGACCUGUCCUGCGUCGUGUCCAACUACCGCUCGCGCAUGUCGCUGGACGAGUACUGCAAGAAGGAGAACGUCAUCGGCCUGGCCAACCUGGACACGCGCGCGCUGACCAAGGUGCUGCGCGAGACGGGCUGCCUGGUGGGCGUGGUUACCACCGACGCCUCCAAGACGGACGCGGAGCUGGUGACGAUGGCCAAGGGGUGGACCAUCGUGGGCAAGGACCUGCUGAGCGUGGUGUCGUGUACGGAGCCGUACGAGUGGGGCAAGGGCACUACCGACGAGUGGGAGUUCAACCACCGCGCCAAGCUGAACAAGCAGCACGGGCCCUUCCACGUGAGUUGUGCGGUGCGGUGCGGGUGGGUGGGAAGGAGAGGAGGCUGGUGGGAAGGCGGUGUGAGGAAUGCAGAGGGAGGGAGGGCAGGAGGGAGAGGCUGGGAGUGGGGAGUCCGAAGACUGAGAGUGAGGUAAGGGGCGGGCGUGACACAGACUCAAAAGGGGACCGGGGAACGACUUGAUUAGGAAAUCGUUGAUGAAAGGCCGGGCUCGCGGAACGGAGGGAUUCAGGGCACGCAACACAAAAGGGUUCCCUACAUACUGGGGUCAGUGCCCAGCCGCUAUCCACACCGACAGCCAGCAGCUGCGGCCUGCAGUUGACAGUGCAGCUCGUGCAGUGACGAACCUGUCGGAUCGCGCAGUACUUGGUACUAGCGCCCAGACGCCGAGGGUGGGGCCGCUGUUGGCUGGUCACACCGAGCAUGUACUUGCCUGGGUGCCCCAGGCCACUUGCAAGGAGCAUGCACCCAACCCGGACACCCAGCCUGCUGGCUACAGCUGCCACCACGCCAUGUCCAUCAGACUGCUGCGCGCGCUCUGUCGGUCCGUUUUCCAAGCCCACCUCUCAACCCACUCCCCGCUUUACCCAUCUUUAUCCCUCAGGUUGUGGCAUACGACUUUGGCAUCAAGACCAACAUCCUGCGCCGCCUGGCCUCAUUCGGCUGCCGCAUUACCGUGGUGCCCGCCACCUACCCCGCCUCCGAGGUCCUCAAGAUGAACCCCGACGGCGUCUUCUUCAGCAACGGCCCCGUAAGUAGCGCAGCAGUGGCAGUGGCGGGAGGAGGAUGAGGUGGGAGCGCGGGAGCUUGAAGAGCAAGGGGCUGGAGCCUGGGGUGCAGGGGCAAAUGGGCAUGGAGUGGGAGAGAGAGGGCAAUAUGGUUGGCUGCGGCUACGCGGAAUCCAGGCGUGUUUGGCAUACAAAGCAGGAUGGCCCGUCCCUGACUGUACCUGUGCAUGCCCCCCCCCCCCCCACACACACACACACACAUGGUGUCGGCUCCCGGCGCAGGGUGACCCGUCCGCCGCCCCGUACGCGGUGGACAACGCUAAGGCCAUUCUGGGCAAGAAGCCCGUGUUCGGCAUCUGCAUGGGGCACCAGGUGCGUGUGUGUGUGUGGGCGUGUUCCUGUGUUUCUGCUGUGGGGGACUCGCAGGGGGGACAGGGGCCGAACUGGGUCACGAGGGGUCAGAGAGUGGAUACGAAUGGUGGGAGUGAUGGGCAAAGGGCUACGAGGGAGGGCUGGUGGGCGAGCAAGGGACAAGGGAAACGAUAUGUUCCCCCCACGUUGUAGGAAUCAUGUAGCAAGGAUGGGGGCAUCUUGGGAAUGGGUGGACGCCCAGCCUUGCAGGCAAAGUAAACAGGCACAUUCACAGGGGUCUCGUGGGCAGGGGCACACCGGACAAGGGCCACAACAGGCAAGCAAACUCUCUGGGCAAUCCCGUUGCAUUGUGCACUCCCUCGCCCCACACAGGUUCUGGGCCAGGCGUUUGGCGGCAAGACCUUCAAGCUCAAGUUCGGGCACCACGGCGGCAACCACCCCAUCCGCUACAUGCCCACUGGUGAGCCUGCGCGCCACACACCCUGCCCCGCGCGUCUUGCUGUCACAUCGUUUCUCGCAACCCGCUAUGCGUCCUUUCUGCAUGCUGUGACAGGCCCUUUUCCCUCGGUCAUACCCGUUACCCCCACCGCUCACUUAUAUAAUUCCGCAACCCCCUGCCAGGCCGUGUGGAGAUCUCGGCGCAAAACCACAACUUCGCUGUGGACCCCUCCACCCUGCCCGCGGGCGUGGAGGUGACCCACAUCAACCUCAACGACGGGACAUGCGCAGGUGGGGAGAACACAUGGGGUAGCUGGAGAGGGAGGGGGUAGGGGCAGAGAAAGAGGGCCUGACAGAGGGUAGGGGCAGGGAAAGAGGGCCUGACAGAGGGAUGGGCCGCGCCAGGUGCUGGCGGAACAGACGGGCGCAGCGGGGCUGUCUAAUCAGUAAGAUGGUGCCAAGGAGUGGGGCGUGAGACAUGGGCGCAUGAGAACGCAACGCGGCGGUGGAACAGUGGGACGUACGGCAUCGAUAUUGCCUUCAGGGGGCGAUGGGUUACUGUCUGAGGCAAGGUAAAGGCGUUUGCUUGCGUGUGGAUUCUGCGGCGGGGUAGCCGCAAGUGGCCAGUGCUAGGCGCUCCCGUCUCACGGUCUACCUGUCAUGCGACCACCCCCGACUCCUGACCCGCCUUCCGCCCUGCUCCCGCCCCCCCCACAGGCAUGGUGUUCAAGGAGAAGAAGGCCAUGACCAUCCAGUACCACCCCGAGGCCUCCCCGGGGCCCCACGACGCCGACGUGUGCUUUGAGCAGUUCGUGGACAUGAUGCGCGCCGAGAAGGCCGCGCACGCCAGCGCGUAAGACAGUGCGUGCAGCAGCAACUGCAACGACAGGAGCAGCAGCACGGAGAUGUUGAUGCUGGUGGCGUGUGUGCGACUAGUGUCUGGUGUGUAUAGAAUAUGGCGGCAACAUGACGACUUGUGACAGGAGACGAGCCCUCGCGCGCGGGUUGGCGUUCUGGCUGAUCCGCUGCCAGGCCGCGCCGGGCUGGGGCGUGGUAACCGGUAGGGUGGUGGAAGCGGCAGGCGGUAGUGCCCGCAGCGCGAAGCUUUGGGGGCAGCGUCUGCGCUGCCGACUCGCACGCACUGACCGUGCUGCCACCACAGGAACUUGUAGGGGGAGAGGGGCAUGCGUAGGGUGACGGAUGCUGCUCGCCCUGCAUUGUAGCUGAUUCUUUGUUGUAUCAUCGGGGGCUGUACCGACUGUGACUUGAGAGCAGAUGAACAUGAGGACUACUUGCGGGCGUGACGGUGAUUGUUUACGCACACGCGCGCUGCGCAGGGAUGAGGGCGGUGCAAGCUCCGAGGUGUGCAUUGAUGCGUGGGGAAGCUGCAGCCCUCGGAAGUUGCGAUUGACACUGAGCAGCACUGUGCGGUGCCUGCUGUGACAGGCGCGCCGGUGUCGACGUGUUGGGUGGCUUGCUCGCGCGCCACUGCCAGCUGGCGGGAGCGCCGAAGAGGAUGGGUCUCUACGAUCUGCACUGUAUAUGGCUGAGAAUGCUGGCCCUAAUUCCAAUCCGUCCCUCCGCGCGCUUGUCCAUCUGAGGGUGCCCUCAUCACCAUCAAUCCUCGCGGAGGGCGCCCAGCAGUCGGCUCCUUCACUGACUCGCGAAUGACCCUUUCUACGUGGACUUCUCGAGGCAGGGGGAGACCCGGAGACCACACCAGCUACGCUGAGCACAACCCAUGCGGUUGCCAGGGUGCCGCGCCAAGGGAAGACAAGGGAAGCGGUCUCCGGAGCUCGACCCCCCCCCCCCACCACCACCACCACGCCCCCCAGGAUACAGCUUUCGCGCAAGGAUGGGCGUGACUGCGUGAGAAUGGGUGGCCAGAACACAAGCCAUGUGCGCCUGCUUCCAGGGCAGCCAUUAUGGCCUUCGAGUGCGGGUGCUAUCAACUGCACAUGUAUCACGGGGGAGUGGUAAGGCACAGGCCGCAGGUUGGCCACGUCCGCUCGCGAGUGGUGCAACCAAAUUGCCAGGCAGGGGCCUUCCCUGAUGCACGGCGCAUGGCUUUGGCCGAAUGGCCCCAGCCUGUGGCUCUCCGCGCGUGAGCGCAGGGGCUGUUAGAGCUCCCGGCUGGAACGCCAUGGCCGUUGCGGAGGACAAAAUCCUUCGGUGCAAGGGGGACAGGGGUCGUGAACCAGGCCCCACGGAAUGUCACGCAGGCUGCCACCGCCAGCGCGGGGUGCGCAGGCUGCUGCCGCGCGGGGCUUAACCUCAAGGUGUGUGUCCGCCCAGCCACCUACAUCGGCUCGCGAUGGCUAUAAACAUAAGAGAUAUGACGUUUUAUCAUGAGGCCGGCGCGCCUGGAAGAGCGCUUCAGGAGAAUGGGUGCACCUCGCGAUUGGCCAACGCUGGUCUGCAAGUUUGGGCACAAGCACCCUCUUAAUCACUUUCUCGUGUCUUAGGCAACUUGACCUCUUUCCCUUACCUGGGCUAGUCCGCCAAGUUAGCAGGCACCAUGUUCGCUCUGUCGGCCGUCUCUUCCCGCAACGUGGCUUGCCAGGCUUCCCAGCCCCGCCACAAGGGUGCCAAGCACCACGCGCGCUCGCGCCCCAUUAAGGUGCGAGGACAAAACCUGAGCGGCGGCCAUUUUGUGGUGGCUUGCGGUCCAGCUUGCGCCAGAGCAUGUGGGCACCCACCGUUGCCAGGGGAGGGAUCAAUUUAGGUUUCUACCUACUCGGAAGUGUUGGAGGCACGUCGAACGAGUGGUGGACGCGACACUGUGUGGGCAAGCGAAUGCGCUCCACCGCACGGUCGCGACCCCGGCCUGCUGCAGACGUUGGAAUGACUUUUCCUUCUGCUUUAAAAUUACAGUACAACCGCGCGGACAAGAACCACGGGCCUGCCAAGUACGAGCCCCUGCCCACCCCUCCCCCGGCCCUUAUUGUGGUCUCCAAGGCCGAGUCCAAGUAAGCGCCUCACGGCGCUGGCUUGAGCGGCUGUAUGGCACGGAGCAAGGUAAGGAUGGGCACUAUAGAGGUGAACAUGGAAACAGGGCAGGCUGCCGGAACCAUGAAAGUAGCCGACCGUGGUUUAAUCCUGGAGAUGUGUCCCUGUGUGUCCGUCGUUCUCAAUGCCAGCGUGCCGGCCUUUCACAUGGCUUGCGCGGGUAUCUGACUACUCGCCAAUCAAUGCCUGCUUGUUACAGGUUGCAGGAGGCAGGACGGGCGUGCAGCUUGACAGCUGACACGUGCGGGGGCGUGCCGGGCGAAUGAGUUUGAGCUUGCCCUUUGGACGAGGAGUCACAGAAUGAAGCGGUGAUCACGGGGAGGUGGCCAGCAGCUGGCUAGUCACACGCAAUGGCGGCACGUCAACGCACCCAUGGUUACAUGUGGGCAGUACGACGUGGCGCGGCAGCAGCUCCUGCCUGUCGCGACGCUGUGUGAGUGGUAUGGCUGCAGCUCUGGGUUCUUGGAGGAGGAUUUGGCGCACCGCAUUCCUUAGGUAGGGCGGCGCGCAGGUGGUGCAAACGCCUGGCAAUGCGGCGGGCUGACUUCGGAGCUGUGGUGGUGCGGUUCGGGACCGCCCGUGGCCCCGCCGUUCCCCGUGUCAUCCGGUUUGGGCCGCGUGGGCACGACGUCGUGAGGGACGGCUUGGCUACCGAGGUAGUCUAUCUAUCGGGAGUAGCACGGCGGGAAUUUUUGCGCGGCGGAACGCCCGGCGGGCUGGGAGCCAUCCACCAGGAGUCACUGUUGCGUAGUAACGCUUGGGCGGCUUGUUUACCAGCCAGGACAUUACGAGAGAGUGUGUGCAGUCGGUUGGGGUGUGGCAGGUGCCGAGAGGUCCGGGCUGCGCUGGAAGCAUGGUGGAAAUGUAACGAAACUGUUGCGCAUGCACUGUGAGCCUGUGACGCUUGGCAGGUGGUUCUUGGGUGCUAAUGUAUUGCUGCCCAGUCACCGUCUCACCAAGCCGCUAAGUACCGUACCGCCUUCCUGGUUCCAACCUCGCACAAGUCGGGCACAAGUUCGAGCACUAGCAUGCUGCGCCGCCGCGGCCAGCCGCAGCCCGGCAGCAGUAGCGACGGUACCCCCAUGGCGAUAGGCCGAUAGCAAACGCUUCUACAAUGCAGCACUACCGUAGCAAUAGAGUCGGACCACAUCCCAAGCCCCCACCAUCACCCAAAUGUAUGUCCACAGUACAUACAAGCUUGCCAUUCAGACCAUCUACGCACAUGACCCGCACACAUGACAGCAGCCAGCCCACUUUAGCAUCAACCAGCGGUGCAGCACCUCCAGGGCCACGGGCCCUCCCAUGCACGACCCGGCCUGCGACCAGGUCCACUUCAGCCGGUAGGGCACUUAGCCCACCACUCUAUGCCGCCGCACCUUGGCCACCGCUCCAUCUGCGCUCCCACCCCCUCGGCCUCCGUCUCCGUCUUCCAUGGACGGCUACACCCCUCAGCCCUCAUACUCUGGCCUGCCUUUCACUGAGCCUCCUCAUGCUCUCUAAUCUGUCCGUGGUCUUCGGGGCUUUACCCCAGCUCCGCUCAGCCCUGCAGCAAGCUGUCGAGGUCCGAGGUGAACGUGCUCAGCCGCGCCUCCGUCGUCACCUUGAGCCCGCUUCCGCUAACGGCGCCCUGGGACCAUAGCGUGACCAGCAGCUUGGCGUCAAAGGCCGUGGUGUGAGCGUUAGGGUUGCAGAAGAUCUGCAGCAAAGAGAAGGAGCGUGGAAUCACGGAGCUUGCGUGUCUGGGGGUUGUUGGCGAGCCGUGGGGACACACUGGGGCGGCAAGCAGGUGGCGUAGAGCGGCCUCUCCAACACGCGCCACAUACCCUCCGCAUUACAUGGGCUGGUUCCUGGUUCUGGGUUUGGGUAUCAUUUAAUAGUGGUUGGAGGAGCCCUGCACUGGACGGCAAGCGCACCUCGAUGCCCACUUGCUCGUCCUUGUGCUGCCACUCCAUCAUGUCCCAUCGCUUUGGCCUUUGCGCUUUCUGCUUCUCCGCAAAUGUCUGAAACAGCUUCUGGAUGGCGACCUGUGGGUGCGGUGAUAAGGGGGGUUGCGUGAGACGGGGAAGGGUAGGUCACAGGGUCAGGCCGUGGGGUCAGCGGCCCGGAGCAGGGCCGUGCUUGCACAUUCGGGCCCUGCCCCGCGACAGCCCAAAACGCGAGGAUCUUUGGGAACAUGUCACUGGAAGUUUAGCCUGGGCACAAGGUCUCGCCUGGAGCUCUUGUGCCUUUUCGUUGGAAAAGGGCAGCGAAAUCGUCGUCUCGCCCGCGUGAAGAAGCAGAGGCCGGGUUGCCACGGGGCCCCCUGCACAGAUUGCGUACAGAUUAUCAUUUGAUUGCUGGCUGGCAGCUUGGAUCCGAGUGCACAGCGAAGGUCUCGGUCUCGGCGCACCAAUUCGGUGCAAGCUUUGGAGUUCGCAAGCCUCCUCACCUACUGCCGCUGCGCGGGGGACUGUGGCUAGAGCUUGAAGCCUCCGUGGUGUAGCAGCCAGGCGAGGAGCCUUAAGGUGGGUUGCCGACAGCGUGUGCAUGGUCACAAGUUGGGCGCUUAUCGACAGCGCAAGCUCGCGUUCUGGUGAGGAGCUGGUAGCAGGGACACGCACGUUUGUAAGCAAAAGGGAAGCAGGGUUUUGGCCAGUGUUUCCGCGAUGAAUCUGGUUCAGGAUGGGGAUCCCGAUUGGCUGCCGGCCUGGGCCGCCCCCACCUACCCCCGCCGUCAUGCCGUGCCCCGGACCGCGACAACUUUCACAACGCUCUUCCAAAACACUUGCGUGUCACCUUCAGUGUCACCUGUUGCAACUGUGCACGUAUCUACUGCCUGGCACCAGUCAACGUCGGUGUCUCAGCGAGUCAGCAACGCCAUGGCCCUGCACAUCGUAGGGUUCACUCAUGUCCAAGCUCAUACCUCAUGGACGUUUUGUGGGAACUCCUGUUUCUGUGACCUAGCUACCUGACAUUUCUGAUAUGUACAUCGACUUCCUUAUCAAGUCUGCAUGCCUUUAGACUGCUUACUCCAUCAACAUGACCGCACGCCACGCCUCCUCCCCGCUCCCGUCCAGCCAACAGCCCCACGCUCCAGCCUCCAGCCCCAGCCUGCCUACUUUCAAACAUGCACUACCCCGCCCGCAUCGCGCUGCCCAUCCUGCCGUACCCAUCGCCCCCCAUCCCCGUUGCCGUACUACCCAGCCCCAUGCUGGCGCCAUCACCGUACGACUCCAGCAGCCCGCCGCCACUGCGCGGCCCCUCUUCCCCGUCGUACGCGCCGCCACUGCCGCCGCCACCCCCGCCGCCUCCCUCCUCGUCGCUGCUGUCGCUGCCGCGGGUGCCCGGCCGCCCGUUGGCGGCCUCACCGAACGCCGCAGCGGCGUGCGGGCCCAGGUACCUGUGGGCAGCGGCACAGUGCAAGGCAGCAACGGCUGUGAAUACACUUGACAAGGUGAUGAGCAGUCAAGCAUGCAAUCGGGCACACGGCUUGACAGCACCCAAUGCUACCCGCGCCCUUCCACCGCAUCGCGCCACAUCCCAAUGCCAGGUCCCCAGCCCUCCUCCAACCCAUGCCGUCCCAUCCGCGCAACACCCAAUGCAGCUCAGCGUCAACUACACCCACCCCCGCCUGACCACCUGACCACGAGCAUCCACCGCAUUACAGUAUUACACCCUUCCGCCUCCCGACCUAAGCACUCACUUGUGCCGCACCCACGGCGGCCACAGCACGUAGAACACCGCGCCCGUGUCGGCGUCCACCAGCCCCCACUGCGUGGCGUCCUUGAGCAGGUGGAAUGCCGCCACCAGGUGGUGCCGCUUGGCCAGCGUGUUCAUGUAGGAGGUCAGGUCGCCCUCGGACACGGCGCGGGAUUUGUCGAACGACACCACCACACUGCCGUUGCUGUCCUCGAAGAUCUGGACAAGGAGGAGUUUGAGAUGGUGGUGGAGAUGGUGGUGGUGGAGAUGGUGGUGGUGGUGGUGGUGGUGGUGGUGGUGGUGGUGGUGGUGGUGGUGGUGGUGGUGGUGGUGGUGGUGGUGGCGGCGGCGGCGGUGGUGGUGGUGGUGGGAGACUGGGAGUCAGUGGAAGGGGAGGGUGUGUGCAGCGGCAAGCUCCCAGCCCCGCAACCAGCUCAACACCAGGCCGCCGCAACCGCAAGUCGCAACCCAUAUGCCUGCCAGCGCCCCGCCCCGCCCUGUCCCAGGCCCCCCGCUACCCCAGCGCCCCAGCAGCACCGCGCCCCCGGCAGUCACCUGCAGGAAGCCGGUGGGCCAGUCCUCGCUCAGCUGCCGACACAGCCCCAUCAUGCAUUCGUCCAGCCGCCCCUUGAGGGACGUGGCAGACUUGGGCCGGCCCGCCGGGUAGAAGGGGCCCGCCACCACCCUGUGGCGUGUGCGUGUGGUGUAGCGUGGGUUUGGUGUGGUGCGGUGUGGUGCGAGGUGUGGUGUGAGGUGUGGUGUGAGGUGGUGUGAGGUCCACAACACCACAGCGUCCUUCCACACCGCAGAGCCCCGUCCGCAUCCCCACGCCUGCCCUAGUACCCGCCCGCGCCCCGCACCCACGCCCCCCACCCCGUUUCUUUUGGAUUGGAAUGAACUACCCCAACCCCAACCCCCAACCAACCCCCCCCCCACAAACCCUGAAGCCCCCUUACAAAUCCUGCCGCCCACCCACCUGGACCUGCCCACGUCAUUGUCCGCCAGCACGCUGCUGUCGUACGCCUCCGCCGGGUCGGUCACGUAGGCGAAUUCGGAGAAGGCGGGGGCGCCGCGGGGGGGCGCGGGGGGAGCUCGCACCACGAACUCGGAGGGCGUGGUCUGACUCAGCUUGUGCUUGAGCCGGUCGAACUUGCCCAUGAGCUUGACGCGGUCGUAUUCGGAGGGCAGGUACUCAAACUGUGUGAACAUCUGCGUGGCGUAGAUGGGGGGGAGGGUGUGUCGGAAGAUGGGGAGAGCAUAGAGUUGUUGGGUUGAGAACUUCAAAGCCGCCGCAGCCGCCAGCCCACGCCAGCCCGUAGCUGCACCCAAGCGUGGUGGCUCGGUCCACCUCGCCCAAACCCACAGGUUCCCUCCCCCGCCACCUCACAAACACACAGGUGCCUCCAGGUCCAACCCCGUGUGCCCACCCGACAACAGACACCCCUCCAACUCACCCCGCUGAGCGGGUGGAUGCGCGCCACCUGCUUCUGCCCUACACUCAGCGGCAUGGCCAGCGGCCCGCCCUCCAGCCCGUAGCUCAGGUCGGCGCGCCGCCCGCGGUCGCCGCUGGUGUCGCCCGCCCGCUCGCGCUGCGCCGCCGCCACCAGCUCCUGAUACAGGCGCUCGCGGAAGUCGGGGUUGAGGGCGUUGGGCAGUGAGCGGAUGCCGCAGAUGUUGGCGGUGGACCAAACCGUGCGCACGUGCUCGCUGGCGGAUUGAGCCGCGCAGGCGUCCAGCGGGCCUUUGGGCUGCACCCGCGUGGUGCUGAGGUGGUGCGGAGGAGGCGGGGGCGGCGGGGGAGAGGAGGGCUCGGGCGGGGGCGGGGGCGAGGCGGGAGCCGCGGGGUCAGAGGUGGCGGCGGGGCUGGAAGCGGAGGCGGCGGCUGAGGCGGCGGAGCGCGGCCUCGAGCCGGCGGCGCUGCUGGGCAGGGGCGGCAGCGGCGGCGGUGGUGCUGCUGCCACUGCUGUUGCAAGUGAUGACGAUGGCAGGGCUGCAGGUGCGAGCGACGGCUCCGCAACGGGCUGGCCCGCACUGCUGCUGGUGCUGGUGCUGGGUGCUCGCCGGACGGGACCGCUGGUGUUGGAGGCGAAGGACAGCCCGCGCGGCAGCAGCGGCGGCUGCGCCGCGGCCGACGAUGUCGAUGGCGCCGACGGCUCGAGUGGCUCGGUGCUCCCCGGCCGCGACCCCUGCCGCUGCGACUGCGACUGGGACUGGGACUGUGACAGCUGCCCUGCUCCCACGAAGCUUGUCGCCCGGGAGGCAGCACCGCUGGGGGCCCCGCUAGCGCUAGGCGCGGAGGCCUGCGGCCUGUCCGUCGCCGCCGCCGCCGAGCCGCCGCUCUGCUGCUUCCGCAGUGAGGAGGAAGCCGCCGACACCGCCGACGCCUCCGGCGCGGCCGCAGGGGCAGCCGAACUGAAGGAGGCGCCUCGGCUCGCACCCGUCCCUGCUGAUGCGGAUGGUUCUAGUGCCGGCGGCGCCGCCGACGAUGAGAAGGAUCCCGCCUUAGAGGCCGGCUUUGAGCCCGCUGUCGACCCAGGCCCCGGCGCCGAUUCACUGACCGCUGGCGGCGCCGCUGCCGCUGACGCUGACGCUGUCUGGGAGGAGAAUGACUCACGUUUGGAGGCGGCGCCGCUGGCCGCGGUAGCGGCGGCUGCGCCGGAGGCGGAGCCGGAAGCGGAGCCAGAGGAUGCGCGCGCUACGCUGCUAGCGUUACGUGAGGGCGCGGCGGAGGCGAUGCUGGCGAGCACCGCCUCCUUGGCUGCGGCCAGCUGCUCAGGAUCCGCCUGGAUUCGGUACACCGCGCUGGCGGCCCGCUCGAAGGAGGGCGAGAUGUAGGUCAGGAUCUUGCCGCUGUGCUCCGGCACCUCCUCCUCGCCGCCACCCUCCGGCCCUUCCGCUGCAUCCGCGGUCGGCUCCUCGCCCACGCCUCUAGGCUCUGUGUUGCCGGCCUCGGCCUCGGCCUCGGCCUCGGCCUCGGGCUCCGGCUCCGGCUCCGGCUCUGGCUCGGCGGCCGCUGGCUCGGCAGCCUCCGUGUCGUCUGCCGCCUCGUCGUGUUCGUGAAAUGCGUCAUCUGCAUACGAGUCGUCGCCCGCACCCGCAUCCUCCGCGGCUUCGGGCUCCGCGGCUUCGGGCUCCGCAGCUUCGGGCUCGGGCUCCGCUGCUUCGGGCUCCGCGGCUUCGGGCUCCGCUGCUUCGGGCUCGGGCUCCGCGGCUUCGGGCUCCGCGGCUUCGGGCUCCGCUGCUUCGGGCUCGGGCUCCGCGGCUUCGGGCUCCGCGGCUUCGGGUUCUGCCUCCGUGUCAGCCCCUGCCCCCGGCUCUACAUAGUCGUCACCAGGCGCCAUCCCAGCAUCGUCUGUGUGGGGUUAGGAGGAACAGCCAUGCUUGGCAACCGCGGCGGAGGUAAACAAGGGUAGCCUCUGGCCAGCGGCACCUAAGACAAGGCUGCUGCCAACUCAGUCGCACAAUACUGUCGCUUGCCGCUUACCCGCUUGUCGCUCCUCAGUAGCGCCCUCUGUUGGGUCUGCGCCCUCAAGAGUCGGGGGCGGGGCAACCUCUGGGUCCAUUACGUCGCGCGCCCUGUUGCUAACUUGGUUCAGCACAUCCGCUGUUUGUCGCUACGCUUUUUAAGCCAGAGAUAAGGUUUGCGCUGAAACAAAGCUAUGCACUUGUACAAAUUGUCGCCAAGAGUAAUAGCGUGACUUCUAGCCAGUGUCGCGUGUCAAUUUAGUAUAAACAUAACCUUGUAGCUCGUUGUGCUUUGCGCAUCGGCAAGAAACCACGAAACCGGCAACGUCAGUUUCCUCCCGACGUUCCGUCGAUACAGGGUAAGGAGCUACGACCGCGCGGCCUAGGAAGUGUUAUGAUAUUGCCUCUAUAAAUAUAAGGUCGAUAGGAUGUUCUGGUGGCAUGGUACACGAACGUCAUUCUGGACAUGAACAUCCACCCGGACCAUCCGACCCCUGCAUGCCGCCUGGUCGACACCCGCCUUCCCCGCGCCUGCACAAACUCCGCAACCUCAUCACGAUGUCUAUGUGGGCCGGGGGAACCCCUCGAGAACCCCCCUGCUGGGAGCCGCUCCGCUAAGCAAGCCGGCGUACCCACCCAGCGGAGAGCCUUCCCCAGGGCCCGCCCGCAGCGCCGCAGAGUGCGCCUCCUGGCAGGCCCAACCGCAGCACUCCAUUGCCCCGCGGCAGCCGUGCUGCCCCUGCAGCCGCUCACCGCCCCCUCCAACCUCCUCCUCCUUAACCACCGUCGCUCUUAGUAGUAGUGCGCGGGUGGGAGCCAGACAGCGCAACGGCACCUGCUGCGAGCGGCCCGUGCUCCUCUUCCUUCUCCUCCUCCACCUCCGCUGCUGCCGCACCCACCACCCUCCGCCUCUGCCAACCACGCGGCCACGCCUCGCCCACUUGAACACGGCACGCGGUGACACUGUGACAGUGGUUUGAGCAUACAGGCCACUCACGCACGCCCGCGAUCCACCUGCUGCGCCGUCGCCCAUCAGGCCCACCUCUCAUGCCAGCGUCAGCAGGUCCCCCAAUGCAAUCUCUCAUGCUGGGACCUCCGUCAUUUGUUGAUUUGUAGCAGAGCCUGCUCCAGCUCCAGCUCCAGCUCCUGCAACGCGCCAGACGCCAGGCGCCCACGGCACGUGGGGCUGCCGGCUGCGGCUGCGACCGCGGCAUCGCCUCCGCCAGCGCCCUCCGGAACCGCCAGGGCUGCCAGGUUGAGCACGGUCAUCAGCUCUGUGUCGAUCAGGAACCCGUGCCUCCUCCACCUCCGCCACCUCCAUCAUCAGCAGCACCAACCGUGUCUGCAGCAGCGCCCAACACGCCCGCCACGUCAAUGUCACACAGAAGGAACCGCCGCCAGCUGGCGGCCUCGGCAGCGGCGGUUCCGGCGGUGGCAAUCAGCCAUCAGGGCGAGUGCCACAUGGACGUCCUUCGAGCCAGCAACACCCCCAGCCAGCUGCAGAUGUCGGUGGCGUAACAAAACCUGCAUGGUGCCGCUGCACCGUUGGCGCACCAUCAGCCAGCCGCCGCGAACACGUCUCGUACGUCUUGCAUGUCACUUUGGGGGUACUGUCAUUUGCUUCAUCGGCACCCUCAGAACGGCUCGUGUUUACGAUACACACACACCUCGGCUUCUCUCCUUCAGCCCAAGCACUGACCAAGGGCCCUUGGCUAUGCUGCUGCACCUCUCCUCCCCGCCACGGUCUCUCACGCAAAGUCUCGUCUCGCCUCGUCCUAAAAGGCCGCACGCCCGCAGGCAAAGCCGCCAACUGGCGUCCAGGUGCGUCUCGUCACGCACGGCAUACAGCACCUCUCGACAGCCCGCGGCAAUUGGCCAGCAGCAGCAAACACGCUGCCCCCCCCCCCGACCCGGCCUGGCCCGGGUGCACCUCUCUCUUCACGUCGUGUGGAGCCUUGCCUGCAGCCCGCGUAACGGUUGGCCAAAUGCUGGCCCUACCUACCCUACACAAAACAACGCGUACGAGAGCUACCCACGUAUACAUCCACCUGGAAUAGCAUUAUUGGAAUGGACUGCUGUGCCUCUCGAUGCACGCAAAUCCUCAAAAGAGAUACGUCACGCAUGUUGUGUAUGAAUGCGUGGAGUUAGGGCAGCUGCCAGAACCUGCAACUCAGCCGCAACUCAAGACGCAUGUGCACUCAGCAACUCCUACUCAGCAAGCAACGCUCCUAAACCCCUACGUAUUUCAACUGGGUGCAAUCUUCUCCAAUGUACACGCAAACACACUGGGCACGGCCGUCCCGUAAUUCGACCCCUGAUGAGCAAUCACUCAUGGGGCGAACGGGAUCCCAAUCGUGCCCACAACCAAGCAGACUGUGCUGCACGCGGCACAACCCCUCAACCCUCUCGAGUCUCACAGCGGUCUCUCCACUGAGCCACCGCAACAGUAACUGCAGCUAUCAAGGCCAGGCGCAUGCCCAGCCACACCCAUAGCGACAACUCAAACCUAACUUCAAAUUGAGACAACAACACAGGACCUGCGCUUCGGUUGAGGCCCAUACACGUGGCGAGUAUGCAUUUGCAUGGCCGUGGUCCUUAGCCUUGGUUGUCCAGGUCACCCCGCAUGCGGUUCCCUCGCGCAGUCCAUCCCGCGCAUUCAAACGACCCACACCCCUGUUUUGAGGGAUGACUCACUCCUUAGACGCUCGAGUAGCUGUUUCCUUUGCUGGUCCCCCGUGAGCAUGGCGUGCCGGGCCGUGCCGCACCACAACAUGCCAUACGUCUCAUCCCUUCCCUCCGGCAGGCCGCAGCUGCGUUCUACACCUUACGACACCACUCCAUGCCAUCUCACGAAGCGGUGACAGCGGACAGCAGCCAGGCCCGCACGCCCUGUGCGACACCGGCACCGCCGCCGCCGGCGGCCGCCGGCACCACCGCCGCAACCGCCGGCAGCAACACCGCCUCUAGUCGCGCCGCCGCUGCCGCCGCGGCCGCCACCGCGCGGUCGCCCUGUGCCAUUAGCGCGUCGACCAUGCCGGUGGUGCGCAUGGGCGGAUACCACAGCACCGAAAGCUGCGGGGUGGAUGGGAAAGGGGAAGGAGGUUCGGUGCAAGUCAGGAGCAUUGGCACGCAACGCGGAUUGCGGUGAGCGGUUCCCUAGGGCGUGGCCACACAGUGCCAGGCACAGCAGCGGCCGUAAGGAUUCUGCCAGCCUUCCCACAAUAACAGCAACACAUCCACAGCGCGCCCAGUUCUAGCAAGUAAGGGCUGCGUGUUACAGGCGCUGCGCACGUCACGCACCAUGGACAUGAACAGCAGCUGGGUCAUGACGCGCGCCGCCCACAGCGGCACACGCACGCCGGCACGCCGCGUGGCCUUGCGCAGCUCCGACUCCACCAUCAGGAUCACCGCCUGCCGGCAACACACAGCCGGACAGCCCCGCUCAGUGCCCCGUGUAACACACGUGCCGACAAUCGUCCACAUCUUGUGUGUGCGCACAUGUGUCCUCCCACACAGCAACCCGAUUUCCCUCUUACCAACUGCCCUCUAUGCCAUCCCACCCACCCACCCACCGCUCCACACCUGCAACCCAAAUGUCCUCUCCCUGCCUGCCUGCCCCACCGCAGCCCCCACCCCUACCCCUACCCAGUAUCCACCCUCACCUGCAGUGUGAACAGCAGCAGCCAGCUGCCGCCGGUGGUGCGGCCAGUCAUGGUGAACGCCACCAGCUCGUGCCACACCCCGCUGGCGAAGAAGGUCAGCAGCCCCGACAGGAAGCGGCGCAGCCGCACGUCCCCGCCGCCACCGCCGCGGCUGCUGCUGACGCAGCUGUGCGCCACAGACGGCGGCGCUGCGGGUGCGGGAGCUCGUGCGGGUGUGGGCGCAGGUGCGGCCUGGGUGCUAUCGGCAGCAGGAUCGGCGGCCGGGCGCUGGCUGUUGACACGGCGGCGGCGUAGCCCAUUGGGGCUGACGCCGCCGGCAGGCCCCGUCUCUCCAUCCUCCUCCUUCUCCGCCGCCGGCACCCCCUCAGCAGCGGCUUCGGCCUUGACCUGAUCACCGCAGCCGACUUCGGCGGCCUCCGCGCCGGCAGUAGUCGCCAGCAGCCCUGCACACGACUGGACGGGGUCGCGCUGGAAGCUGUCGCCGCUGCAGCUGUCGCCGCUGGGGAGGUGCGGCGACGUGGCGGCGGCGGCGCUGCUGCGGCCGGCGCUCCACUCCGACUGCAGCAGUGUGCGGCUGCCGCUGCUGCUGGGGUCCAGGCUGCAGGCCGCAUCACUGCGCGACCGGUGGGAAGAAGUCGGCGAGGUCAUGGCGGUGGAGUCGGUUGCGCCAGCGGUCGCGUCAGCAGCGGUCAGAGCGAUGGUGGGAAUGGGCUCAUCGGAGUUCAGCUCGGCGGUGGGUGUGUCGGCACCCGCGGCCGCGGCCCAGGCCGCCACUUCGGCAUGUGACGGCCGCGCGUCGGCAGUAGCAGGCGCGGCCGCUACAGCUGCUGCCAGGGGGGUGGCGGGCGUCUGGAAGGGCGUGGCAGAGCUGGAGUCGGCCGGGGUGGCUGCGGCCGCCCGGGACGCGGACGAAACUGAGGUCGUGCCUGAGGGGCCGUCCGCGAAGAAGCGACCUGUGGUGGCAGCGGGCAGAGGGAUGCCAGUGGUGUACAUGUGCUAGGCGGAAGGAAGGCAGGGCAUGGCGCGCACAGUGGGAUGCACUGCAGCCCACUCUGGCUGCAGGAUCCAUGAGCACCCGCGCUAUUGCAUGACGCCCUAGCCCCGAAUCCCCAGUGCCAAAACUCGCAGACGCCUCCCACGCCCCACGCCCCGCACACCCCGCCCCCUGCUCUGCCCCUCUCACCCUCCAUGGCCGGCUCGUAGAAGGCCGCCUUGAGCACCGAGGACACCGUCAGGUUCCAGCGCCGAGCCCACAGGUCGGUGAACGAGGAAGACUGCAACCGUGACACAGGGCAGAGCCACAGGCCACCGGCGGGCGGCAGUAGGUUACACCGCCCAUACCGCGUACAACCAGCCACACAUACACACAUACACACCCGCACAUGUCCACGGCGCCUUGUGCUUCCCGCUACGGCCACACCUCCUAUUACCAGCACCCACCAGCCACACUCGGUCGAAGUGCGGCUCCGCCGCCACGCCCCAGCCCGCCAGCGCCGCCGCAUCCACCAGGUCGCCGCAGCCGUCCACCUCCAGCAGUAGCGCUGCGCCGCCGCCGCAGUGGCAGGCCAGCAUCAGCCACCGCGCAACCAGGACCGCCCGGGGCGAGGCGGUGGGGGCGGCAGCCAGCCUGCGGGGCGGGAUCGGGGGGAAACGGAGAGGGGGCAGGGUCGAGCGGACCGGGCAUAUGCAGUGUGGGUCGGGUGGUAAGGUCGACUACGGGAAACGCCACCUGACGGCACGCACACAUCGUGAAACGCGCAAUACACACACACACGCAUGUAUGGCCGCACGCACCUCUCCACGCGGUGGAUCGCCCAGAGUGUGGAAGCCACCAAACCGGCAAAGCACGCUGCACACACAUGGAAGACGGGGUGAGGGCUCGGCACGGGCUGGGUAAUGGUGAUUCCCAAGCAGUGCACAACUACACGUACCGUGCAUUGCAUACGGCAGUCAUGCGUGCAAGCCCCCACACUCACUGAGCUUGGUGAGGCCGGCGCGAACCUUGCGGAGCGCGAUCGCGGCAUGCUUGGAGCGCUCUGUGUGGAGAUGGACGGACGCAGACGUGGGCGGAGGUGAAGGUGGGGUGGCGCAGGCGUGGGUGGUGCCCCCGUUGGGUGAAGUACAGGUGACAGGACAGCCAUAGGAUGCGAUGUGGGUUUGAGCGUCCACUAUUGAAAGACAAUAGCUGUGCAUGCAGCACGUAUAACGCACGAACCUGGUGCGGAUGGCAGGGGAAUGACGGGCAGCAGCAUCACGCCGAGGAACGUCCACAAGUCAAGGUCGGGUUUGGCCAGGCAGCCCCGGCCCUGCGCCAGCGCAAUCGCCUACAUGGGCAAGGUGAACGCGGGAGCCAAAUUAGCGAGAUUUUUACUCGCUGGGGCGCGACGGGCGCGCGUGCGUUGAGGGCGACCCUGUGACGCAGCGCUUUUGCAACAUCCACGAGUCAGCCAAGGCCCGCCCUCGGCGGGCGCCGACGAAGGAGACGCACCUUGAAGGCGCUCAUACUCAAGAUACAGCACAAUGACUGUGCCAGCAGGGGGUCCUCGCGGCCAUUAAGUAUCGGUAGCGCGAAGAAAGCGAACGCAAUGGCGACGAGCACGAGUGCCCGAAGCGGCCGGGACAAGCGCCGAGCGGCGUAUGACCCGGCCGCCAAAGCUAUAGAGCUUGCAGCAACGAGGUGCAGCGCCAUCGUGGCGAGCGCUACGCUGCCAGGUUUGUAGCGGAAGCCCAAGCGCCAGACGACGAGCCUUCGGCGUCUUAGACGUUGAAGAUAUUUAGUGUAGAGCUGGGUUAUGAUUGUGUGGAUAAGAGCAUUCUCUAGUUUGAUGGACGCGCUCGGAUUCGAGAAUGUCAAGCCGGGGCCAACGCUCGAUGGGCCUCCAUUCUGCCCUCCGGGCGGCCCCCUCGCAGAUACCCUGGAGUUAAAUGCAUUUGUAUACUCAUAUGCAGAACUUGGGGGCUGGGGGCUGACAUGGGGCUGCCAUGCACCCGUGGCACGGUUGCCCAGCCGAGCGCGGCUAUCCCCGGGGCUGGAUGACCGAUGCGCUACAACUGCCAUCUGACAGUUCUGGUGAUGCCAGGCAUAUAUGUAUAAGGACUCUCUAUCCCGCCGCAUUAUGCUCGUUGGCUUAGCAGCGCGUCAACCGCGUUGCAUGCGAGACAGGAAGGUGCCGACCGGCAACCGCAAAGCGAAGCGACGCCCUACUCAGUUGUGUAUACAUACACUGCACGCUUUCUUGGCAAGCUCAGCAUAUGUGAAGUGCACAAACAACAUCGCUUGCACCAAAGUCAAAUUCCUCGAGUUGCUUACACCUUCGCGCGUGUUGACGAACUUGAGCGCCUCGCGAUGGCAGUAACAUCAGAUACUGACGCUGCUGAAGUCAUCGGCAACGCGAAGGACGAGCGACCAGCCGUUCAGAACCUGGUCGCGGACUCCCACACGCCACAUGGCCAUGGGCACAGGCGCCACUACCAUGACCACAUGCACGAGGUCGUUCUGCCCAUGCGGACCGGGCUCCACGAUUGGGAGGUGCCCUACGGACUACGGCUUGCUGGUGUGACGACUGGGUACCGCCAGGUGCGCCGGUGGGGCACCGUGUCGGGGAGCGCGUGCGGGCGGUGUGGGGGUGGUGCAUGAGCUUGCGUGUGCGUGGACUUAUCGAUGGAUCACCAGCGCGACAAGUACAGUGCGGGCGCUGGAGCUCUUGGCGCAUACCAUGUGGACACAUUGAGCUCAUUAAGUAUGCGCGUUGCGGAUCGUGCUAACGAAUGCAGGGCGGCACGUACAUGGACUGCAUGAAGACGCUUUUCACUUGGCACAACCAAACCCUCAACAGCUGGACCAUGAUUUUCGGUGAGCCCCCCAACAGCGAUCUCGAGAAUGGGGCAAGGGCCUAUGAAAUGCACACGUGCGCUUGGUGACCACCCCGUCGACGCAAAGAUACGUACAAAGAAGUCUGCAAUACCGGUGCAGCAAAGCCUCGCGUUGAAGCCUCGGCACCUUGCGUUUGCCUGCGUGACUUCUAUGACGGCCCACAGGCUGGGCGUGCUCGUGCUGGUUGCUGUGGUGGACGGUGACGCGGCUGCGGCCGGAGGGCUGGGACCUGCUGGCCUUCUGGGCUCUGUGGCUGUGCCCCACAGUGCACCUGCCCUUCACAGUGGGUGAGCGGCGGGGCGAGAGGGCGCGCAGAAAGGGCGACGGCAUGCGGCCAAGCUGUGCAGCUGCAGGGCGGUGCAGCAGCACCCAGGUUGAUAGGGAUACGAUGUCCAGGUCCACUGGCCCGGGUCCAACCACAACAACCACAUCUGCACCUGCUGGCCCCCAGGCUACCACCAGUUCGUGUGCAUCAGCCCUGUGGUGCUGCGGCACUGGCGGGCGCUGGACGUGGCCUUCAUAUUCGUGGCCUCCAUACCGCUCACCUGGGGCCUCGCCUACUUCGUCAUGCCGCCCGCCGCCGCCGCCGCGCUGACCGCCGUGACGGUGGGGCUGGCUUUGCACGCCUGGCACAACGCGGCGGCGCUGCCGGCGGGCGCGGACAUAGACAAGAAGGCCAACACCCGUUACGUGGUGCGUGGGAUGGGAUGUGGGAUCGGGAGCAGGGCUGAACAGAUGGCGGGAGGAAAAGCAUGUUGAGGGAAGGGCAGAGGAAGUAGAGCCCCUCUCAGAUCCUGUUCCUCGUUCUCCUCCUCGCUCGUUGCACUUCCAUCCCAUAACCCUCUCUCUCCUGUUUGUGCUUUCUCCUGGGUUGGUGGAAACAACCCUCUCCCUCCCUUCCCCUGCAGGGCCUGGUGGUGCUGGUGUACACCUUCCCCAUGGUGCUGCGCGGUGUCCAGGACCUGGCCGCCGUGUACGGCCCCGGCGCCGACGGCGUGUGGCCGGCCGUGGCGGCGGCUCUGGGGGUGGACCCGCUGUACGGCGCCAAGUGCGCGCUGGCGGUGGCGUUCUGCUUCGUGUACGGCGGCGUUGUGUACACCAGCUCCUUCCCGGACAUAUACGCGCCCGGCCUGUGCGACCUGGUGGUAAGUGGCUGAGCUGCAAAGACGCAGGGGGGGGGGGUACAUUCAUGAUCAGUCAAGGAAACGGUAGACGGUUGGGGGGUUGUAGAUACCAGCCGAAACUAAACCGAACCCAAUGCAAGGGGGGUCGGGCUUGUGGCAUCCGGGUUGGGGCGGAAUAAUAUGACCGGCAGGGGCCAGGACAGGCAUCAGGACAUGCCGUCGGGCCGGUACCAAACAACCCAGAGUCAUGACCCGUUCCCCCGCCCCUGUGCUUAUGCAACCGACCUCCGCUUUCUUUUGGCUGCAGGGCUCGGCGCAGCAGCUGAUGCACCUGGCCAUAGCGGGCGCGCACGUGGUCGAGUGGCUGUUCGCGAUUCACAUGUACCAGCGCCGACAGGUUAUGCCGCAGUAGAGAAGAGGGCGGGAGGCGACUAUGCUAGGCAGUGCGUGCGACCGUGCAUGCCAUGUAAGCGGCACACAGAAACUAUGGUGCAUAAUAACUAUAUCCAAGAAGUGUGAUGCUUUAAGUUGAGGUUUGACGUGACAUAGGAUGGAGAUCACAGCUCCAUAGCAACCAGCUUGGGGAGACCAUGGUGGGCAAGGUUCGGGUGUGGGCACGGCGUGUGCUCUCGACAACUUGCGCACCGAUUGAUGCAAUCAAUAGCAUUGCGAUUGCAAUCUCAUACGUCUUGGUCCUUCAAGUGGCCACGGAGGGUGAUGGCCUGGGUGGAGUUAAGGAUGGGAUGCCCUCGGGCCGCGGUGGCACGAUGAUUGGGCCGCGGUGGCACACAGAUGAGGAGGCGAGGCGGGUUGAACUCAGGCGAGCCCAGACUCCGGAGCAACACACGGUACCUUAAUAAAAUGCUCUUAUCCUUGAUUGUACAGCUUACAGACGUGGCAGCCAACCUGUAGCAGGCAAGACUUUAGCAUGCAGUUCUGAUGCCAGCGCAAACGGACGAGGAGGCUGGCGCUGGGGUGCGUAGCACCGUUGCCCGUGAGCAUAUAUCGCAGAAGCGAUCGCUGGCGAAGCAAACUGUGGAGAAGAUUGUGAGUACUUGCGCCGGGCGUGUCCUCCAGUCCUUCACACCAACGUCGCUCUCGGCCCUGCUCCCCGCUUUCCCGCCUGCGCGCUGUUGAGCCCGUGCACCGCGUACCUGCAGAUUGCGUACGGUGUAGGAGUGCUCGUCAUUGUCACGUUCUUCAUCGCGUACAAGGCGGGGGCCUUCGGUGACAAGGAGCAGCCCUGAACACGCAUGUUUGAAGCGAGUGCGACAGCCUGAGACGGUCGCCUAUGGCCGGCUAUGGGCUUAGUAUGCGGCUGAGUAUGAGGCAGGGUAGUAUGGACUGAGGCAGGUUAGUAUGGACUGGGCAGGGUAGUAUGAGCUAUGGGCGAGUGGGUGCUUUACGCGUGCGUGCGCGACGAGGCGCGUCAGGCGCCGUUACCAGGCAUAUCAUAAAACAAAGAGAGGCAAGUCAGUUUGGAUGUGCAUGCGCACAUACAAACACGCAUUGUGCGGGGAUUUACAGCAGUUCGUGUCGUCAUGGAGUGCGGUAUGUACAGUGUAACGUAGAAGCACCCCUGGUAGGAAGUGUACGGUAGGAGAGCAUGACGGCAAGCCAUGGUCAUGCGGGCGCCUUGUCCUGCAUUGAGUACCACAUCAUUUGAGUGGGGAGGAACGCGGAACGCGGAAAAAAGCGGCUAGACGCUGUCAUCGUAAUUAAGGAGCAACAGAGGAUUGUCGAGAAGCGCGCAUUCAGCGUGAGCAGGGUUGCAGCGCGUGAGCGCGUGAGUCUCAAUGGUACCGGAAGUAGUGGCCGCAUUGUACACGUAGUGGCCGCAUUGUAUUUGGGCAGGUGCCGCUGCAGCGCAUGCAGUGCUGUAGCCAAUACAGCGUCCUUCUGUACUCCGAACACUGAACGCCAUGUAAUGACUAACUGUUGAAAGGAUCGGGUGUGCAGGGCUGCCAUGCUAGGGCUGUCGGGCAGUUGCACCGGUGGCUGGCGGCCCGGUGUGGUAUUGAGCAUGUCUUGAGCAGCGCACGCGUCGUCUUCCUGACCUGAAGCGGGCUUGCGUCCCUGCCUCCAGCUGUCCAGCAUCCCUGCCUCCGUCAGCUACGUGUGCACACAAAUACCGUACACGAUGCGGGUGACCACACCAGCCGUCCCAGUACAUAGCCUCCUUUCUGUCAGCCAGUCGUGGGCCCGGACGUCCCCAGCGUGGGCCCGGACGUCCCCAGCGUUCAUCGUCGGUUACGUGGUAACAUGUGAGCUAGCUUGAGCUACUGACUGGCCUGCUCCCGUGUCGCCUGCAAGCCGACUACGCCUUAUGCUCUGGUCUGCGUUUGCACUAGUUUCGCAAAGCACGUCAAUAACGAUGCGGAUGGAUGGCCCAAAGGCUCGUUGGCCACUGCCUUACAAGCUCGACAGGCGCAGUUCAGGUGCUUAGCGUACCCAGUGGGUGGCCCCAUCCCAUGCCUGAUCGUCCGCCUGAGCAUUCGCCACGGCGUACAUGACAGCCAUCAGCACACCAGGAAGUCCGUCACAUCACCGCGCUGCUUUCAGGACUCUUCACCCGACCCAAAUGCCAAUGCUUCAGCCUUCGCAUGCAGACAGCAACCGGCGUCUGCCGAGCGCAGAUGCACGUGCCAUGACACUCCACACCCAGCCGUGCUCUAGUCACGUGAAGCGAUCAAAACUGCUGCGUUCUAAUAGUCAUUCCCUCAAAUACCAGCCGGCAGUCCUGUCUCCCUAUCCUCGCAACCCUCCCUGCUCUCAUACCAGCAACCGCCCGUUGCUACACCCUAAAUGUCUCUAAUGGCCACCGCUGCCCGCUGCAAGCCUGUUUGGUAAUGCAUCUGCACGCAUCCAAUUUGCGCGCUGGCGCUGGCCACUCCGCAGCUCCCGCACGUGCGCUCCGCGUGCCCUCCUGCCGCCACGCAGACCGGUUCUAUGCCGCUCCAAGCACCUCCGCUGCGCCGCUCACUCGUCACGCCCUCCGUUUAAUAUGUCACGUCAUGCCGCCGCUGCCGUCAAGUCAUCGCAUGUCUCUGCCAAUUUACAUGAAGUCGUCAUCGUUGUCCAGGUUAUCCUCGUACACGUAGUCGUCCAGGCCCGCCGACAACCCCUUCUUGCCCAUGUUGAGGUUCUUCUUGCCGCCCUUCUUCUUGUCCUCCUCCUCCUUCUUCUUCUGCAGGGGUUGCAAAGGGCAGGAAGCGCAGCGCCGGGCAUGUAAGGCCCCAGCCGACCCACAUCGGGUAUUUGGUGAUGCUCUCGCCCCGGCGCCAGCUUUCAAUCCACCACCUCAUUUCGCUUGUGCUGGCCCAGUGACCCGCAAUGUGGCCCAUCCACGCCUACCCGCAUAGCCUCCUUCUCGACUCGCCGUCCCAUCCACCGCCACCCGCCAUCUCGCACCCCCCCACCCACCUUGAUCUUGUCAGCGCGCACGCCCGCCAGGCAGGUCUCCAGGUCCUUGACUUCCUCUGACCCCAGCGGCUCCACUGCCGCCUUGAUGAGCGCCUUAAUGAACGCCUUGUAGUGCUUGCUCUCCCCGUGCUCGACCACGUGGCGGGACACCAGCUCAGCGGCGAAGUCCUCAAACUCCUUGAGCGUCUUGGGCAUGUAGCUCUCCAGGGGCUUCAGAGUGGACACGCCGCCGAACAGCUCCCGCGCGGCCUCGUAGUCCGCCUGCUCUACCAGCCUACCGCCGCGGGGAGGAAAGGGGGCACCGGAAUGUGCAUUCGGGCUUAGAGGGAUGCAGUAUUGCAGUAGCGGUAGCCUGUACAGGGCUUGUGUUGGCAGUUGGAGCGCCGUACACUAGCGCUUGCAAGUGUGUGCACGACCCGGCGUGCGUGAGGACCAUCACAGACGGCAACGGUGCAACCCUAGGCGCUGCACACGUAAUGCACGCAACCAUCUACGUGCACCAUGGCCCAGCACGGAUGUUUGACCCAGCAACGCAACCGGCAUGCAAGAUGCGACGACUCCGACCUUGACCCACAUCCCGUAGGUGCUGGAGUGGCCGGGUCAACCAGACUCUGCCUCUGCUGCUUGACCCAGUUCAAGCCCAAAACAGCGCACACAUCCCGGACGUUCGAUUCUGCUUGUGGAGCGACCGCCCAUCUCCGACAUAGAGCUGGGCUAGCCAGGUUGACAGCUUCGCAUGGCAACCAGGUGCGUUGCGCCAGGUGCGCAUGCAUAUACCGUAUGCUAGCCCCCCGCCCUUCAACUGGACGGCCGUCCCCGACAGGCCUCCUCACAAACCAAGCUGACAGCGUGCAGGUGAUAGCGUUGUGUCAUCUAUCGCAUGACUGAGGUGCAUAAGAAGCCACAGCCCCACCGAGCGCAGCCGACGGCCGUUGGAGCGCCAACGCAACACCCGUCCCGCCAAAACCCGGUCUGGCUCCCCAGCCCUGACACCACUCCUUAUGCUCACUUCUGCUGGCGAAGCUUCUCCAGCACAGGGUCGUCGAGAGGCACGUCGUCGGGGUUGAUGCGCUCUUCCCGAAACUUCUUCUCCUCCUUCUUCUUGGGCUGCGUGGACACGGAAUCCAUGGAAUCGUGGGCUCAGUUGGAGCCGGUCGGUCGCGCCCCUGGCGUGCUGGCCGUUCCAAAGAUACCAUACCCACUCCACGCAAGCAAGCAGCUGGGCCAGCGACUGGGCCUCGCCCGCGAUUGCGCACCUGCGGCGCGGGCACGCUGUGCUCCACGGGCGCGGAGAAGUUGGCGUCCUCGUCCUCGAACUGGGACAUGUCCGGGCCAUUGAUCUUUGCGCGGAUGGCCUCGCCCUUUGUCUCAAAGGUUUGCGCCGGCUUGGCAGGAGCUGGCGCCGGCUUGGAGAGGGUUGACUCAAUGUCAGCCGUCUCCCAAUCAUCUAGAUCGUCAGCCAUUUUUGCUGAAAGGAGUUGGAAGGAGGGCGGAUCUAGCGGGAGACGAGUGCAACACGCAGGACAAGCCGCUGGGCGAACAAAAGCAGUAGAAAGAAGAAUAAUAUAGCAGAAAUGAUGUGCUCCAACAAUUGAGCGUCAAAUUUCGGGCUGAAGAGUUGCGAACAAUCCCGCGCUCAUGCGCCCGUCCCCUCGUUCCCCGACUGUUCUGCCGGUGCAUACGUACUACAGGCGCAGCACGAGACUUUGUAUCUUUUGUAGGCGUUGGGCGUGGCAUGCGUCCACCCUGCGCAUAGAAUCACAAAACAACGAGCGCUGCAUGUUCGCAUUGUUUCCCAGCAAAGCUACACAGUCAUUACAGCUUCAGUACUUGUUGCCAUUCGCAUUUCUAGGCUAGCGGGCUGACCACCCACCCAUCAGCCUGUUUGCGUCGGAACGCCAUGACGUCUUCCGAGGCGGAGCCCGCGCCGGCGACCGCUGCAUCGGCGUCCCCGGCGGCUGCCGACGCCUCGGGAUCGAGCGCGGGGGCGAGCGGCGCUGCGGCGACGCCGGCCGCAGGCGGGCCCCACGGCGUCGUGGACUAUGAGGCGCUGUAUGAGCAGAUAAAGGACAAGCCCUGUCACGUGGUACAGAUCAACCAGCGCAAAGACGGCUUCAACGGUGGCACCUUCCGCACGCGCGCCUCGCUGAUAGAGCGCGAGCUGGAGCCCAUCUACAAGGCGGAGACGCUGGCGGAGGUGCACGAGGAGAUGGAGGCGGCGGGCAAGCGGUUGCGGCAGCUGGGCGUGUUCACGGGGGUCAGCAUGCUGGCACACGAGGAGCCGCUGGUGAGCAGCAGCAGCAGCGGGGUGGGGAAGAGAGGGCGCUGGGGGCAGAGGGAGCGGGACUGUAGGAUGCUGAACCGAGCUGUGCGGCACGUGCACGUGCGUGAAGGUCGGGUACAGGUACAAGAACGGGUCAGCAACAUGCGGCGCGUCACUUACCCUAUGUCCGGUGUGCCUGUUGGAAUGGCUGGGAUCGCGGGCCCGCACGCUAACGCCCACAAACAAUGGUGGCAUGACCCGCCGCCGCAGUCCUGCGCAACUCUCCGCCCUGUGACGCCCGCCUUGCCUUGCUCUCCUACUCUGCACAUCCUCUACCACGCACCCGUGUGCCGCUCCCUGCCCCCUCCCCCAGGACGACCCCACCGCCUGCACGGUGGAGCUGGCGGUGGAGGAGUCCAACUGGUUCAAGCUGCGUGCCGCCACCUACGUGCAGGUGCGUGUGGCUGUGAGAGAGAGAGAGAGUGUGUGUGUGUGUGUGGUGUGUGUUUGAUGUGUGGUUGUGUGGUCUUGUUGUGGACGCUUACGUGAGGGAGAAGGAGCCCUCCAGGUGUUUUGGGACUUGCUUGGUGGUUGGAGGGGUUUGGUUGGUGGUUGGAGGUGGAGCGCAUGACGCGGCGCAGAGGGGCACGCUCCGCGACAGCCGGCGGGCACGCACCAAUGGGCUCGUAGGCACCGCGGACCGCGCCCAGUGCCAAUGAACCCACCACGCGGCACGGCACGGCGCGGCACUGUGCAACAGAGCACGUCACGCCGCCCUGACUGAUGGCUGCCCUCCCGCAACAUCCCAUCGCGCCGGUGCACAACGCCACAGGGCGGCGAGUCCACCUUCGAGCUGGGCGCGGGCCUGACCAACGCCAGCGGGCGGGCCGAGGCUCUGAGCGCCAAUGUGGAGUACGGCAUGGAGAACAGCCACACCGCCAGCGUGGCCUUCAAGCAGCCGCGAGUGGGAGGGCUGCCGGCCACGGUGCGUGGGUGUGUGGGGGUCGGCGCAUGUGGGACGCGGUUAUCUACCCGAGCCCAAGGAAAUAGCUUGUGGGCAUGAGAUGCUAAUGGGGGAUGUAAUGAGUACCGCAUGGCCAUCUGCAGGAUCACACGCGACGGAUGCCAUGUUGUGCAAAUCAUUUGUGGGGGUUCCAAAGGGGCGGGCUUGAGCAGCGGAUAUGGCUAGUACGGUCCGCAUCUUGUGACCUAAGCCACCUUCUGAGACCCUGCACUAGCCUGUGACCUGCCGCCCUGCGCCCUUGUGCAACGCUACCUCCCCACGCCACACCACCCCUCCCCCCACCCCAGCUGGAGCUGCGCGGCUCCCAGCUGUUCCGCAACAACCAGAAGUCGUCCUCCUACACGGAGCAGCUGCGGGGGGCGGUGGUGGCGCUCAGGAGGUGGGGCAGCAGGCGGCCGGGGGGUGGUGGGGCGAGUAUGAUGGGGUCGGGCUGCGGCGGGAGGGUGGAGAGGCAGUGGGGCGAGGUGGAUUUGGUGGGGCUGGGCGCGACAGGCAGGGCGGCGGCCGGACGUGUGACUGGCACGUACGCGGCAGCGUUAGCAGCUCAGUCUUGGCGGAUGAGGCGAACGUGAAACCCACUGCAAACUGCCCACCACGCCCAACCCACCAUGUCUAAACCGCCCGCCUCUCCCAACCCGCCCACCACGCCCUGCGCUCCCUGCAGCAUGGACGGCAGCCAGGGCCUGGAGUACGAGCUGGGCUGGCGGCGGCUGCUGGACCCCUCCCGCUCCGCCUCGCGCGCAGUCAUGGGGCAGGUACGGCGCCGGGACAGGCGGGGGGACAGGGAGGGCGUUGGCCGGCUGGCAGGGUACAACGGGCAGUGUGGGGGCGGUGCAGUGCUGGUGUCAGAUCCCUCCGUCGUUCCGCUGUCACUGCUCUAUCUGCCCCCUCAGCUCCGGCCCCCCUGCAUCCUGUAUGGCUUUUCCAAGCAUCCGUCCCCCCCCCCCCGGCCUGCAUCCGGUCUGCUCCCUCUGCUACCCCCCCCCCCCGCAAACCCCUAAGCCCCCGCCCCCUCCACACGCCCCCCCCCAGAUGGGCGACUACCUGCUGUCCGCGCUGCGCUACACCGCCACACUGGACCGCCGCCAGCCGGGCGCGGGCGGCGCGGCGGCCACCCUGGGCGGCGCGGGCUGGGCGGUGCGCGCCACCACAGAGCUGGCGGGCCUGCUGCCCCCCUCGGCGGCGGGGGCGGGCGCGGGGGCCGGUGUGGGCGUGGGCGGAGGCGGCAGUGGGCCGAGCAGCGAGCUGCGCUACGUGCGGCAGCAGGUGGACGCGGUGGCCAAUGUGCCCAUGGAGGAGACCGGGGCGGUGGUGUUCAGCGUGGGAGCCAGCGCGGGUGAGGCGGGUGGCGGGGGUCGGGGCUGUCGUGGCCAGCGUCUUGAUGUGUCGUACCGGGGUGGGGCGUGGUGUGGUGAGGGGCUGAGGCGCUGUGCUGUCAGGCGUGCGGCCGGGUCAGGGUUGGUGAGUCAGCGAACGUGGCACGCCGGCGCAGCGCACAUGAGGGCUAGGGCAGCGCGCCGGUAGCCUGUGAGGAGCACACAUGCGCACUGCUGCUGUCAGCCAUGCUGGCCUGGACCCCAUGCCGCGCUGCCUGCCGCCCUGCCCAGGCCUGCUGCUGCCGUGGGGGCCCGAGGGCGGCCUGACGCGGCCCACCUGCAUCGCCGACCGCUUCUUCCUGGGCGGGCCCUCCUCGCUGCGUGGCUUCAAGUACAAGGUGGGGAUGGCGGGGCCGGGGCGGGGUGGGGAGCGCCGGGGCGUGGGGGGGCAUGCGAGGGAGAGGUAGGCGUGUGCGUGUGUGUGGAUGUGUAGAUGUGGGGCUGGGGCGGAUGCGGUGUGAGGGUGUGAGGCGCUUGCACAGGUGCUGGCUUGCCGCCGAAGUCCGGUCACUGACCGCCACUCUGACCAUCGCGUGUUGACACCAACUGGAGCCGUGCAAACAAGUUGAGGCCCCAUCGCGCUCUGCGUCUAGAUGUAGAACAAGGCUUCCGAAUCGACAGACCUCCCUCCCCCUCACGCUCUGCCCCUGCGGCCGCAGGGUGUGGGCCCCACGGACGUGCGGCGGCCGCCAGAGGGCCGAGCCGCCGCCGCCGCCGACUCGGCCUCCGCGGCGCCGCGCCGGGACGCGUUGGGCGGAGACGCCUACACGUCCAUCUUCGCCUCGGUGAGGGUCGGUCGCGCAGGGGAGUGUGUGGUGGGCCGGGGGCAGUUUCCACUAGACGCAGGUUGCGGUGGGACCCGGGGUCGCCAGUGUGGGUGGCCACGGUGGUGCGGGACAGGGUAUUGGCGUACUGGCAUAGCCAUACAUUGGCUACGGGCACCCGGCGUCUACCUAAGGGUAUGGGGCGGGACAGCUUUGCUUUAGUGUGGUGCCGUACCAAGCACAAACUCGGAGUGCCAUGCGGCCGGCAGCACUCUGGCGACUCAACCCCUCUCACCCUCUCCACUACUCCUCCCCUCCCCCUGCUCCCCUCCCCCUGCUGUGUACUUCGCUGCGCUUCUCUGUACCAAUCUUUGCAACCCCCCUCCCCUCCAUGCCCCCCACAGCUCAUGUUCCAGCUGCCCCACCCCGCGCUCAAGCUGCUGCGGCUGCACGGCCACGCCUUCGUCAACGGCGGCAACGUCAUUCAGCUGGCGGGUGGGUGCGGAGGCGCGGGGAGCGGGGCGAGGGGGGCGGUGGCGACGGGCGGGGGUUACUAGGCCAAACCCAAAAUGAAAGCCAAAGUGCGCUGGGCUACACUGCGAAUUGCUGGAAGGGGCGGUGAGGGAUGCGGUUGUAAAAGGCGAGGGGUCUGGGCUGCGGAGUGAGCGGCGCGGGGCGGCGGGCUGGGCAGAGAGGUGGUCAGGAGGAUGGACAGCAGAGGGCACUGGGGCACAGGACGAGGCCAGAGGCGGCGUGUGGUGACCGGGCUUCCAGUGGAAUGGAGGUGGCCGAGGCCGGUGGACCGCGGUCUGCAGCACAGCCCCACGUGAUGACGGCGCCAGGUCCAGUGUGCGCCCCCCGCCACGCCAUGACAAACAACGCAAACCCCACUGCUCUGGAGUAUCCUACCCUAACCACCCCACCACGCCACGACCCUCACGAUGCUGCUACCACCCUUACCCUCCUGCCUUUUCCCCCCUCCACCCACCGCACCCGCCUUUCCCCACCUCCGCCCGCCCUACCCGCCUUUCCUCACCUCCACCCGCCCUACCCGCCAGGCACGGGCCGCUCGCCCUCUGAGCUGCUGUCGGAGUUCGGCAGCAGCUGGCGCUGGAGCUGCGGCACCGGGCUGGUGCUGCCCACGCCCUUCGGCCGCUUCGAGGCCAACUACUGCGUGCUGCUCAGCAGCCAGGAGCACGACCGGGUCAAGCGCGGGCUGCAGCUGGGCUUCGCGGCCAGCAGCGUGGCGUGAUGCGGGGGGGGAUGGCGGCGGCGGAGGGGUGGCAGCGGCCUGGCGUGGGUGGGGGGGUAUGCAGGCACGUGGUGAGUGGGGUUCUAGGCAGGUAGAGGGAAGUUGCACGGGGCGUUGCGGGGAUGGGGAAGGAUCCAUGACCUCGCAGGCUUGAUGCUGGCAGUGCGGGGUUGAUGGCAGGUGGUGCUUUUGAGCGGAGUGGUUGGAGUAAGGUGCACGGGUGCCGUGGUGGGUGCUUGGCACCGGUGUUAGUAAGCGGAAUUGAGGGCUAAGGCCAAUGGUAAGUUAGCCGAUGGCGGCGGGUCGACCGGACAAAACGUAAGCAGAGAUUUAUGGUGUGCCUGCUAGAAUGGUUCCUCGCCUUGAGCUUGCCUAGCGCUGGGCAAGAGGACAGGCUGUGACGAAAGGUAGGUUCGCUUCGGUCGCGCCGCGGCCAAGUGGGCGCAGGUUUUGCAGGUUUACACGUUUCGAGUACUGAAUGUUACCGUAAUACCGCAAGUCGGGCAGGCUCAUGCGGAAGUGCAUGUGGGGACGUGCACAAUCACAGGCGUGCUUGCCUGUAAACGUGUUUGGCCCACGGACCACGGUGUGCGAGCAAUGGAAGGCGAUGUGCUGAUGUGGUACAGCGGCAUCGUUGGGUUACGGGGACAGUAGCAACAGCACAGCGGCGUUGCGCACUUGCGCUGGACUGCGUCAGGCAGCCCCGCCAAUCCGCAAUGCAUGUGCGAUGGGACAGGGUUACGGCAGGUUGGUGUGUGAUGGGACACGUAGGGUGCAGCUGAACCCGCAAUGCAGUUGGUGCCGCUGUGUCAGAGUAGGCAGAGACGGCGACGGCUGUGCUUGGGCGGCCUCUUGGUGGUCUUUCUGAGGAGGUUCAGUGGGGGCGGCCGUGGCAAGACCGUCCGGGGGCUGUCGGGGGCAGGGGAGGGUCGGGGGCAGCGUCGGGUUGGUGGAAGGCCUGAGGGCCCACACGGCCCCUUGCGGCCCUUUGACUGGAUUACGUUCGCCAGGUGCCGCGGCAGUAUCUGUCUCAUUUUGCACAAGUUGCUAUGUAGUUGAGGCUUGUCGGGAGCCCUGGCGUUGCCCAAGCUGCGAAUCAGCCAUGCGACCGAAACCCUUUCACCCAGACAUGGACCCAAUUCACCAGCAAGACGCUGUCUGACAUACGCAGAACUCACUUGUACUCUCAUUGCUCGGUUUGGCUCUUAUAUCCAGUUACUCGCUCGACAUCGACACCAUCUGCAACUUCCUCGACCUCGACCUAGACCCCGCUAUCCGCAUUGCUCGCAGCAACCAUGUCGACAGCUCCAGUGAAGAAGCCGGUGAACCUACCAUUCCUGCCGAAGGAUGGUGAGUCAAGCGUUUCACUGCAAGUCGCGGCCUGAUUGAUUGUAUUGUGGCCGCGUUCAGCGUCGCGGGCAUCUGCUGGCAUGACCUGUGCGCUCUUCAUCGUUAAUGCAUUUCCUUGCACCUCUUGAAACAGUCGAGGACCUGGUGCUGUGGAGGAAGCCGAAGGAGGCCGGUGCCAUCUUCGGAGGAGCGACUGCGGCUUACCUCGCGGUAAGUGGCUGGCCUCGCACCCCCGCGCUCGCUCCCACCUCCCUCUCACAGGAUAUCAUGCAUACACGCAGCGCCGCACCAGGGACGCCCGCGAGUAUCCACACUGAACUUGCCCAGCUGCCUGGUCCCACCGUGUCGCCCCGUUUGGACCUGUUUCACCCUAGCCUCGGGCCCACUCACUCGCAGUACGUGUACAACCCGUUCAACGGCUUUACCAUUGUCAGCUACCUCCUGAGCAUCAUCAGCCUGGCGCUGUUCCUGUGGUCGCACCUGGGCCACUUCGUCAGCCGGUGAGGCGGUGUGACUGUGCUCGAGGGAAGACGCAAGGGGUUGACAACGUGCAUGCGAAAGGUUUGACUUGUGCGCCAAUCCCGCUUCACCCGUUCUCCAUGAACGGCUGCCCCCCCCCAUGCCGCCAUGCGAAUGCCGCUGCCCCUGAUGCCCCACCUCAUGCGUCUCCCCGCCAACUGCCCCCGCCUGCACGCACCCCGCAGCUCUGGCCCCCCGGUGCCCGAGUUCCUGGUCAAGGGCGUGACGCAGGAGCAGGCGCGCCAGGUGGCGGACGCAGCCCUGCCGGUCGUCAACAAGGCCCUGGGUGGGUGCGGCGUACCGUAGGACCCGGCGCGCGUUGCGUGUGUGCUCGUACGGCGCGUAGAGAUGCAUGUGCGCCGUGUGCUGUGUGGGGUUUUUGGGAGCGCAGGAAGCAAGGAGGGCGGCGGGCGGAGAUGUAGAGGAGCGGUACAUGCCCAGUACUGAAUCCUGAAGCGAAGCGAGGCGUGAGGACGUGCGGGGAUCCUGCUGUGACGUGCGUGUGUUUGCCCUCGGCACGCAGGCUACGUGGGUGUGCUGGCCAGCGGCAAGGACCUCAAAACCUCCUCCCUGGUGAGCGGGCGGCGCUGUGUGUGGCGCUGUGCGGAGCUGCUGCUGCUGCUGCUGCGCAGUUGGCACACGGCUGUGUGGCUGUGAGGCUGUGUGGAAAUGCAGCUGCGGCGGUUUGCUGGACCAGGGCAGGGCGGCAGCUGGCAGAAAGGGGCACCUUGUCGUGGCGUGGGUGGGGCUUUGCGGUCGCAGCGAUGCUCACUUGGAGGCCGUGAGGCAGGGAGGGGGGGGAACAGGUGUCGCCAGGCCAGUGCUGAAGCGAGGACGUGACGUCGGCAACGGCAGGGAACGGUGCCUGAGCGCGGGCGCCACGGCAUUGCAGCCGCCCUCUUGGCUGCCCCGUGCCACAACGUUGCCCCCACAAGGGUCGCAAGGCGUGUCGUCGGGGCGACACAAUGACAUUACGGUAUGCCGUGCCCCAACACUUUCAAAACCUCCGACCGGCCCCCUCCCCCGGCACUUCAUGUGAUUCAAUCACUUCGUUCCCCAUGAACGGCAACUCCCCCCUUCAACCUGUACCGCUUUUACAACCAUCUUUGCAGCCCCCCACCGCACACACACAUUACAACAUCUUUGAAACUGUACAUGCGUGCGCGCACACAGGUUGUGGUGGGCUCCUACACGGCCGGCCGCAUCUUCGCCCUGGCCAGCCCCUUCACUCUGGCGUACGUGGGUGAGUGCGGCGCGGGCGGGCGCGGGCGGCAAGUGCGGGCAUGGCAGCGCCGGGUCUCGCGCAUGGGCGACAGCUGAACCUUUCACAGGCGCAAACACCAGUCGAGCCUCCACGCCCGCCUGGCCCCUCCCUGCUGGCCCCCUAUGCCUCGUACGGUACCGUAUGCCGUACAUCGUCCUCACGGCGUGCUGCUGAACAAACCUCCCGGGCUCCUCUUGCCCUUCCUUCCUCCUCCGCCCCCUCUCCUCCCCGUCGCAGUGGUGGUUCUGGCGUUCGUGCUGCCCAAGGCCUACGAGGCCAAGCAGGACGAGGUGGACAAGGUGCUGGCGGUGGUGAAGGCCAAGGUGGACGAGGCAGUCACCGCCUUCAACAACAAGUGAGUGAGCAGCGCCUUGGGUGCUGUGGUAGUACUCCUGGUGUGGUGGGGAGGGCUGGGCUGGGCUGGGCUGGGCUGGGCUCACUGUGGAGCAGGGGACGGGGAAGUGGCUGUUUUGAGGUGAAAUAGGUGUGAGGAGUACGGCAGUGUGGCAUCUAUUGCGUGGUGAUGGCUUCCAACGUUGUUUGCUGUCACUCAGCUCCCGACUGACCACCAUACACAAAACCCUGCCUGCAGCGUCCUGAGCAAGAUCCCCAAGGCCCAGCCCCCGGCCCCCAAGAAGGUCGAUUAAAGCACAAGUGGCAGCAGCGGGAGCAGCGGCAGGAGCAGGGGUGGCUGCUGUGUGGCUGAAGCAACGACAGCCGCAGCCGGCGGCCUGGAGGGAGGCUGAGCCCGCAGUGCUGUGGGGGGAAUGUUGAUGUCGGGGGUUGGGGGCUCGUGUGCAUGUGCAUGGUAUGCGUGUGUUCUGGUAUGUGUCGUGAUGCGCUGGCAUUGGGUUAUCGGGAAUGCUUUUGCGUUCAAUAAAGGCCAGGCGAUGGCGGGGCGCCUCGGCUGCACUGCUCGUCGUGUCACCGUACGUCUCACGCGCGUAGCUCGGGGGUUGUGACCGUGGCGUGGGGGGUUGUGACCUUGCAUAGCAAGCCUAAUGGGACGAGGGCGGCAUGCCCGGGCUGGGGGACACUUCUGGCGUAGCCCGUUCUGGCUGGUCGUGUGUGUGUGUGUGUGUGUGUGUGUGUGUGUGUGUGUGUGUGUGUGUGUGUGUGUGUGUGUGUGUGUGUACAUAUGUGUGUGUGUGUGUGCCCCGUGACUUUCGACAGGGAACGGCGUGUAGUCGCUACUUGAUUUGAGCUUGAAGAGGUGGCAAAGCUGUGAAAGGUGAAAAACGUGAUGGUUGACUGAUGCGGCAUACAGCAUUACGACUUCCUUAUCGUUCGUUGGAAUGCUUUCAUUGCCCUUGCCCCGUGGUGGCCCCAUGUCAGGUUGGGGAGGAAUUGCACUGGAUCAGGGGCGGGGAGCUUGUGGGGACCGGGGAAGGUGGGGACAAUUUGACGAUAGCUUAAUACUCAGCUGCAGUACGAUGUGCGGCGCGGGGGCUGUACCUCUCUGUAACAACGCCUGGUGGAUUGCUUCGUCGCUGCGAUUUGGCGCUGGCCUUGCUCCUGACUGGGGUCGUGAGGGCGUCAGCGCGGAACCAAGCAAGCGUGUGAGCAUACGGUACUGGGGCCCCGACCGGUUGUAGACCUACUGAAGACCGCCUACACGGGAGAUGGCUCGUCAAGGAUCCCUCCUAAGGCAGCAGAGGGCGUCAGUUCACUCGGAAUCGCGCCAUCCCCGGGUGGCCUCUCCUGCUAAGUGGGUGUCGUCACGAGCUGUGCAUACGGAACUCGGACAAAGGAGGUCCCCCACCUUGCCUCCCACUAAACCGCCGCUCGUGGCAACGCACAGAGCUCCAGCCCCGCCUGCACAGCGUGACUACCGCUCCCCUGGUUACCACCAAUGAAGAGGCACUGCUGGGCGCGGUGGCCAAUCUUACAGAAGGGGGCAGUUUCGGCUGGGAAAGGCCCCAUAUUCUCUCUUGUGCAUCACGAAUCCCUUAUCCCACAGGUGGCGCGUGGUCAGUUGGAGCAUGGCUUGGCAAACACGUGCAUCGGUUUACACUGGAGCGCGGGGACUCUCGCAGUCCCUGACCAGUUGUUGCCAUGAGUCGUGCCCCGAUACUGUGUCGAGCAGCAAACCCUACUCUUUAACCUGCUGAAGAUUGUGUAUGUCUCAUCUUCGCGAGCUCUCAACCUGCCUCAACUUCGACGCCUCAUGCGUCUGAUAUCAGUGCCAACUCAGCUAUUAGUGUGUCUACCCAACUACUCCUAUCCCAUGUCAUUCCCACUACGCCAAGCACCAGUGUGCUGUGUAAUCUGUGCUGCCUACCUACUUGGGUGGGCCUGCAAAGUGUGCAGUGCCGCACCUGCGUUCUCUCCUCUGUAUGUACGGUUCCGCAGUGCGUGUUGAGGUCCUGCCGUUAUCAAAUCUCACACAAUCAAACCACAUGAGCACACCCUGUGCGUGUGCGUAAAGAGCUUGCUGACGCCGACCUUCACUUCCCCGCACGAUGCAUAACACACUCAGACCAGUAAAAUAAAGUGCCCACAGCUUGCAUCAUUCUUAUGUCUCUCUUGUGACCCGCAACAAAACUCUUCUUCGCAGAGCGGGCUGCGUGCCCAACCCCGCCCUGGCGCGCCGCAGGUUAUGCAGCAGGCCCGGCAGAAGCUGUGAAUACGACGAAAAAUCACACCCACAACAAGACACCUGCAACACCCCGCGAAACGCCUCACUUCACUCGGCAUCACCUCGCGUACACCGGCGCAGCCGCCAGCCGCCACAGCCUGCGGCCGGCAGCGCCGCUAUGCUACAGCCAUCUUAACCGGCGAAGCUUGUAGCCGCCUUUCGGCAGCUGGCUUACGCGGUGGCGGGCUUGGCGGACUUGCCGAGGGAGCCGAACGAGAUGGAGUAGGCGAUGGCCAUCAUGAGAACGCCAGCAAUGGUGUUGCCCAGGGUGACGGGGAUCAGGUUGUUGAAAAAGAACUGGCUCCACGUGACCUCAGCGCCCAGCAUCAUGCCCAGAGGAAUCACGAACCUGCGCACCCGUGCGGCAACAGUGAGGUUCAGGUUCCACAGCCAGUGGGCAGUGGCACGCCUCACUACACUGUACAGCUGAAGUAUGCAACGCCAUCACACCCCGAAACAACCCCAACUAGCCUGCGGCCAGAAGAAGCCGCGCGACUCACAUGUUGGCGACGGAGUGCUCCAGGCCGAUGGCCACGAAGGCGGUGAUGCAGGGCCACAGCGCCAGGAUGCGGCCGGGCAGCGAGGUGGCGGCGGAGGCGGACCACACGGCGCAGCACACCAGCCAGUUGCACAGGAUGGAGCGCGACAGCACCUCGGUGAAGCCCAGGUUGGCCUUGAGGGUGGCCAUCUGCACAGGCAGGGUGUUGGUGGUCAGGCAGCCGGUGGCCACCACGGCGGCGACCAUGGCGAUGGAGCCCACGAAGUUGCCUAUGGGUCGGUGGGGAGGAGGGAGGGAGAGCGAGCGUUACAUACAAGGAUGUGGUGGUGAUGGUAGGGGGGUGGUAGCCAGACACUAGGCAUGGUGAAUCGCAAGCGCGUCAACUGUUAAAACGUAGUUCUACAGCUGGUUUGCAUCACAGCAGCAGCGGCGGCGGCUGCAGCAGCAGCAACGGUGUAGCACUCACCGAAGUAGGACACGCUCCAGUUCUUCAGAAGCUGCCCCCAAGUGGCCUUCUUCUCGAUGAGCGCGCAUGUGAGCAUCAUGGUGUUGCCCGUGAACAGCUCGGCGCCGCAGUUGGUCACCAUGGACAGACCCACGGGGAACACCAGAGCAAAUAGCCUGGAAGAGAGGGACAAGCGAUAGGAAAAGGAGGGUUGUGAAAGAGGUAAAAGCCAGCUGGGGACGUGCGUGUGUGCGGCCAAACCGCGCUUUUUGGAAUGAUGUGAGGGAGGGAAGAAGCACAACAGGCGCAGCGGCAGCGCCAGCACAGCAGGCGAUCAGGGAAACGGCCAAGGCUCAGGAACUCACAGCUUGGCCAGGCCGGGGUUGGCGGCGGCGACGCCGGGGAUGUUGCCUCCCACGGAGAUGGCGAGGAAGGCGCCGAACGCAAUGUAGGCACCGGCUUGGAUGCCCUGGACAAACGUUGCCAGAGGCGUUAGCCCGGCCUGUACGGGGAUACAGGAGUUAUAGUUAGGGAAGGGGCGUGAGAAAGUUGAUUGUGGGGGCUGGUUGCAGCGCUAAUCGAGGAUGAGCAUGUGCUGGGAAGAGUUGUGAGGCGGCGGGGGGGGGGGGAGGGAGCUGGGGUAAACGUUGCCCCGGAACAGAGACCAGGGCCGACUGACUGCCGACUGCGGGCGAGCUGCCAAGGAAGCGAAAACGCCCUGAAAGCCGAAUGGUCUUAUUGACAGAAAAGACACUGCUUAUCCCGCUCUAUUAAAUGCCACCCGGCUCAUGCAAAUCGCGAACCCGUGAGCCUCCCACGCAUCCACCAUGUAUCUUGCGCUUCGUCAGGCGCCUUCACCCGGCGCACCUUGUAGGCGCCAACAUUAAUGGCGUUCUCAUACACUUGAGGAGGAGUCAGCACCGACACAGCGCGCACAGGCGCGGAAACAGCGACGGGAGCGGGAGUAGGGGGCACGGGCGUAGUAGCAGCUUGGAAAUGACCUGCAUCCAUGAGCGCCGACUGUGUCAGCACAAGCCUUUGACAUAAAUACACGUUACAGCACCUUUCCAGCAAGCCCUUGUCGCGACCCACCGUUGCCAUUUCCAUUCGAGGUCACGACUGUCGUCACCGCGGUAGGAGCGCUCGCUGCAACCACCCGCAUAGGCGACCGGAGCACACGAGAUCGCAGCACGGGCUGGGCAAGGCAAGGGCGAGUCAUAGUGGUCUGCAUCUUUGCGCGUCUAAACUCGACUGUGCGUCUAGCCCUGAAUCGUUGCGUUAUAGCCUGGACUAUUGCCAGUACUUGCCGCUACAGAUGUUUGAAAAUUGCACACCAACAGCGGAGUUUAUUGAGUUCGCGCAGAGCCCCGUUGUAUGUUCCGUACACAACCGCCCUACUCUACGUCGGAGACCCCACCAACGUGCGCGCUCAUGCGCUGCAAAAUUGCACAUCGUAUUGAGCAUGCUGCAACCGCGUAGAACAAAAUUGUGGCCGCUUGCUCGCGCUGUCGGCGGUGGUUGCAUUUGCAGUCGCGCCGUCGACGGCGCCCUUUCGCCCCACAUGUGCAGUCCUUGGAACAAAGGCUGACCUCAUUGCAUGUGCCGUGUCAUCCGCUGCCGACUUACUGACGGCAUGAUUUGGGGUUUCGACGCGACGCUGACGUUUGAACUUCGGUCGGUUGGCGCAAGCGAGCGAGCGGGUCAGCCCUGGGUGCGGGGGGCGAAACGCGCUGACCGUGCCGAGUUGCCGCCUCGCGCAUCUAGGCACCGCAGUCCAGGCGUCCCUCUACUCAAUACUCACCCCAAAUGUCGGCCCCUAAAAAAUAGUAUCGUAAUGUAUACCCCCCAACCGCCAGGAGAGCCCCCGUAGGUUCACACAUGAUGCGCCCGAACGUCAAGGAGUUGAAGUGACAUUGCUCGACAACUGUCCCACGAAAACCAGGGCCAGGGCCAGGGCCAACAGUGCAGGCGUGCUGGGGGCUGGGGGACUGGCGAGAGCUAACCCGCGAGCCCGGAACAAGAUUUAGGAGGGGCCGCAAGCAAGACUGCAGACAGCCAAUGUGCAGCGUCAGCCUGCCACUGCAGUGUGUGCCAUGUGCUGUGCGCCGUGCUGUGUCCCUGUUGUGUGCCGCGGCACUGCCAUCACGCCCAAGAGCACAUGGCGAGCGGCAAGCAGGAGGCACUGCCAUCGCUGCAGCAGUGGCGGUUUUGUGAGACUUGGUCACGAGUCAGGGGCUGCACACCGCAGAUGUUGCUGCCGCAGCAGAAACACGCGCGCAAGGCAACGUACGGGUUGACAUGCCCUAUCUAGCGCUUGCUGAUGCAAUGCUGACGGACCCCAGCCUGUUCCGCCGGCGUGUUGGCUGGCGAGAGGCAGUCAAUGACCGCGGCCAGGCCAUGCAGGGUGGUGUGGUAUGCGGUUUGCCGUACUGAGCUGCGGGAGCUCCAGCCCCGCAUCCUUCAGUAGGGGUCAGGUACGGCGACCAGGAGAGCGCAACAGCAUUCUCUGACAGCCCAGCCGCAGCCCUACUUCGCCACGAUCAGCCCAGCUGCCCCAGCACGACUUCUCUACGACUACGCAUUACCGGUGACAUGCUGUUUGCAAUCAGGCCGGGUGUAUUUGGGCACCGGGGACGUUCUCUUAGUUAACAUGUGUUUCCAUGCAUUGCGUCGUGUUACAAUUUGUGAGGGCGGCUCCGCCGCCGGAGAGGGUACCUGCAAGCAGAGAACCAGGGUUGCCUAGUUCGUAGUACGCGUGCUAUGUACUACGUACUGUACUACGUACUGUACGCUGCCCUCGUCGGCUAGUACGUUGGACAAGGGGUGUCAGCUUUGUACAGCUGGAAAAUGGGCUGAGCCCCAUGUAGCGCAAGGGGAUGUGACGAUGGGCACCGGCGACAUGAACAGCACCCUUGCAAGCCCAUCCAGCGGGACUGGCCACUAUGCCAACGCCGUGCCGAGGCACUGACAUGCCCUGUCCCCGCCACGCCACGCCACCUUACCCACGCCACUUCACGGUCCAUGAUAUCCCAAAUGCACCUCACCCACAUCCCACUCAAGCACCGCAAACGGCUAGCCGGGCUCGGGCGCGGGAUCCCGGGCCGCGACACAUGUAAGGCUCGGGGACGCAUGGUUUGGCUGUUGCAAACAAAUUCGACAUUCCUGCCCCAAGACGCUUGUCGUCGACAUGUUUUGAUACAUGGAUGUAAGAUAUUUAGGGGCCGAGAGCUAUACUCGCGAACUGAAGAAAGUCAAGAUGUCCAUGGACUCACGAGGUCGCUUCUCGCUCCGGCCGAGUUUUCCCUGCCGUCUAUUUUUCUACAAUAGGUAAUUGCAAUUAAUAAUACGUGGCACUCGCGGUUUGUGCCAGUAUGGUACUUUUUGUCGACACAGGCACACACGCACGCACGCACGCACGCACGCACGGACAGGGGCAAUCCUGGGGGGCUUCGCCCCCCCUGGAUCGCUUCGCUCAGGGGGCUCAGCCCAAAAAUACGUUGUGCUGGGGAAACCAGCGGGGUGGGCCGUGGCAGCGCCGUGGCUGGGCGAGGGGCGCGAGGGGUGCUGGAAAGGAUGUCCGUCGAAGUUUGCGAACCAUGGCUGCUCUCCGCACUGCAGCUGUGUUCUCUUACAACAAUAUGAGCAUAAUAAGUUGAAGGAAAUUCCGCUAGAAGACUAUGACCGCGCAAAUCCAAAUUCACACCGAUUCGGGCAUGGUGCGGGCACGCGUGCCGUGUUUGCGUCGGCUUCGCCCCCGGAUUUCCUGGCCCAGCGUAUUAUGCACCGUAUUUUACCGUACUGUACUAGGAAUCCUAGUACGCUGUAUUAAUACGCGUAUUAUGGAGAGAGGGUCGCGUACUAGGCAACCCUGCAGAGAACUGCGGUCUUCGUGCGGGGUUGGGAGGGCGAGCCCGAACCGCCGCAGGAGGGCGAGCCCGAACCGCCGUGUAGCCACGCAAAGAUAGAGCGUAGCCAGGGACGACGGCGUCAGUACUGACAGAACGAAACUCGCAAAGUAGCGAGCGCGACACAGCGCUCCGCUACUUAUCAGGGGUGGUGCAGCAAUUUUGCACAUUAGGAUGUGCAGAUGCGCACAUCUCUGCAAGAACGGGCACAUCCCUGCAAGAAUGGAUCAAAUGCACACUGCCACUUCCUCCACUACCCUCACCUGCCCGCAUAUAUCCCUGCCUGCUGUAUAGUAGCCGAGCGCGCCGUGCCCAGCAGGCCGCACCGCAGGACACCACUUCCAAUCAGCUGUCAUCACCCCCACCGAAACACAUGCCUGCUAGCGCAGGGACAUCUAAAACAUUGCCCAUGGUACACAAUUUUCAGUACGCCCUAAAGCGAUCGCCCCAGGAUUGCCCCACUCAUAUAAACGUGAUGAAUGCGGAUGUUACAGAGGGGACAGUCCCAGCACCCGAGGACGCCGAGCCAUCACAUGCUAUCAGGGCCCAACUUGACUCCACCAACCCCGACUUUGCUGCAAACCCUCCCGCGGUCAAAGUCCGUGUGACUCCGCGCACAGUGAGUCCGAGCCAAGCCUCAACCCGCCAGAGCCCCACCGCUGUGCCUCAACGCCACAAGCCUAGGCACCGGGGUGCCGGGAAUCGUCCAGGCCGCAGCACACACGCACAGCGCACGCACUAACCAGGGCGCAAGCGUCCAGGCACUAGAACGGUCGCUCACACGUGCGUCCUGCCCACACACCAAGCCCCCAACCACCCACAACCUCUCAUGGUGAGGGAGGCGGGGAAGCAGCGUCAUACGGCAAACGCAAUACCAUGCCUUCACCAACAGCCCGAGAGAUGAAAGGAUGCGCAGAUGGCACAGUGUCCCAACCCUUUGGCCUGAUACCCAAAGUCACAAACGUCUGGAGACGACCCCAGAAGUCAGCUACGACGGCAAGUCCAAUGCUCAGCACCCGGGCCGACGGCAGCUUCGCUCGCGCCGCCAGCCCGGCCAUAACCAUACGCUGCCGACCAAAGUCCAGGGCAGACAUAGCAACGAGACACACCACAUCCCACACAGGUGGCGCAAGCCCCGCAGGCGGGCGCACUAACCACAACUCCUCACGAGAGAAGGCACUUAGAGCAUCCUCUGGCAUGAAACCCAUAGCCAUCCCCAUGUUUUCCCGCAGUGACAGCGCAACAGUGCAGUCCCAAAACCAGUGACGCCGGUCCCCAUCCUGCAUGUCAACCCCACACGCCCAACACGGGUCAACAGCAACGCCUCGCGCCCGCUCGCUAGCAUGCCGUGGAAACGCCCAGCAAGCGUUGGCGGCCACACGCCACAGUGCUUCCUUAUGAUGAUUCUCCCAUUUCAGCGACCACAAGCGGGCCAAGGUGCAGACGAAGGCCCCCGCCGUUAUGGCAGCCAGUAGUUCAGUCUUUCAGUCAGUCAUCCGCGCUGAGGCACGCAGACCAGCACCCUUUCCACUCAAGCCGUCAAUCCGUGACGUAUGCAAUUACCUAUUAAUGCAUGACAUGCGCAAUUGCUACAUCGUGAAUGUGUCAAAGCAGAUAAAGCACCCAGCCAAACCUGCGGUGCUACAGUGUGAGCUAGCACUACGGCUGCACCGACUGCUGCAACCACCUCAGGAUACAUAUCUGCCUCCACGCGGGCUCGUGUGCGCUCCUUCGCUGCUUCUGCACGCAGAGAGUUUGAGAGUGCAGCACUUCAGUCAGCCAGGUUGCGGGCUUGCGGGGCAGUCCAAUGAGGAACCAGCCGGUUGAGGCUGUGAGGUCAGGUAAAGGGACCGGGCCUGCGCUAAUCCGGCCUGCACUGUGCACCAACCCCUACCCUGCCACCAACCCCUUCUCACCUGGUUGCAGUUUGGUCGCUGCAGCCUGCAACAUGAGCAGGUACCGGGGGCAACGGGGAAGCAAAACGGAAUGAAGCAGCGCCGAGUUGUUGCGCAUGUACCUGCUCUAGCGCGAAAGCUGCGCUAUGCAUGGUAGCUAACUUACCCACGGUACCCACCUUCACUUGGCCUUCACUCUUCAGCAGCCCCAUGACGACAAAAAGGGAUGUUUGAAGGCGGAAGCACCUUUAGAACUUUGGUUUGCGUCCUGCAUGAGCCGCUUUCGCGCUGCCGCCGUCUCCGCUACGGUCUCCUGGCUUUCCACGAAGCGCUUGGUGACCUCUCGCUUCGGGGCAACCUUGCGGCAGGGCACCACGCUGGUGGCGGGAGCGCGGCUCAGUGAAAGUGAAGACGCGCGGAGGGACUGCCUGUUUGCCUCUUCUUUGCCCCGCAUCGAGAAGCAGGGACCUUACAGUUGUUCCAAACAGGUUCUCUUGCAGUGCGUCCACUAAUAAGUUUCACUGAGCUCCCGCCACCAGCGUGGUGCCCUGCCGCAAGGUUGCCCCGAAGCGAGAGGUCACCAAGCGCUUCGUGGAAAGCCAGGAGACCGUAGCGGAGACGGCGGCAGCGCGAAAGCGGCUCAUGCAGGACGCAAACCAAAGUUCUGAAGCUGCUUCCGCCUUUGUUGAGACAGUUACUAUGUGGCCUCUGAUGAGCAGUGCCCGAUGUGAGACACGCAAUUGGGAACGCACUGCAAAUGACGGAAUUCGCCAAUGGCAUUAGGGUGCUGCAAGCUCCAGAACAAGGCUACAUGGCUCCAGAACAAGGCUACAUGGCUCCCCGCCCGGCGCUUUCUGGUGGCCUCCUGCCAACAGCAGCUCAAUGCACUCUUCCCAACAUGCCGCUUGUCAUCGAGUAAUUUGGACGCCUGCAGCAACCUAUCAGCCUAUCCCGCUCCUGCGCAAUGAUACCCAAAAUGUCAAAGCCGCCCCCGCGCCUCCAAGCAAGCAGUCCCCGACACGCCCUCGAUCCGCGCGCGUGCUCUCGCCUAGCCUGUGUGCAGGCUGGCGAACUCUGCCGACUAAACACACGACCCUAUCGACGCAUGCCCGAGAUUGCUUUGCGUGCCAUGUAGUAACUCAUGCUCCCUUUCCACACUUCGCGUACACGCAUGCAGCACAGAGCACACGCCGUAUGCUGCAGACCGCGCCGCACUCGAGACCCCAAUCCGACCAGCGAGCAGGGCAAUCCACGCCCCACCCGUAUCGGCACACAUCACAUGGACAGCAACGUUGGCGGCACGCGUGCCCAGCACGCACAGCACUGCCAGACACCUUUGCGCGACGAACACGAGUGCGGCACUUCCUGCUCUUAUCUAGGAUGACAAGUGCCACUUCGCACUCCUCUAUGCCAGGACUUGUACCCUGCAGCCGCGUGGCACGGCCCAGUGUCGACCGUGGAGCGAAGCCCACUGGUGCCUGCACCUCGUGCCCGUCCCAAAAGCGCAAUGGCAUGUUACCGCCUGUGUGCGGUACCGCCGCCUGUGCGGCGGCGGUUGACAUCCCGGCGCGUAGCAUCCACUGUCUUGGUGUCUGCUGCGCUGUGACGGCUCGAGGCAGGCGGCUGCCGAGCGUCCAGAGUCCCAGAGUCCCAGCCCACUGUUGUCCCGUGACGUCUCGUGCAUGCGCCGUUGUUGCAUGCUGCAGCGCGCCAGGGUGCACUGUUUCUGUCCGGCCCUGCGGCACCCCGCUCCUACAUGAAGUAGCCUAGCACCGCUGCUACACCAGGGCAAAGCGCUGGGACCCCAGGACCUGUCGCGGCCACUCUUGUUAGUGGCGACCGGGCACGCCGGCCUGGCCCUGCGACUGCGGCGCCCCCGCCCCGCCAGGCUGCUGUCCCUGCGCCCCGCCGGCCCCCACGGGGCCCUGCGCGCCGCCGGCGCCGCCCUGGCCACCGCCCGUCAGCUUGGCAUUGCGCGGCAGCCGCGGCGCCACCUCGAUAUCCUCGUAAAGGAUUUCCAGGUCCGCCUUCUGCACAAUCUCCCACUGGUUGAUGUCAAAAAUGAGGAACGAGCCGCGCUCGCCGCGCUGGCUCUUUUGCGUGGCGGCGCCGGGCGCGUGCAGCAUCCACAGCUUGUAGCGGCGGUGGAACCACCAGCCGCGCACCGACAGCUCGUCGGCCGCCAGCAGCUGCGCCUCGUCGCCGGGCAUGGAGUAGAACAUGUAGAACAGCGUUUCCUCCUUGAACUUGGACAAAUAGCCCGGCUGGGGUGGGGGAGAGAGUGCGCGGUAUCAAGGUGCCGUACGUACGAACUGGCGGCCAUGGGCAGCCCAUCAAGACCCAGUGGCCAGUACUACGGCAGCGCAAUUCUGCGAAAGCCGACACAUGGCGUGUGCGCCCUCCGACCAGCCGAUACCACGCCCAGCCAGCCCCCAAGCACCUGCAACCGCUGCGGCACGAACUUGUAGCAGGAGGGCAGGUCGAAGUCGGGCUCCGCCUUGAUGGGGUUGUCCGCCAGCGGCGACACCAGCGUGGAAUGCAGGUCGCCUGCGCGGUCCGGCAGUGGGGCGACGUGGCGAGGAGCUUGGGGAAAGGAAGCGGGCAGUACUAUGACGGACUCAGGCAGUAGGUUGUAAUGCCGAUGCCAUUGCCAUUCGAGGUCAUAACGAUCGCCACCGCGGUGGGGGCGCCCACGGCAACCCCCCAAUCGCUGCGAUGCCCUGGCUGUGCUGGCAAUGAAUGCGUGUUUUAUGGUACUGACUUCACGGUCCAGCUGCUGAGUUCGCGCAGGGUGCGUUACCACCCACUCGCUGACGUUAAGGACCUCAUCGACGUUCGCGCGCACGCAUGAACUAGACCACAUGUGAGGCGAAAAGCGCCGCCUGCGCGCCGCUCACCUGGCGCGUUGAGGUUGAGCCCCAGCCCCGUCAGGUCGGUGCCCAGAGCCAGCAUGGUCAGGUCCGGGUCCGUCAUCUUGAUCAGAGGCAGCAGACCCAUCAGCCCGAACCGGUCAGCCUUGGCCGCCGCCGCGCCACCCUGCAGCUCGCCGCCUGGCCCCACGCCCUUGCCGCCCAUAGGCCCCGGCCCCCCGGGCCCAAGAAGCCCCGGCGCCAGGCCGCGCUGCUGCUGCAGCCGCAAAUACGCCUCGUACUCGGCGCUGCCGGGCUGGCCCGCGGCCGCCGCCAGCUGCUGCAGAUGCUCCGCACCGAACCCAGACGCGCCCGCGCCCCGGCCCACCCCCUGCUGCUGGGCCAGGCCACCGGCACCACCCAUACCGUCCCGCGUUGAUGUCCCUGGCAGCGCCGGAAAAUCCUCGUUCUGGAUCUGGAAGUCGCCGCCUGCCCCGCCAGCACCGGCGCCGGCAUGCCCCGCCCCGCCCGCGACCGCUGCCGCUGCUGUGCGCAAGCCAAGCUUAGCGAAGGGGUCGUUCGCCGCCGCAGCGGCGGCCGCCGCAGCGCCCAUGGCCUCUGCGUUGGCGCGGCCCUGCCUUGCCGCCGCGUUCGCCAGCAGCGACGGGAAGUCGUUGUUGUCAAAGCUAGGCCCGUCCUGAUCCCCAUGCUGUUGCUGCUGUUGCUGCUGCUGCUGCUGCUGCUGUGCGGCCGCCGCGGCCGCCGCCACCUGCUGCUGCGCCGAUUGCUGCACCAGCCCCAGGCCGGGCCCGCCCAGGUUCCCGACGCCGCCGCCCACCGCGCCGAAGCCCGCCGCCGAAAGCCCCAGGUUGUUGAGCGCGUUAAAGGCGUUUGCGCCCCCGGGCAUCUGCUGCUGCUGGUGCUGCUGCGCCACCUGCUGCUGCUUCUGCUGCUGCUGACGGUUGAGCAUCGCCAACAGCUCGUGCGUGUUGGUGUUGGUGUUGGGCAUCGCGCCCGCCAGGUUCUGCUGCAGCAGGCCCAGCCCGCCCGCGUUUGCCAUCUGCAGCCGGCUCUGCAGGUUGCCGCCCUGCAGCCCGCCCAGGCCCGCGGCAGCUGCCGCCGUGAGCUGCGCAUUGAGCCCAAGCCCCGUCAGCCGCUGCGGGUUCUGCAGCGCCGCCGCGAGAGGGUUCUGCGCCGCGGCGUACCCUUGCAACCCGGCCAGGCCAGCGCCCGCUGCGCCCGCUGCCGCGGCGUUGAGGUUGGCGGCCAGACUGAGGUUAGCGGCGCGGUCGACGCCGGGCUGCCGCAUCGCUGCGAGCGGCGCAAGCCCCCCUAUCCCCUGCGCGCGGACGCCGGCCCCAGCAGCGCCCGCGAGGACGCCAUUUGCUAGCUGUGCGCCUGUGAGAGGUCGCCCCUGCGCCUGGGCGUACUGCCCAAGCUACAGGUGGGUGUGAAAGCGGGGACGGCGUGUGGGAAGGGUUUCGAGCGGGGACGAGCCCAAGACCCAGGAUACCGCAAACAUACAGCCUCAGUUUUGUGCUGUGAACUCCAUCUCCGCCAUCCAUAUGCAAGACCCCGAACGAGUAGUGUCAGCCCGUCGAAACCCGCUGCAUUUUGGCUCACCUGCUGCUGCAAAUUAGACUGUAACGUGCUCGCUGCAGCAAACCGGUUCUGCGCCGUUUGCUGUGGCCCUGCCGCUCCAGCUUGAAGCCCAGCAAUGCCAGUCCUGCAUGUGAACGAGCGUGGUCAGCAAAGUCUCGCAAAUUGCGGGAGGGUCCCUAGCAAAAGCGAGCCACCACGUACCUGACGCCGGGUAGCCCGCCCUGCAUCCCUCCUUGGAGAGCACCUGUCAAACAAGAGCGGCAACCUUGAUCAGCUCGCGCCGGGACACUGGGAGACCGUGUGCAUCAGGUCGCGGGUCUCACCGAGGGGAAAGCCCGCCUGCCCCGCCUGCUGUCCAUAUCCAAAUCCUCUGGCACCGCUCGGGUCCAGCCCGCCUGGAUUUCCUAGCAUGAGGCCCGCUCCUGCGCCAGCGCCUGCACCCGAGGACGCCAGCACAAAUGUCAGAGGCGCCACGGCAUAUUUAACCCUCAGCAGCCGAUAUCUUAGCCAGUCUGCUCGCUGGUCUGCACGCCCCGGCUUUCCUCGCUCCUCGGCACGAUCUUUUUGCGCAAAGCCCUCCAAAUCUGUCCCUGAACUCUGCACGUACCAAUGGAGCUCUACUAGUACGCCGAGAAAUUGGCGGUGAAGUCCCUAUCAGCUGCUGCGUCCAGAGCAGCAGCGACGCGAAUUGUCCCUACACAAGCCGUGCAAACCUUGCCCUAAAAGCGGUCACAAUAUAAUCUGUUACCAGCCAUGUGUGCAAAUCUGUUGCCAGCGAGGUUUGCGGGCAGGGCUGUAUCACCCGCAUGGAUCCGCCCCCUAAGCAACCUCCUGGCACACACAUGCAUAAACCCCUCCCCGCCGACCCCUCCCCCAGCCCCACCCUCGCGCAUUAGACCCCCCCUCGAGUGAACCGUCCGUGUCCUUGGAGGCGUUGUUGCCUCCACUUGUGCAGGUUGCGACACACGCGUCGGUCAGGUUGUAUUGUUCGUGUGAGACGCGGGCUUCCGUGCAGUUGCCGGCGCAGAGCACACGCAUCUAUGCUUGUGCUUGCAGAAUGUGCGCGGAGAGCUACGAUACGUGCGUAGGAAUCUACAAAUUAUGUGAAUGCAGGCUUUAUCCUGGCAGAGUUGCGCAACAACCCCACGGACUUGAGUGAUUCGGUGAUUCCCAGACCCCAACCCAGAUGGGCCGCCCUGGGCGUGCUGGGCCAGGCCGAGUGGGUAGGAGCCGCCUAGGGGAGAAGGGGGUGCCGUUUUGGGUAGAGUAAGGCAGAAUCACUAGGAUGCGCUGUUCAUGUGUUGAAACCAAAAUUGAGACCCGGGCCAGUGGACGACCCAAAGCUAUGACUCAACACAUGUAUGGUGCACAAGGAUAUCCACGUGCAGAUCUGUUGUUUGCCAUCUGCUGGGGUCUGGGAAUCACCGAAUCAGCUGCGCCCUCCGGGACUUCACCAACCUGCCUUGACACAGUCCAUCGCACAUCCACGUGCGGAGCUGUAGAUUGCGAGUGCGUUUACGAGGCAAAGAGGGCGGCGAACGGGGGCGGCGACGUAGGAUGCUAUGGCUACCCCGGAGUCUGGUGGGGCUUGCUCCAGUCGCCCGCAGGGAGCCGGGGGAGCGGACGGAGCGGAGGUAGCGAGCCAGGUCACCGGCCGGUGCCUGGUAGGACGGUAGGUGCCAGCAGCAGUAGGGCAUAGCAUCAAAGCGGCAGCUGGAUCGAGCAUGGCUGCUGGAUGUGCCUUGUUGUGUGCUGCGACUGGCUCUAUGCUCUGCUCUGCUCUCGCUUGUACUAGGAACUUAAUGGCUGUGCGCUCGGCUGCAGGACCGAGCGGACCCCUGGCUGGAGGUGCCUGUGUGGAGGCCAACUCACACAAGCGUGCAGGGAGACGCGGUGAGAAGCGGCUUGACGCUAUCGUAUUGGCCCGACUGUGCCCGGGAGUUGAUAAUAGUUCGGUAGACCUUCGGCCUCAAGCGGGGCCCUGCAUGUGAGGUGGCACGUCGCGACCGACCAACACGCAGACGCGUCCAUCCAAGCGGCAGCGCACACGGCCAGGGCACACCGCCCCUCUGAUGGCCGUCUCCCGCACGGAAGCACUUGACACUUACUUGUUGAAGCAGGCUGUGGCACAAACCUGCCGCUUCCGAGGUACGUGUGCGGGUACAUCACCAGAGAUGCCCGGAAAACCCGAAUGCGCACGGUGUCGGACGAGGGGGUCGCAGCUAGCGUGCAGCACAGGAGGAAAAGCCUGCCAUCCCUUUCCGCUACCUUACCAACCCUAAAACCUCAAGCCUGCUGGUUAGGCACAGGUAUAAUUGACUCACAGGAAUAUAUGCAUUGCGGCCUUGCGGCAUGCCGCUGAUUUCAAUAUUCCGAUUGCCCUUGCUGGCUGAUGCAAGUUUGAGACGUGUGCUGCGUUAGGGGUGAUGAAGGGGAGGCCCUGUUCGGCCUGUUGAGUGAACCGGUGGCGGCAAAAGCAUUCCUCGUAGCGGUGUGGUCGCCUGGUUGGCCCUGGCGACCUUUAGUCGCUGGCUAUGUCUAUGUCUCUGGCUCUGGGGGUGGCUGUGGCAGUGGCAGUGGAAGUUCCGGGUAGACCAUAGACGGGUAGCCGCGUGCGUGAACGCUGUAACGCUGGUCCUUUCGGUUACCCGCCCAGCCUGAUCAUUCCGCGAAGGCUCUUGUCCCAACGCCACGCAUAUCCUUUCGGACCUGGAUUGAGGGGGGCGUUUAUGAUCGAACAACUCGCGACCAGCAGGGGGGGAGGUUGCGUCGGCCCUGAUGGGGCGGGCAGGGGCCGGAAGGGAGUGGCUGUGCCACACCCCAGCGUGCCGCACGCCGAGCGCGCCACACACUAAGUCCGAGCUAAGUCUUACAUGAAAGUGUGUUAGCGGACGAAGCUUGUGCCAUUAACUGGGUUUGUUUGCAGGCGGGUUUUGCUGGAAGGUUCUUCCAUGCACGUUUCGAGACCAAAUCGCUCGACGACCUAUUACGCCCAUGACCGAGUCGCGUAUUAUAACAUUUGCCUCAGCCAUAUAACCUUACCGGCGUCGACUCGCCACGCCUCGACUUGACGCGAGAGAUGCACUCGCUAAGCAAGGCCCUGCUUGGCUCUGGCCGUCGCGGCCAGCAGAACGUAAGGCACCUUCAAGAGUGUAUAUUAGGCAGUCAAUUGCAACCGGCCGAUCAGUGGUCGCCACGUGGAAGUGUUCCAAUCAGGCAUCGCGACGCAGAUCCUAGCGGCGACCCUCCGACGCGUGACGCGAGACAAAUUGGAGGAGCGUGACUGCUGAUCGCAUAUGUCGUGUUAAUGCCUGCAGAGCGCGCUGCUCCAGGCUGUGCGCUUCUACGCCGCCAAGGAUGUGCGCUUCGGCAUCGAGUGCCGUGACAAGGUGCUUGCCGGCGUGAACAAGCUGGCGGAUGCCGUCCAGGUCACUCUGGGUCCCAAGGUAAGACAAAGGGAGGGGUUAGGACUGCAGGGCUUCGCGCGUGGAUCGGGAGCAGGGGCGGGGGUGCCAGCAGGGACUUCCACGUCGGCGUCUGGAAGCUCGUGCCGUGCAGUUGCUCGACAGCCAAGGGCAGGGCCGCGAGGGAGGGCCAUGUCGGCCACCAGUGCCAUGCGUUGCUGACAGCUCCCAGUGGAAAUAGCGACAAGGGUUUCAGCGCGUUGCACGUGAUGCAGGAGCUGCGGGGCUGUAACCCGGCCCGGCAAAACCGCAACCUCAUGCCAGCCGCGGUUCUGCCGCUCAACGGACGCCUGCUCCCGUAACGCUUGCAACACAGGGUCGUAACGUCAUGAUUGAGCAAACGUACGGCGGCCCUAAGAUCACCAAGGAUGGUGUGACUGUGGCUAAGGUGAGAGCGGCGAGAGGUGGAGGACCUGCAGGCUGGCUAACCUGUUCUGCGCCGGAUGGGAGGGCCGCGAAGGGAUGCUCGGCCAGGUCCUGAUGAGUGAGGCGUUUGGGAGUAGCCUCGUGCGGUUAUUUUGGCGCUUUCACGGGAGGCUGGGCGAUGAGGCAUGUAAUCGGCAGGGAGAAUCGAGGCUGGCGGUCUGCCAGGGGGACCCGGGUCCACCCCAAUUGGCAGUGCAACGCCGUGCAGUCCCUACACCCACUCGGGUGCACGCCGCGCUAGACGCACAAUCACAACAUGACUGAGCACCGGUUACAUGCACGUAUGCCGUAUGUCUGCGACGUGCUCGCCCAACUCCCCGCCAUCCUCCGUCUCGCGGUCGCCGCCUCGCACACAACAGGCCAUCGAGCUGAAGGACAAGUUUGAGAACAUUGGCGCCAGCCUGGUGAAGCAGGUGGCCAGCGCCACCAACGACGUGGCGGGAGACGGUGAGGGCAGGAGGAGCACAGGAGGGGGCGGCGGCGGUGGGGUGGUGGGGUGGUGGGUGGGCGGGGGGAGUGUAGAGUGGUGGUGGGUGGGCUGGGGCGGGCGCAGGGGCGGGGCGGGUGCCCCGCCCGAGGUAGGCAGUGGAAUGGGGGAGAGGCGCAGAUGAAGGUGGAGGGGAGGGGACGGAGAAGGAGAAGGAGUGGAGGGGAAGGAGAAGAACGGAGAACCGAGGAAGGCAAGGGGGCAGUGAUAAGGGAACACGAAGCUCACGAGGCUAGGCGAAUGGGGCUUGACGGGUGUUGCGCAGAAAUGCAGAAGCGUAAUGCGGUGGCGGCGCCGGUGGUUUGGGUGGUGUUGGCUGUUUCCCGAAGUAGGGAGCAGGGUCAGCACAGGGGCGGCAUGCACUGCAGCCGUCACAACGAGGAAGCGCAUGGGACAGGGGACGAUCGGGGACGACGCCGGAUCGCCACGACGCCCGCCGGGCAAGUGGCCCAAGCGAGAGGGUUUUGUCACCUCCUGUCUCCACCAUUUCCACCUGGUGUUUCCCUCACAUUCCCGGCGCCUUCCCACCCACCUUGCCCCAGGCACCACCACCGCCACGGUUCUGACCCGCGCCAUCCUGGCCGAGGGCUGCAAGUCCGUGGCCGCCGGCAUGAACCCCAUGGACCUGCGCCGCGGCAUCAACAUGGCGGUGGAGCACGUGGUGGGCGUGCUCAAGGCGCGCGCCAAGAUGAUCUCCACAACCGAGGAGAUUGCGCAGGUGGGGGGCGGGGACAGGAGGGAGGAGGAAGGAGACGGGGGGCGGGAGGUGGGGGUUGCAAAGAUGGUUGGAAAAGCGGUACCGAUAAAAGCAGUACCGGUAAAAGCGGAUGCGCAGGGGGGAUACGAAAACCCCCCACCCCAACAGGGGGGAGGGGCACUUGUUCAUACCGACAAGUAUGAAGUGUCGGGGUCAGCCGUUCAUGGAGAAUGGGGUGGUUUGGGACGGGGCGAAGAGCAGGGUGGCAGAGGAUGGGGCAGAGGGCGGGCGUGGCAGCGACGGAGGGGGUGAAGGAGGGGCGAUUGGUGAAACGGGUUGGAUGGUGAAAGUGGCGUGGCCUACCAAACCGGUCCAGUGCAACACAACCCUGCUCCCAGCAACCCUGCCACCUGACACACCUCCGCCAUCCCAACAAACCUCGCCUCCUCUCUCCUCCUCUCCCCUGUUGUCAGGUGGGCACCAUCUCCGCCAACGGCGAGCGCGAGAUCGGCGAGCUGAUUGCCCGCGCCAUGGAGAAGGUGGGCAAGGAGGGCGUCAUCACCGUCAACGACGGCAAGACGCUGGAGAAUGAGCUGGAGGUGAGAGGGGGGGUGCGAACAGGAAGGGUGUGAACAGGAAGGGGGGGAGGAGGGGGGGGGAACAGGAGGGGGGGGGGAUGGGGAUGCGGAGGAAGGCGGGAUCGGGAUACCGAGCGAAGGGUCAGGAAUGGCAGGGUUGCAGGUGCUGGUAGUCAAGCUCUGGCGGUGGCGCGGGCCCUUGGGAUACUUCCGCCUCCCCGCCCCAUCACCCUGCCCCCGCCCCAUCACCCCUCACCCCCUAACCCCACAGGUUGUUGAGGGCAUGAAGUUUGACCGCGGCUACAUCUCGCCCUACUUCGUGACGGACCAGAAGACCAUGAAGGUGGAGCUGGAGAACCCGCUCAUCCUCAUCUGCGAGAAGCGCAUCAGCGGGUGAGGGGAGAGGAGGAGCGGAGGGGAGGGGGAAGGAAGCGGGGGAGGAGGAGGGGGAAAAGAGCAUUUCAGCCGCGUAUGCAGAUGAUGGUGGGUGGUGAUGCAAAUGGCACAGCGUUGCGCGCACAGGAAGUAGCGGCCGCGUAGAGCGGCAUGACCGGGGGAAAAAGCUUCAUCCAUGGCGUGCCCGGGGGGAGAGGGGGCCGACGUAUCGAUGCACAUGUAUAUCCGGCAUGUUGCUUUCAUGCCAACCACCCCCUUGCCCUCCCGCUUCCCCUCCUCCGCCCGCCCGCCCGCUCCCGCCCGCCCGCCCCGCAGCCUUCAGUCCCUGCUGCCGGUGCUGGAGAAGGUGGUGCAGGUGCAGCGCCCGCUGCUGAUCAUUGCCGAGGACGUGGAGAGCGAGGCGCUGGCCACGCUCAUCGUCAACAAGCUGCGGGCGGGCCUCAAGGUAGGGGGGCGCUGGGCUGGGGGAGGGGGAGGGUUGUAGAUAGCAGCUCAAACUAAACCGAACCCAAUGCAAUAGACCGAGGAGGAGAGCGUGUGAGUCGCAUCGGGGGGGGGGCGGACUCCACGGGUCGCGUGACCCCGGCCAGCAGCGGCGCAGUGGUCACACAGGGGGGAGGGGGGGAGGGGGGAGGGGGCGCCAGGGUUGCCGGCAGCGGGUGGGCGGCAGGUGCUGGGCGGCCGGACGGAGUCGAAAGCAAUUCUGACAUGACAAUGAGGGUGCGGGUGGGCGGGGGUGUAUUGCGGGUGGGCGGGGGCGUUGUGCGGGGGUGCGGGGGCGGGGUGCGGGAUGAUGCAACACGCUGCGGAAGCGGGAGUGGGCAUGUGGCGAAGGACUCGUGGGGCAGGGGCGGAGGCGGAGCAAACCGGCGGGGGGCACGGAGGAAUGUGCGUGCGCCUAGAACAGCUUACGAACACCCCUUCCCGCCUCUGCUUUGCCCCCCCCCAGGUGUGCGCCGUGAAGGCUCCCGGCUUCGGCGACAACCGCAAGGCCAACCUGCAGGACAUCGCCGUACUCACCGGGGGAGAGGUGCGCGGGGGCUGGCCGGGGGGGGGGUGGAGGGGGGAGGACUAGGGGCGCGAGGGGAAGGCCAGACCGAGACAUAGAGGGGUGGUAUGAACGUACGCGUCCGCACUCACCCGACCCCGACCCCGCACCCCGCACCCCGCACCCGGCACCCCCGCUCACGCCGCACACAGGUGAUCAGCGAGGAGCUGGGUCUCAAGAUGGAGAACGUGGACGUGCGCUCGCUGGGCUCGGUGAGUAGAGGGGAGGAGGGGAGGAGGGGAGGAGGGGAGGAGGGGAGGAGGGGAGGGGAGGGGAGGGGAGGGGAGGGGAGGGGAGGGGAGGGGAGGGGAGGGGAGGGGAGGGGAGGGGAGGAGGGAGGGUGAGUNNNNNNNNNNNNNNNNNNNNNNNNNNNNNNNNNNNNNNNNNNNNNNNNNNNNNNNNNNNNNNNNNNNNNNNNNNNNNNNNNNNNNNNNNNNNNNNNNNNNGAGGGGAGGGGAGGGGAGGGGAGGGGAGGGGAGGGGAGGGGAGGGGAGGGGAGGGGAGGGGAGGAGGGCGGGUGAGUGGUGGGUUGGUAGGAAGGGAAUGAGUGGAUGGGCGGGCGGAUGGGCGGGUGCCGUGCGCACCUGAUGGCUGGUGUGUGUGGGGGGCGUGUGUGUCUGUGGGCAAGUCAGACGGUGACAUGGCUGCAGGGCUAAGUGAGUGUGUGAGUUCUUCUCUCACCCAUUGUACCGCCCGCCCACACACACCGCCCGCCCCAUGUGACAUAAUGCACCGUCCACACGUCACCCCCGCGCCCACCCCUUGCUCCCCCCAGGCCAAGCGCAUCACUGUGACCAAGGACGACACCAUUGUGCUGCACGGCGCCGGCGCCAAGUCCGACAUCGCCUCCCGCUGCGAGAUGAUCCGCGCCGCCAUGGACGCAACCACCUCGGACUACGACCGGUGGGGACAGGGGUGGCGGGCGGGGGCAGCAGGCAGGAGGCGGGCAAUGGCUGAGGGGUUGGGGCGGGAGUGGAAGUUGAAGACAGGGCUCAGGGGUCGGGCAGGACGGGUCGAGUACUACUUGCGGUCUAGGGGCGGUGUGGGUGCGUAUCAUGGCUCUGGCACCUGCCCUCACAAUCUUAACCCCACCCGCACCCGCACCCCUCCCACCUGGCCAGUGAGAAGCUGCAGGAGCGGCUGGCCAAGCUGUCUGGCGGCGUGGCGGUGAUCAAGAUCGGCGGCGCCAGCGAGGUGGAGGUGGGCGAGAAGAAGGACCGCGUGGUGGACGCGCUCAACGCCACCAAGGCCGCCGUGGAGGAGGGCAUUGUGCCGGGUGAGGGAGGAGAGGGAGAGGGAGAGGGGUGGAGGGCGAGGGAGAGGGGUAAGAGGGUGGGAAAUUGGCCACCCUCUAGCUGCUUUGCCCGCCUUUAAGCAACAUCCUCUUGCUUCUUGUGCCCUGCCUCGUCCUCACCUCCUCCUCCGCGCCCUCCCCCUCUGCCUCCCCCCACACGCGCAGGCGGCGGCUCCGCGCUGCUGCACGCGUCCAAGACGCUGGACGAUGUGACCGCCAAGCUGGACAACUUCGACCAGAAGAUCGGCGUCAACAUCAUCCAGAACGCACUGCGGGUGCGUGAUGUGGGGUGCUGCGGGACGUUGGGGUAAUUAGGCGGCCGGACAAGAAUUCAGACGAAGCGGGGAACGUGUGCACGCGUAUCGGCUUGCCAAGCCGCCACGCCUGGCCACGUACCGGGAACACCACAUCACACUACGGUAGACGGCCGCUGACCCCUUCAACCUCAUCCCGCCGCUUCCCCCUCCCUCCCGCCGCUCCCCCCUCCCCCCGCUGUCUACUUCGCUACACUUCUCUGUACCGCUCCUUGCAACCCCCCCCCCUCGUAAACUUAUAACCCCCCCUCACGCACACACAGGUGCCCAUGAAGACCAUCGCCUCCAACGCGGGUGUGGAGGGCGCCGUGAUCGUGGGCAAGGUGCUGGAGAUGGCGGAGCCGCAGAUGGGCUACAACGCCGCCACCGGGGAGUUCGUGGACAUGAUCAAGGGCGGCAUCAUUGACCCGCUCAAGGUAUGCGUGCGUGUUUGCUUGUGUUGGGGGGCCGCGGCGCGGGUAGGUGUAGUCCAGUCCCAACUGAACCAGGGGGCCCGUGUGGGCGUGACCAAAGGGUUGCAAUGCAUACCCAGACAGACAACGCGGUGUGUGAUCGUGGUAGGGCCGUGGGGAUAGUCAUGUUGGAAGCCCUUUCAAGUCACCCCGCGCUCACCAUUCGCCCACCCACCCGCCCACCCACCCACCCGCCCCCACGCCAGGUGGUCCGCACAGCCCUGGUGGACGCUGCCAGUGUGUCCUCCCUCAUCACCACCAGCGAGUGUGUGGUGGUGGAGGCGCCCGAGGACAAGAAGCCCGCGGCCGGGUACCCGCCCGCGCCCGACAUGUACUAAGCGGCUGUAGCAGCUGGAGGCGGCUGUAGCAGCUGUUUAGGGCUGCAGCAGCUGAACGGGUUGUGCUGGUUGCAGCAGCAGUAGCAGUUUUAUGGGGCCGCUGCUGGCUACAGCUGGCGGCCGGACCUCUGGCGCCUGCCGCGUAUGACGUCAUGCGCACCGGCACCAGCCUCAGGGUUGCAGUUGCCGGCAUGACGCUGUGUGGCGGGUGGGUGCUGCCACUUGGGACGUGGGGGUCAGGUGGGUCAGGCGGUGGAUCGGAGGCGGCGCCGGCAAGCCUCCGGAGUAGGAGGCAGCAUUAGGAAGCAGUGGGGAUGCAGAUGUGUCUCAAGGUCAGGUGCGAGGACAGCGUGAGAGCAAGAGAGAGUGUGUGUAUGUGUGAGUUCACAUGACUGGGCGGGCGCGGAAGGCCUGGCCCAUACAUGGGCGAUGUGGUAGCAGGAUGGAUGAGAGGUGGGAGGUGCCGCGUGGGAGGGGUGGGCGCGGGCAGCACUGGGUGGGUGGCCCCGGGCGGGGGGCAAGAGGUGGUGAGGCGGUGGCGGCACGGGUGAGGUCUGUUGAGCCUUAACGUGUGGCCGGAGUGUUGUAGGGGCCUUGAAGGCGGGGUGCGACGGGAAGUCCGGAGACUCCGGACGGGCUGUAAGGUGGCUUCGCAACUCGUCUCGUUUCAGGGCUGCAUGCGAACUUGCAAACGGCGAAGAUCCCCACGCCCACAGCGAGAUGUAGCGGCCGGCUGACAUACCGGUAUCGAAAGGCAGCGCGGCGAGCACGAGUCUUGGUACGCCCGCGCGAGAGAGAGGUCCGUGUGUAACCAACACAGUGCGUGCUACAUGCAUGACAGCAGGCAUGCCCCUGGUAAGAUCGUGACUAUGCAUUCCAGCCGUGUCAGCCGUCGUAUUAAUAUGUGGGCUGGAGCCUCAGGGCAGCGGCGGCAGCGGUCCAGGAAUUUCCGUGGAGGCUUCACGCCCCCUAGCCAUGUCAAGGCACAACCGGUUGACAACACAGCACGCCAGUAUCUGAUACACUCCGAUACCUUCUGGCCCCAUCCUGCCACUGCCUCCAGAACGCCUGAGCAUCCGUCCCAGUGCGGCCCAGCGGGGCACUGCCUCGUGCGGUCGCUAAUCCAGCACACCCACGUCAAGCCCCCACCCCCAACAACCCGGCCUCACUCGUCCGCGUUCUGUUACAAGUACCCGAACCCCGCCGCCGUCCGCUGCGCCACCCGCUGCCGCGCCGCCUCUCGCCGCGCCAGGGCCUCCGCCUCCUCCUUGCUGAUCGUCGCCGCCUUGCCGCCCUUGCCCGCCGCCGCCUUGGCGCCCGCCGCCUUCACCGCCGCCGCCUCCUCGCGCUUGCGCUUCUCGCCUGCCGACGGCUCUUCCAACACAAUGCCUGUGCGGGGCAGCCACAGCGACAGCCGGGUGAGGUACGGCCAGGGCGCCUGCCCACGUGUCCGUGUCCGUGUCCGGGCACGUGCCACAACAGACACGUGCGGCGAGGGAGCAGAUGGCGCGAUGUCCGAGGCGCUCGCGGCCACUGAGGGUCGCCACUCUAUGUGGCCCCAAUCCACACAGUGCCAUGCCACAGCUUCUCUCGUACCCCACGCCCCCGAGCCCUCCGGACCCACGGCCGGCACGGCCGGCACGGCCCCACGCUCACCUGCGCCCAUGCCGCCGCCCACUCUCCCCGUCUUGGGCGCCUGGUAGCCGCCAAUGUCCGAGGCCGGGUGCUUGGGCACCACCACCGCCCGCGUCACAGUCUUCUUCUCAAACACGCCCGGCGGCGCAGCCGCCGCGGCGCCGCUGCCGCUGGGGUCGGGCGCGGUGCCGGGGCCGUGCCCCAGCGGCACGGGGCCACCGGUGUGUGGCGCGGUGCCGAACAGGGCGGAGGCGGGCAGUGGCGGCGUCUGCGACCAGGCCGGUGCGGGCUCGCCGCCGUAGUACCACUGCGUCUUGGGGUCGUAGUACCACCUGUGGGGCAGGGAGGAGGCAGGGGGCACCGCAUAGGCGAGCGGUAGCGCGAGCGGUAGCGCGAGAAAGGAGGCUGAGCGAGCUGCAUGUGUAGGGGUGGAGGUGCACACGCGUGGAGAUGACGCACUGGCGCGGGGUGCUGGCGGGAAAAGGAGGGAGGGCGCUUGUGGCGUGGGCUGGCGCACCGGCAGGCCACCUUCCUCCGCCCGGCGCCAGAGGCUCCUGCCUUUCCGCCGUCCCCUACUCCCGAGUCGGCCCCUUGAUUAACAGCCUCUUCCCAUACCCACCUGUGCGUUUCGUUGUAGUAAUACCCGCUGCCUUUGUCCCAAGUCCAUUGCCCUGCCUCCGCCGCCGCUGCCGCCGCCGCCGCCUUCUUGUCCUGCGGGGCUCAAGGGUGGGCAGCAAGUGGCAAGGCGUCGUGAGGACCGUGGCGCCUCUACGGCUUUGGGGAGGAGGAGGCAGAGAGCCAGCCGUCACCUCACAACAUCCUCUGCGCCUCCAACCACGCCAGUCCGCCUCUCCAAUAUGCCACGACCCCGACCCCGACGUGUGACAGGCUGGGCGUAUGCCAGAGAGCCGGCCCCGCCGCCUGGCUCUGCAGCCCCCGUUAGCCGCCCCUUUCCCGGCUCCUAAGUCCCAGACCCAAGCCAUCCGGACUCUCUCCCCCAACCGCUAUUGAACGCCCCAACCGCCUCUAACCGCUUGUUUAACCACCUCUCUAAUCGCCUCUCACCUCCUCGUACUGCUUCUUCGCCGCCGCCUCGAUUUUGUGCAUGGCGAUCUCGUUGACCUCCUUGGCGCGUGCAUCCCGCUCCGCCUUUUUGGUCAUAUCAUACAGCUCUGGGGCGUGAUAGGACAGGUAAGCGUUGCAUAUAAUGUGUGUGUUUGUUACAUGGCAGGAACUGCUACUGCGUUGCUGGCCUGCCGGCUGCUUGCAUUGCUUGUACUCCCCUCAACUCGCGCGGCACCCAACCACUGGUCACCCGGGGGCCUUGCGGCAUAAAGCAUCGCACAUGACCACAGACUGCGACUCCCGUAUCACAGUACUUGAUCCAUACAGCCUGCCGCCGCGCAUUCCGGGCGAGUUCGCUUCUUCGCUUUGCCCAACACUUCCGUCGGCGCACUGAGCCUGUUCCAGGGUUGACCCACUCACUCUUCUCCAGUUUGGCCUGAUGCCCGGCUCCCCGUUCGUGGUUGAGCCGGGCCGCUUUCGUGUCGUUGAGCCAACAUUUACAAACGUCGCACCAGUACAUGGCAUUUGAUUUCCAGAACUGCAGCGCACGGCAGCCGAGUUGGGUGGGACGUCAGGCCGGUAUGGGUGUGCGGGGUUGGAAGCGUGUCCGAGUCCCGCCAGUUUGGCGGGCUCGACGCUGGUAUCCUUUGUCAUCGCUCUAUCUAACAAAAGUCUGCACUGUGCCUUUUACUAAAGCCCAACAGCGACUGGUCGAGUUUGUGCACAGAACGUUGCUACCCGCGUACCUCUGUCAUUUUUGCUAGACCUUUUUAAGUAUCUGUUAUAUAUGGUGGUCAAGCUCGCAAGCGGUCAGUGAGAGCAGGGAUGUGACUUUGGUCGCUCUUGGUCAAUUCAAUGGUGGGGCCCUAUCAAGCUGCAACUGAUGUUAGGUAUUAAUGAGCAGUGUAGUUGUGGAAAGCUCAGUUGGCCGGUGCUCCACUGUGAAGGCGUGGAGGUCCAUGCAGCAGUCCAAUCGGCAAUCGGGUCUUGCGAGUCCGCCUGUGGCUCGAAUCAGGAGCUUCCCUGUAUGUGGGUCAAUUAAUAUAGUUGAAGGUGGUUUCCACACAUGGAUUGAGCUAGGGUCAAGCUAGUGCAGAAUUGGUGGCGGAGCCCGACCUGCGGAGCAAACUAGGCGCUCGGGGCCGCCCGGAGCUGCCUCCACAGCUUCUGAAUGACUGGAAAAUCCAAAUCUCGCGGCGGCCCGAAAACCCCAGCGUCCGGACCGGGGCCCAGUGCUGCGGGCGCUGGUGCGGGCGCCAGCGCCGCGCCCGCGGCGGACUCGGCUGGGGCUAGUACCAAGCAGAAGCCGCAGCAGGGCGGUGCCAGCAAUGCCACAUCUAGCCCAGCUGGCGCUGGUGCCAAUGGCAGCGCACGAGUGGCUGCCAUCGGCACCACCAGUGCGGCUGUGCUAGCCACGCCAACGCCCCGCACCGCACCCCUGACACAGCAGCAGCUACGACGGCUGCGGCAGCAGCAGCGCACCGCCGCACCAGCCGUCCGUGCCCGCGGCGCCGCUGCCCCCGCCUCCGCCUCGGUUGGCGGCGCGCGUGCGGGCCGCAGCGGCGCCGGCCCCGCCAGCGGCCGCAACCGCGCAGCCCCGGGAGGCGAUCCGUCCGCCGACGCAUGGGCUGCCGCGGCGGCGGUUGCCGCCGCCGCCGCCGCAGGUGGCGGCGGUCGCGGUCGCGGCGGCGUCGGCGGCGCCGGCGACGGCGCAGACGGCGUCAGUGCGGAGGCAAUGGCGAAGCUGGUGGAUGCUGCGGAGGCGGCGCUGACGGAGGGGGCGGCGGGCGCGGCGCGGCUUCAGUCCAUGGCGGUGGCGCAGCCGGACCUGUACUCACGUGUGCUGCUGGGGCUGUUCCAGAAGACCCAGUCCCUGGAUCUCAUCAGCCGCAUGCCGAUGCCGCUGCCGCCGGAUCCAGGAUUCGACAUCGAGCCGCCCCUGCCCGGCGGCGAGUUUGACUUCGGCUGGAACGGCGGCGGCGGCAGCCGCGGCGGGGCCGGCGGCGCUGGCGGCGGCGGUGGUCCGGGUGAUGAGGGCGGCUACAUGGACGGCUACGGGCCGGGUGCCGGCGGCGCUGGCGGCGGGAUGCAGUUUCCGUUCCCGGAUUUUGACUACGACUUUGACUACGACCCGUUUGAGGGCGAGGACGAGGACGGGCUGUACGGCGAUGGGCUGUUCGGCCCUGGCGGCGAGGACCUGUACGGCCUGUUUGACGAGUACGGCGAGGGUUACGGUUACGAUGAUGAUGAUCUGUACGGCGACGCCGGUUACUCGGAGGACGAGGAGGGUGCAGGUGGAGAGGAGGAGGAGAGCGCGGGCGAGGACGAGUGGGAGGAGGUGGAGGGCGCGGAGGCGGCGACCGUGGCAGCGGCGGCAGCAGCGGCGGAGGCGGCGACGGUGGCGGCGGUGGCAGCAAUGGCAACGCCAUCUGUGGGAGCGGACGCACAUGUGGGCGCUGUGGCGAGCACGAGCAAGGACGCGGAAGAGGUGUGCGGUGUGGCAGCCGUCAGCGGCACACCCGGCGGCAAGGGCGCAGGCCCCGGGCCAACACCUGGGGCGCACAGCGCCCAGACGCCGCCGCCGCCGCCGCCGUUGCCGCCACAGCAGCAGCUGAAGGGCUGUGAUGCGGACGUUUCGUCACCAAAGCGGAGAGGCGCAUCAGCUGCGACGGCCUCAACCUCAACCUCGGCAUCAGCAUCAGCAUUAGCAGCGGCGGCGGCGACGACGGCGGCGGCCGGGGUAGCGGCGCGCGCGAGGUCGCCAGCAGGGAGAGCCUCGGGGCCGGCAGCGGGGCUAGGUGCAGGGCCAGGGCGGCGGCGGGUCGGGCCGCCGGUGGCGCUGGAGAGCUUGACGACACCGGGGUCGGGGGCAGCAGUGCGCGCGGCAGCAAGAGCGGCGGCGGUGGCGGCGGCGGGCACAGGCGCACCCGGGGCCCAGGGGAUGGGCGGCGGCGCAGGCGAGGCAGGCACCGGUGCCGGAGGCAGGCGCGUCGGCGGUGGCGACACCUCCUCGCGGCGCCAGCAACGUAUGGCGGCUGCAGCAGCGGCGGCGGCGGCUGGAGGUGGCGACCUGGGUGUUGACGCUGACGACGACGACCACGGGGUGCUGUUGGAUGAGCUGUUGGGGUUCCGCAUCACCAGCAAGCCGCCUCCCAGCUAGGCGGCAGCUAGGGGCGAGAGUGCUGCAGGGGGCAGACACGCAGUGCGCGCACGCCCUGCUUACGGACAGACAGAAAUGGGACCCUGGGUUAGUAUUGAUGCGCAUUUGACGGUCGACGGCUGACACAACGCGAGUAAGCUCAUUGUUUGGGCGUGCGGUGGGGGCGCGCUCAGCAAGUGUAGGCGCGGGCUGCGUGAUGCGCGAUGCACGUUGGUGUGGGUGAUACCGAUGACAGUCGCAACGGACAAGAGCGGAAGCGAGACUGUGUUUUUAGUUGCCGUUUUUGACGGUGCUUGGUGACACAUGACAUUGGAAUGAGUAUGUGUGUAUGUGUGUGUUUGGAGGAGUGUACUGAGCAGGUGGUUUGUGAGCAUGGGAGUGCAGCGAGCGAGAGACGGUGUAAGGGACUGCACUUACUAACAUGCGAACAAACAGCCCCAAGUACGCUACCCGGAAGCAGGAGGACUUUGCUUUUGGACCGAGACAGGGCGGGCUGCUAGCACGCGUAGGGCUGUUGUGCACGUGACGGCGCCGACGAAUGCAUGCCUGCGACACCAAUGUCGCGUUGGGUCCAGUGGGACUGGUGGGACAGUGCGCGGUGAAGGCAGGUGCAAGGCAGGUGCAAGGCAGGCGUAAGGCAGGCGCUACAGACAUGCAGGAUGUGAUUAGGAAUGCCGUGUGGGAGUGGCGGGGGCGGUGCGGACGCCGCGUCGCAGACAUUGCGUCGGCCCUGUGAGUUGUGCAGCGCCUGCAGUCCGCUGUGGGCAGGGGUCAUGGGGUGGCCUGCUGGUUGCUCCGCCGUGGCGGACAGGUGUGCCUAUCGUCCUGUCCGGCGGCCUGGCAGGGGCACCGGUGGUGCAGGAGUGUGGGACCCGGCUGGGAGCUUCUGCUGUGCGCGUGUGCUUGUGGACUCAUGGAGUCGUGGUCGCGUGGGCCCGGGGGCCUCGGGUGCCCGACUUGCGAGUCGAGUGCGUGCGUGGCAGUCAGUCAGUGAGUCAGCCAGUGUACUGACGAUCCCGCGCGGUGCGAUCUUGGGUGCGGUGCAGUGUGUGUGCACACAGAGUCACAGAGUGUGUCGCGCAGCCCGCAGUGUGCUGGUGGAGGGGUGUGCUGGGAACCGCGGGAGGCGCGGGCGGUGGGCUGUCCUGUGUAAGGAUGGCGACAUACGGCACGUCACUGCCGCUUAGAAAUGCCACGUCGGCAGGUCAGGCCGAAAGCCUGACAAGAGAAGGUGGCUCUCCCUUGCAAGGGAAAAGUGGGCUGUGCCGCCACGCCACGUCCUCCGUCUGAGGCCGAAGGUUCCGAUACUAGCCUCAUCUCCCGGACAUAGCCGGGGUCGGUUUGUACAGGCACCGCCCGCCAUAUGUGCCCAGUCGCGCCCAGCUAUCAAGCACUAGUGCCGCAGGCAGCAGGCCAACCAGACAGCAAGGAAAACCUCUCAACACCCUUGCCGCUGCAGCUGACUGCCCGCUACGCCAUCCUCGUCAGCACAGGUCGCUAACCAGACAACACCGGCAGGUCUCAACCUGCGCGCCGGCGCCGCUUUGAAGGCGACGCCGCGCUGUCCUCCUCCACGUGGCCUUGCCCGCCCCCUCUGCUCCGAACAUGCGCGCCGCCACUGCCGCUGGGCCCAGGGCCGCCCGUGCCGCCGCCACCACCGGGCCCAACGCCGUGGCCGCUGCUGUUGCCGUGUCGCGCCAUUAUGCCGGCAUGGCAUUUCGCCGGCAGCAGGGGCUAACCGUGCCAUGGUUGUGGGGGUUAGUUCGUGCCAUGCAGCGGGAUGAGGCUGUCGCCCGGCUAUAAGGGCGCAGCGCCGGCCUGUACCGGCGCUGCUUUCUCGUUACUCCCAACUGUGCAUAGGUUUACUCUUAUGUGCACCAACAACGGAUCGACGUCUGUAACGAACUCUGGUGGACAGCGCACUGGGUUCCGGAAGUCAUCUGUUGGGGCGUCUUCGGGUUGCAGCCAAGUCUAGGCGCGCAGGCGCAUAGCAACGUCACUCUAGCCUAGCAACCACGCAUCACCGUCAGCUGAGCUGCCAAACGGACUAGUUAGGCGAGGAGACAGCCGCCGGCUUCGCAAGUCUCGGAUACCGGUUCUCGAGCGCGCUGCUUGGGCAGCCUGCGGAGGCGCCGGUCGGCCUAUCCUGCAGCCACCAAGUAACGAGAAAGCAGCCGGCAACUACAGCUGUGGUGACGGCGACGUGGGAGCUCGCGGCGAGCCGACAACAUCACCGACGCUCGGGGACGCCUCCAUUAGUCCUGCUUAGCGGCAUUAUGGAAACUUUGCCAUGUAUUGACACUCUUGGCUGCAGAAGAGUUGUCUUUCCGUGUUUGGUAGCACUGGCCACUGUGGGCAACGGACCUAGAGAGUUCUCUAAACAGUAGAAGAAUUCCAACAGUGAGGAUCCUGGCCAUUCAUGGAGAGCGGCUUUAUGGAGUUAUUGAGCCGCGUCGAGGGUGGUGAAUGGACAUGAACAUGCUCGGCGGACUGUGCGAGACUGCUUGCGAGUGGUCUUUGUAUGUUGUCAUUGUGACAUGUCCACGGUGAUUCUGGAUCGCCGGGGACGUAAGCUGGGGGGACCGCGUGCCCGCGGUUUCGUGUGCCCCGCAGCCGGUUGCCGGAGACAAGCGUCACAUUCAGGCGUGCCCUUGAGACGAGCUGCACGUAGAAGCUACUCACCUGGAUGCUGAUGAGCUGUGUGGGGCUUUCGGGCGCGUUUGAGCCCCUUUCGCUAUGGACUUGUGGACAGGCGGUCACACAUGGUGACAGCCUCGGGACUGCAAGUUUUCGUCCUCUCUGCUGUGGGGGGAAGUGGUGUGACCGGUGGCGGCGCCGUGCAAAGCCGGCAGAAUGACACGACAGCUGUCGCGCCAUUAUGCCGGCAUGGCAUUUCGCCGGCAGCAGGGGCUAACCGUGCCAUGGUUGUGGGGGUUAGUUCGUGCCAUGCAGCGGGAUGAGGCUGUCGCCCGGCUAUAAGGGCGCAGCGCCGGCCUGUACCGGCGCUGCUUUCUCGUUACUCCCAACUGUGCAUAGGUUUACUCUUAUGUGCACCAACAACGGAUCGACGUCUGUAACGAACUCUGGUGGACAGCGCACUGGGUUCCGGAAGUCAUCUGUUGGGGCGUCUUCGGGUUGCAGCCAAGUCUAGGCGCGCAGGCGCAUAGCAACGUCACUCUAGCCUAGCAACCACGCAUCACCGUCAGCUGAGCUGCCAAACGGACUAGUUAGGCGAGGAGACAGCCGCCGGCUUCGCAAGUCUCGGAUACCGGUUCUCGAGCGCGCUGCUUGGGCAGCCUGCGGAGGCGCCGGUCGGCCUAUCCUGCAGCCACCAAGUAACGAGAAAGCAGCCAGGUGGCGGAGACAUUCAUAACCGGCAGAAUGACACGACAGACGGAGAGCCUGCGGGCAAGGGCGGCCUGGGUGCAGCGUCACUACCCGGAGGCCGCCGGCAAUCUGCUGGUGGCUCAGCAUCGCGAUACGCGGCGCUAUGCGGCCGCGCGCGCGGCGCGCCGCCUGACAAACACGCCAGAAUUCAGCGCUGGCGACUACGUUUACAUCAAGAAGCUGAAGGUGGACAACACCCUGCAAUUCCAGUAUUACGACACAAUACUCAGGGUGAAGAGCGUGGGGCCGCUGGGUGUAGCGGUGCUCAUAGGACGGGACGGGACGCAGCAGCUGCGUCGGAGGGUGGAGCAGCUGGCGCCCUGCCACCUGGACGUGGACCCGGCGAUAGAGCCGCAGCUGUUUCGCCCCGGCAAGGACCUGGCCUGCGAAGCGUGCAGCUCGCCGGGGCAGCCGGCCAGGAUGCUGCUCUGCGACGGCUGCAACCAGGGGUGGCACACGCACUGCCUGCGGCCGCCGCUGCGGGAGGUGCCCACAGGCGCCUGGCUAUGUCCGAGGUGCCUGGCGCACUUAUCGCAGCAGCCACCGACAGAGGAGGCGACGCGCGAGUGGCCCGAGCAGCUAGGCCAGUUGCUGUUCCCCAAGGCCAGCACGCGCAGGUUGGAUGAUGAGGCCCGGCAGAUGGACGGCACGGUGGUGACUAGGCGGGUGCGGACGGGCAGGGGCAAGGGCGCGGGGGAGACGGAGCAGAAGGCCCUGCUGCAGUUCCGUGGCGCACUCUACCGGCCGCACUACUUUGCCGUGAAGUGGCCGGGCGAAGUGGAGAUGGAGUACUGGACUCUGGAGCAUGUGCGGCGCGGGCGGGCGCGCGCAUAAGGAGAGUGGAAGGACCAGCUGGGGGGACGAGGGCGUAGCUAGUGUUGGAUAGUUGCGCAGGUAUUCGGGAUGGAGGGCCCAGCUGGGGGGACGAAGCGGUAUGAAGGAUGGUAUUGUGGAUUCGGAUGACGGUGGGAGGAGCGAUCAUUCGCUAUUUGGCUUGGGUUGAGAUGUCUAAGGAUGACGUGUGUUGCGUAUUUGUGGCCUCUCUGAAGGGGACCGAACGUGGACUGACAAUUUGGACGUAUUGACCAUGCGUGCAUGCCUGUCCCUGCGUGAGCCAACCUCGGUUGCCAUGCUUGGCCUCUCUCGGUUGUGGGGGGAAAUGGCGGGACAGGUGGCGGAGACAUUCAUAACCGGCAGAAUGACACGACAGCUGUCGCGCCAUUCUGCCGGCACUGCAUUCCACCGGCACGAGCGUGUGUAGCCUAGGGUUUUGUGUCGCGUGUGUGACUGCGUGUGGACUUGAGCAGCUAAGACUGCUGUGUAUCGCCUGCUUGGUGUAGGAUUAACCUUGCUUGCUAUCAGCCUGAGAGAAAGGUGCGAGUGAGAAGUUGCCGUACAGUUGGUCGGCGCACGUAGCGGGCAGUGACGCCUGUGAGCGGCACUGUCCGCUGUUACUCCAUAUUGGCUUUACGACGACUAAUGUGUAGUUCUUGUGACUCGCUGAGAGCAGACUGAUCACCUGCGGGAGCGAGAACGCCAAGGCGUGUUCAGCGGCAGGCAAGACUAGCGUUUGGACCAGCUAGCAAUCGGGGGCAUGCCCAGUGAGAACCGCCGGGGUAUCUCACAACUCGGGGACUGCGACGGCAGUCCAUUGUCCCAGCAAACCCGCAACUCGCGUAUUCCUCCAGCAAUGAAGCAGCGUCCUCGCCUGGCCAGCUAGGUUAUGUCUAUGCCUAGCCUGGUUUAACACAGGUGGCCAGAGUGCAUGCGCAACCCAGUAGUGGUGUGACCGGUGGCGGCGCCGUGCAAAGCCGGCAGAAUGACACGACAGCCGCCGGUAGGCGCGGUGCCACCACCGCCGCCACCGCCGUCUCCAGGCCCUGCACCGCCGCCACCGCCACCGCCACCGCC
rnacentral:lncRNA from 1 species